UUUGUUUUUGUCUUCGCUGCUAACUACAAUGAAUUUGGAAUAUUUUGUUUAUAUAUGCAAACUCAUAGGAUGCAGUGGAACUCUGCAAUGGUUUCUUGAUCAAAAUUUUAUUUAUUUAGUUGUUUAUUAAGAUCUCUUAUGUUAAUCAGCAUAAUCUGAGGCCGAAUUAACCAUAAAUGAUCAAAAUUUAGAAGCUGAAAAACCAUUUGGGUGGAACCCUGAAAUUUGUUUUCUUGAGCAUAUUGAUCUCACCCCAGAAGGGCGAGCCAUAAAUCGUACAAAUAAAAUGAAUUAUGAUUUCUGAAAGGGAAUUCUAUCGUUCUACGUACAUUGAUUCUACGACUUCAUAUGAAUGAAGCCAUUGAAUAGUUUCCAAUUUCUGCCUCUAGCGCAUAUAUGGCACAACCACAAGCACAAGAAGAGAUCGCGGAAAGAUGUAAGAUUUCAAGCUACGAUGCCUACUUCGAGACCAUCCAGUCCAGGAAAAAACUACCUCGUUCGCUGCAAGAGGUUUUAACAUCUGCAUUUGCAAAAAUUCCUGUUUCAUCUUUCCCGGGAGUACCUGAAGGCAAAGGUAACAAUUCAUCGCUGUCUCAUUUAUGUGGACAAUAUAGGAAUUGAAUGAGAUAACUAAAACAGUAUUACAUUAUUAUCUGCAGUAAUUGAGAUUGGAGCAGAUGCAUCUGUCAGUGAUGCCGUUAAGAUUCUUUCCGAACACAACAUUUUGUCGGCUCCUGUGACAAACCCAGAAGCAGAAACAAGUUCAGAUUGGAGGGAGAGGUACCUAGGACUCAUAGAUUACUCUGCCGUUAUUCUUUGGGUGUUGGAGAGUGCAGAACUAGCUGCAGUUGCUCUGUCAGCGACUUCAGCAACAGCUGCUGGAGUUGGUGCAGGGGCAUUGGGCGCUGUGGGGGCACUAGCACUGGGUGUGACUGGUCCUGCUGCAGUUGCAGGUUUAACAGCUGCUGCAGUUGGGGCUGCUGUAGCUGGUGGUGCAGCUGCAGACAAAGGAAUGGGCAAAGAUGCUCCCACGGCUGCUGAUGAAUUGGGCAAAGACUUUUACAAAGUUAUACUGCAAGAUGAACCCUUCAAGUCAACCACAGUAAGCUUAUCUUUACCAUGAAGAUUCUGUGUAGAGUAUUGGUUGUCUUUUGAACACAGAGAGCUAUAUAUGUCAAUUAUGAAUCACUUGGUUCCACUUCUUCAAAAAAUAAAUUGACGAGCAUAUUGCUGCAUCUAUAUUGCAGAGUACCCUGUUUGUGAUUUGGAAGCAACUACAUUAAUAGGGACUGUUGCUCUUGUACUCAUUUAAGUUAUCUGACUGAAUGACCGUAUGUGAUAUGUACUUGUGUGUUUCAGGUAAGGUCAAUACUAAAAUCCUUCCGCUGGGCACCUUUCAUUCCAGUAGCAACAGAUAGUUCUAUGUUGAGCGUUAUGCUACUACUUUCAAAAUAUAGGCUGAGGAACGUACCUGUAAUAGAACCAGGCCAACCCAAUAUUAAGAACUACAUUACUCAAUCGGGACUUGUUCAGGGUCUUGAGAGAUGCAAAGGAAGGGACUGGUUUGACUGCAUUGCUGCGAAGCCUAUCUCUGAUUUCGGACUUCCUUUUAUGUCAUCUGAUGAGGUAAGGUUGCCUGGUCACCGAAACAUUCAUCUCGCUGGCUAGGGAAUUUGGAGUCUGAAUAUUAUUGUUCCUUUGCUUUCUUCGCCAGGUUAUUAGCAUUGGGUGCAAUGAUCUAAUACUGGAAGCUUUCAAGAAGAUGAGAGAUAACCAAAUAGGUGGUCUUCCAGUAGUAGAGGGGCCCAAGAGAAAGAUCGUUGGUAAUGUCAGCAUGAGAGAUAUCAGAUACUUGUUGCUCAAACCCGAUAUCUUCUCCAAUUUCAGGUAUUCGAAGACAAACUUUGAACCAUUUACCCCGCCCAUCCUUUGCGGAAAUUACAUUGUGCGCUUGGUCCACACUAUGGACUGUAGAGCGCUUUAAUCCUCUCAACUUCACAGAACAAACAUUCACCAUUGGAUGCUCUGCCAUUUACUUUGAUAGUGAGAAAGGAUCUAAAAUACCUACGAAAGAAAUUGAACUCAUGUAGUUGUGAAUUUGAACUAAUCUGCUUACACUGAUUUCUGUUAUAAAUAAAAACCAUGGCUUUGAUUACUCAACAGAGGCAAUCACCUGCUCCUUUUCUAUAUAGACAUCUUGCAAGUCAGUCUUGAUGGACUACUUAAUCCGUGUGCCUCUUUCUUUCAGGAAGCUCACUGUUAGGGACUUCAUGAGCACCAUCACAACAACCCACGAAAUUGGAAAAGUCAUCCAACCAAUUACAUGCAAGCUGGAGUCGACUCUCGGUAAUGUGAUUCAUAGUCUUGCUUCCAAGUCCGUUCAUAGGAUCCAUGUGGUUGCUGGGGAGGAAGGGGAAGUUGUUGGUGUCAUUACACUCAGAGAUGUGAUCUCUUGCUUUAUUUUUGAACCACCAAACCACUUUGAUGACUACAUGGGGUCUGCAGUGAAGGAGAUGUUGAACCAGUGAGCCUUCUGUUUGUGGAAAACUUAUAUGGAGAUGCAGAGACAGUAUCAAAAUUUUCGUUCGGGACCACAAAACAGUUGACAUUGAGUUGUAGUUGUUUGUUUCGUGUAUCUACUUUUGAUGCAUUCUUAAUAAACUAAAGCCGGGGAGCUUUCUCAGUGUUUUAUCAUUCAUCAAUUCUCUAAUCUUUUCUGCAUCCUCCCACCUGCCAAGUGCAGCAUAUAUCUUUGACAGGAUCACGAAAGGUGUUGGGUUCUCUGGUUCUAAUUCUGAAAGUUUUAUAGCCAUUUCUUUCCCCAGUUGGGAAUCUAAAUGAGAUUCACAAGCACCUAGCAAAGAUGCAAGAACUGCUCCAGAAGGCUCUGAUAAUUCUUGUAUCAACUCUCGGGCUUCAUCCAACCUGCCAGUUCUACCCAAAAGAUCAAUCAUGCAUCCAAAAUGAGCUGGAUUUGGUUUUAGACCAAAAUCUCUGUCCAUCAUCCUAAAAACUUGCCAUCCUUUGUCCACUAAACCAGUGUGACUGCACAUAGAUAGAAGACUCGUGAAAGUUGCUGCAUUAGGUUGUACUUUUGCUUCCAACAUCUGGUCGAAGAUCCCAAAUGCAGAUUCAUUAUCUCCAUUCCUUCCAUACCCAGAUAUGAUUGCGUUCCAAAAUGCAGGAUCAUUAGGUUUUAUCUGAAACCAAUCAAAAAUUCUUGUUGCCCAAGAAGACUGCCCACAUUUCAUGUACAUGUCAAUAAGAGCAGUGGAAAUGAACAGAUCAUUGCUAAUAGAGGUUCUAACUGCAAGCCCAUGGACCUCUUUUCCACAUUGCAGAGCAGAUAAAUCUGCACACGCUGGUAGAAGACUUGUGAUAGAUUUUAAACUUGGGACGACACCAGCUGAUUGCAUUCUCCUAAAAUACACAAAAGCUUCAAUCGCCUUCCCUAGUUGUGAAAACCCACUGAUCAUGGAAUUCCAAGUAACCGAAUCCGGUUUAAAUCCUUCAGAUUCCAACUGUUCAAAUAGCUCAACAGCAUUCUCAUUCUGCGCAUUCAACAUCAUUCCAGAAAUCAUGGCGUUCCAUGUAAACAAAUUCCUGUUUUCAUUUAGUUCUUUGAAAGUACCAUAUGCCAGCUGCCAACAACCACACUUAGAAUACAUGUCCACAAGUGCUGUUCCAAGCAUAGUAUCAAGCUCCACUUCAAUUUUCAUCAUCAACCCGUGAACCUGCUUGCCAAAUCGGAGAUACAAAAGACUAGCACAGGCAGAAAGAACAGACAGCAACGUAACUGAAUUGGGAUUUUCACCUGUACAUGCUCUCAUUUUCUUAAAAAUAUCCAACACCACAUGAGGAACCCCAUUCUGCAAAAGCCCUGAAAUAAAAGCAUUACAGCUCACUAUAUUCUUGAUGGGCAUUUCUUCAAACACCUUUGCAGCCGAAAACAACCCUCCGCAGUUAGAAUACAUAGUCAGAACCGAGGUUGCAACAUAAACAUCACUCUCAACACCCAGCUUUACCGCCAAGCAGUGCAUUUCCAUGCCAUGCUCUACAGUUCCACAUGCAGAUAACAUACUAGCUAUUGUAACUGAAUUGGGCCUGAACCCUCCAGGCCCUACGUUCUUAAAUAACCGCAAAGCCUCUGUACAGUACCCAUUAUGCAGAAACCCUGAAAUCACCGCAUUCAACGAAGCCAAGUUCCGUUCAGGCAUUUCUUCGAACACCUUCACUGCGUCGCCGAUAAGAUGAAGUUUCAUGUACACAUCGGUGAGAGCCGUGGCUGAAUAAACAUCAGCCGAAAACCCAGUUUUCAUAAGAUGGGUAUGCAGAAUUUGGGCAUGUGGGGCUGAUUGAAGCUUGCCACAAGCUUUGAGAAGAGGAGGGAAUGUGAAUUUGUGAGGACGCAAAGAAGCAGAGUGGAGCUGAGCGUAUAAGCAGAGGGCAUCUCUGUAUAACCCAUCUGCGACAAGUCGAGCUAUUUCGCGCUUCAUGGGUUGGUUGGUUUUCAAAAAUGGCUCGCAUCACCAAAUGCAAAUUCGGUUAAUUUCUCUGCUGCCAUUUCUUCGUUUUUUUUUUCUUUUCUUUUUCUUUCAGAAAUUGGAUUUGGAAUGGGUUGGGCUAUGAUCAAGUACAGAAAUGUGGUAAACAUACAAAUGGGCUUUUGAGUUUGGCCCAAUCCCCGAGCAAGAUUUGUUGGCGCAGCCGACAAGCAUAGCAUGUGGUGUGGGGAUAUAGAGAAUCAAAGAUUGAUAUCUACUUUCCCGGACACUUUUGUCAAUUGGGUAUUUUCAGUUUUAAAAAAAGGGUUAAAACAGCCAUGAUGAUAAUUGAAUGGUUGUAUAGCCCUACGAGGAUGAUUCCAACUUAAAUGCAAAAGGUCAUACACAUCGUUUUGAUUAAUUUUCACAUAUGCUAAUUAAUUGUAUCGCUUUAGUUAUUAUUAUUUUUAAUAAAAUAAAUACUUUAUUUAAAGAUAAUAAACAACUGGCAUAUCAAUACAUGAGAUUUCCAAGAAAGACUGCAACCCAAAUAUGAAAGUUACGAACAAAAACGUAUUUUUAUAAGAUAUUUUUCACAAAUAGGUCUAUUCUAACAUAACAUAUUAUAAAAUGAAAAUCCUUAUAAAGCUUAUUUGGAGAGAAAAACACAAUUAGCCACUUGUCAUAUUCUAAAAACUAAUUAAAAAAUAACAAAUAAUUAGUUUUGAAUUUUUCUAAAUAAGUUUUAUAUAGGUCUUUGAUUUUGUGCCAAUUGGUUUUCUUUUUUUCUUUUUAUUUUAUUUUUAGAAUUAAGAAAAGAUAAUAUGGGUAGUUAUCUUCCAUAAAAGUAGGACAUAUUAUUUUAUUUUAUUUUUAAUUUUAAUUUUUUUAAAUAUGAAAAAAGUGAAUUUAUCAUAUUAUCCUCAUUUAAUUAACAGUUUCAAUUCUUAAUAUUUGAAUUAACCAAGAGUAUUUUCUAGUAUUUUGAAUGUUUCAUCAUUCCGUAUUUUUUGUUUUAUAUAUAUAUAUAUAUAUAUUAUAUUAAAAUAAACUUAUUUAAUAAACGUGUCAUGAUGUCAUGUUUGCGUAUUUAAUAUGAGCCAAAAAAAAUAUAAUUUAUUGUAUAUUCUGCAAUGUAGAUGUUAGUGCAAGAAUCUUUGCUUUGUAGAAAGCCAUCCACUAUUUUCUUAUCGUUUUAUGGCAGAAGCAUUUCCCUUCCCUCUGCUGUCUCAUUUGAAAUCGAUCACAAUUUGACGAGGAAUCAAUAUCAAGCAGAUUCCCUAAUUUAUUAGUUACAUAUCAUACCACAUACCAUACCAGUCUAGUAAUAAUUAUGAGUCUUGACCUAACAGUUAAGUUGCUUUUAAUUAAGUUCCAACUAUCAAUUAUUUUUUGGGUUUAAAAAUAAUAUUUAUGCAAGUUAACUAAUGAUUGAAUUUGGAUUUGUGAUUACCACAUUUGACUUUUAUAAAGUGACUUGUUGGUCCUAUUUGAUGGAAAUUAAGAAAUAAUCUGUGCAUGUAUAUAUCUAAUUUGGAUUUGUGAUUACCACAUUUGACUCUUUUUAGAAAUGUCAUUAUUAUGUGGUGGGUGCAUCAUUUUAGUCCAAUUUUUCGUACAUUCAUUUAUUUUGCCAAUUCACUUUCGGCACAAUUUUCCAAAUGUAGUCAAUUUCUCAAUAAUAACGACUUGGAAAAUUACUUUUACAGAAAAUCUAAGUUCAUAUUCUUUGAGACUUUUAUCAUGAUUGAAUCAAUAUGAUUGUGUAGCUUCGCACAGUUGUAAUGAAAUUUGGAUCACAAUUUAGACAAACAAUGUUAAUGUUGAGAGUAUCAUGUUGGCAUGAUUUGUGGAUCAUUGACUUUUUUACCUUACACAACAAGGAUUCCCAUUAUAAUUAUAUUUGAUUUACUUUAAUUCAUAAUUUCCUACUGUAAAUAGAAAUUUGAAUUUAUUAUUUACUUACUCAUUAAAGUUCCGUUGUAUUAUAAAUAUGACCUCCGACAAGGAAAAGAAUACAUAGAAAAUUCCCACAAAUAAAUAUUCUCUCAUAAUUCUCAUAUUUUAGCAUGGUAUUAGAGCGGCGAUCUUUGAAUUGUUGAUUCUAGUUUCCAACCCCCGCCGCCGCCGCCAUGGGGCCUGAUGAUUUUUUCAGCCCUCAUGGAGGUAGCACCGCUGACUCCUUCUCAACCAACCAUAGCCGAGUUGAGUGCCCAACUGGCUCAGCUCCUACAAAUGCAGAACUCGACCCCGAAUGCGAUCCUGGAUCAGGAUCAUAUUUUGAUGACCUCAAACUCGAUCUUGAAUCAAGAUCUUAUUUUGACGACCCCGACCUUGAUUACGAUGAUGAUCUCAACCCCGACUAUGAUGACAACCCCGACCCUGACUUCCACGACGAUGACCCCGACUCCAAUAACUACCCAGACCCCGACUCAGGCUCAAAUCCCGAUUCGGAUUCCUACUAAAAUUGUAUCAUAUGCAUCUUUCGCUGCAUAAAUUAUGACUUCCCAACUAACGACCCCGACACAUAAACGAGAUUGCACAUACUGUAGUGAUCCGAGACACACUCGUGAGACUUAUUUUCAAUUGCAUGGCUACUUCGAAUGAUGGGCUACUCUCAAAGGUCGAACACAACCCGAUACGACCCCUAAUGAUACUGGUUAUGGAUUCUAUACUUCGGAUAAGAGUGAUUCCACGAGUUGGAUAAUUGAUUCCGGUGCAAUUACUCAUAUGACGUUUGAUCAUGAUGAUUUUCUGAAUACUACCCAACCCUGACGAACUUGUAUUGCUAAUGGCAAUGGAGUUACUUAUCUUAUGACAGGGGAUGUCACUAUUGCACUCUCAUCAUCUCUCUCAUUGUCUAAUACUUUACUUGUUCCAUCUUUAUCCAAAAAAUUAAUAUCAGUUAGUCAGCUUAUUGAACAAUUGAAUUGUUGUAUACUCAUUUACCCGAGUUUUUGUUUGCUUCAGGAUAUUCACACUAAGGAUAUUCUUGGUAGUGGUACUAAGAGAUGAGGGCAAUAUUAUGUAGAUGACUUCAGUCCCGACAUGGCUAACAGUGUGACACAUCAUUUUCAUAGCAAAUAAAAGCAAAUCUGGUUGUGGCACUGUCAAUUGGGACAUCCGUCUUUUAGUUAUAUGAAACAUCUUAUACCAGAUUUAUUCUCAGGUUUCAAAUACUCCGACUUCACAUGUGAUACUUGUAUUUUGGCCAAGAGUCACCUUGUGCCUAUCCGUUGAGUAUGGACAAGUGUACAACUCUAUUUACAUUAAUCACAUGUGAUACUUGUAUUUUGGCCAAGACUCACACCUCGAAUCUUUGGAUGUGUGGCUUUCGUUCACCUCCACAAAAAUCAAUGUAGCAAACUUGAUUCAUGUGCGCUCCGUUGUGUUUUUGUGGGUUAUGCCACUCAUCAGAAAGGUUAUUGUUGUUAUCACCCUCCUACCCAACGUACCUAUAUCACAUUGGAUGUGACCUUUCUGGAAUCUGAGAUGUUUUUCCAUGACCCAUCAUCCAAUUCUACGCUUCAGGGGGAGAUACAAAGUGAAGAACAGAAUUGGAGCAACUUGAAAAACGAAGAAAUUCGCCUAUGUAUAGAAAUGAUCGAUCGCCCCAAGUUUAAAGCAUAAGAUUACUCUCUGCCGAAAAGCGAUAAAUUGUCCAUUCAUAACAAUCAAUCGCUUUACCCACCUGAUCCAUGCGAAGAUGUUUCUAAUCCAAGUCUCAUACCUACAGACAAUAUAAAACAACAAGAUGAAUACCAUCUUUAACUUAACAGUACCAACAGACUAAUCUUCUAAGAAUAUCCUUGAGGUAACUACUCCUACUAUAUUUGUGAAUUUAGAGGAUAAAUCGAUUGGAUGCCAAUUAUAUUUCAGGUAGAAUCGUGGAAGGCCACUAAAUCGUUAUUCACCUGAUAUUAACAAGACAUCAAAGUAUUCAAUUGUGAAUCAUGUAUCCAUUGAGAAGCUGUCUGAACCACUCAAGGCCUUUGUGCAUCAGUUAUCUGCUAUUCAUAUCCCAACCAAGGUUGCUGAAGCAUUUAAAGAUCCUAAGUGGGUUCAAGCUAUAAAAGAAGAGAUAAAAGCUCUUAAGAAGAAUCAGACUUGGACACUGGAAAAUUUACCACGCGAAAAAAAGACUGUCGAAUGUAGAUGAGUGUUUACCAUAAAAGACAACGCUGAUGGAUCUAUCGAGCGAUACAAGCAAAGCAAAACUUGUGGCAAAAAGGUACACACAGACUUAUGAUAUAGAUUAUGAAGAAGCCUUUGCACUAGUUGCAAAAUUGAACACAGUUAGAGUCUUACUAUCCCUCGCAGCUAAUUUGGAUUGGCCAUUACACUAGCUUGAUAUAAAGAAUGUCUUCCUACAUGGAGAACUCACGGAGGAUGUGUAUAUGGACAUUCCUCCUGGAUAUAAUAAUACUCAGACUGGAAUAGUAUGUAAAUUACGAAAGGCGUUGUAUGGACUGAAACAAUCACCACAUGCAUGGUUUGGACGGUUCACCAGGGCAAUGAAGAAUAAUGGAUUCAGACAAAGUAACUCAGAUAAUACUUUGUUCUUGAAACAUCAGAAAGGGAAGGUAACAACUUUAAUAAUCUAUGUUGACGACAUGAUUAUUACUGGGAGUUAUAAAUAUGAAAUAUAUCAGCUACAAAACUAUUUGGCUAUUGAAUUUGAAAUGAAGAAUCUAGGUGAACUUAAAUAUUUCUUGGGGAUUGAGGUGGCCCGAUCACAAUAAGUGACAGGACCGGACCCAAAUUAAACUUUGGAAUCCGAAUCGAACCCUGUGAGUAUCUGACACCUGGCUAAUGCCGGGCACAAAGACCAAACUGGCCUUCUAACUAAAAAUUUGCUUUUUAAAAUAAUAUUAUCUUCUACCGAAAAAUUCGGCAGAGUUUCCCCUGUAAUUUACUCAUUCCCCAAAAUUUACACAUGUUAUCAAACAUUUAUAUAACUCAAUCGUUCAUCAUGCAUUCAAUUAUAUCUAAACAAAUUAAGCAUCAUAAUAUUCUGGUCUUAGGUUGUCAUAAAUCAAAUGAACCAAUCUACUAAUAAAAUUCAUCUCAACUUUCAAAACAACACUAUUGCGUUGGUAAUCUCAAGCAUUCUAACUCGUCGCUGCACCUUAUAACCAUAGGCUGCCUACGUACCCUUACUAAGGGAUCAAGUCACACGUAGUUCUUUAAUUGCAAAACCACUUUAGUUCUCAAAUUUCAUCUCAGCUUUCUGUUUCAAGCUUCCUGGCAUUUCUCACAUGGCAAUAUAUAAUUAAACGAAGAAAUAAAAGCAUUUAUAUCAAGUAAUCAUGCUUGGGAAGCCAUAACCAUCAAUUCCUCGUGACACCAAUGGUGACACGUCCUGACCUGUAAUCCUCGCUGGACUCAGGAGACAUUUGGUCAACCUGGUCCGCAAUCCUCGCUCCCACGGUCCGCAUAACUCUAAGACUCGUAGGGCAAAAUAUGCUAAAAAACUCAAGAUAUUUAAUACUAUAUAAAAUAAUGCAAGAUAAAGAUAAGUGAACAUAAUAAAAUAAAAUAACAUAAGUUAAAGAUUAUAAGUUCCGAACACCCUUGUAUCGAACUCACGUAAAGUUCAUAAAUAAAUAAAUAUAUAUAUAUCAAUAACUUGAUUAGAAUCUAUAAAUAUUUCCAUCUAUCGCUUGUAAAACAAAUGUGACGCUUAAGAAAAUAAUGGUAAUCGUAUAAAAUUCUCAAUUUAGUUUAAAAGCAUCUCAAAACUUAAAUUCUCUCCACCGAAGCAUACCCCCAUUUCUAAUCCGUCAAUUCCUUAAUAUCGUCAAUUCCAUAUAUGCCAUCAAUUCCAUAUAUCCGUCAAUUCCAAUAAUAAUCCGUCAAUUCCAAUGUUAGUUCGUCAAUUCCAUCAUCGUAGGUCUCGGAACCAUAAAGUUAACCGAGCCGCAUUCCUCGCAGCUCUCAGAGAUAACACUUCAAUCUGAGCCGCAAUCCUCGCAGGUCUUAGAGAUAGCACUUCAAUAUGAGCCGCAAUCCUCGCACCAUACGGUUCAGGCGUUCCCGAAACUCGUGGGGCAUCAUCAAAAUAACAAACUGUCUCAAGGCGACUGGGGGGUGUACCCUCGUGGUGGGUUUGAAAACCAUAACUCGUCAUUUAUAUAAACUUUAAAUAGAUUGGUUCUCAACUAAACUUAAAAUAUACAUAUAUAUAUACUAAACACUUGGCUAGUUUGUUAACUAUCUCGAUCUCUGCUUAGCAUACCAUUCCAAUAUUAUAUUUAUACUCCUACCACACAAUUAACCAUAUGAACAUAUAUAAACAGGUGAUAAAUAAACAGAUAAUUAAAUACUCAUUUCGAAAUCACAUAAAAUCAAGAAAUUAGAACUACAACUAAACCAAGUGAACACUCGCACGCGCAUGAGCUUUCUAAAGGCUCAAACAUAUCACAUGGAACUCAUCCUCGUUAUUUAAUCCAAAGUCCUAGCCCUGGGCUCCUAGAAGUGCGUGCAUUGUAUUUGAAGUCAUUCUCAAGCCUAUGUAAGCAUUUUCAAUGAUUAGAACGGUCUAGCAGUGCCUCGGGACUCAAAAAGCGAUAAGUCCCAAAAAGUCAACCAGGGACCUCGUGGGGUCCACAACCUCAAAAUUCCGAUCCAAGAGUUCCUAGAGGUCUUAACAUGCCUAGGACACAUGUCCCGAGAGUUUGGUCUCGAUCGGAAGGUCGGACUACUCACGAUCGAACGAUCGGACGAUUACUAUAAAUCUAGCUCUAGGGUUGGCCUUUUUGAAGUAUCCGGGACUCCGAUUCCUGAUCCGUUGAAUCCUACACGAUUCGAGAAUUGUCUAGCUUGACAGAUACGAGAAUAACUACGAUCCAACGGUUCAAAUGUAUCAAACCUGAAAAUCGCACAAUAUGCGAGAUCCGAUUGGGGCUCAAACGUUGUCCAAAUUGAGAUCCACAAAUUCCUACGCGCUCAUGACAACACGAGAAUCAUUCUAGGACUGAGAGUGACCUCACUAUACAGCCCACGCGCCGCCACAAGCCAUGGCAGCGCGUUGGUGGCUUGAUCAAUUUUCGGCAGUAGGAAAUACUCCAAACCGCCAGCCCAAACUCCUAUCCUAGGUAUAACACCCUACUUGAAACCACUUAUGUUCUUGGACCUACCUCGAAAAAUGAACAGAAGUGGCUGGAAUCUCAUCCUGAAAUCCGGCAAAAUUUUGGGUUACAAAUCGAGUUGCCUACACUAGAAAUUGAUCAAAUCUUACCUAACCAUCAGCUAGAACACAUCGAAAGGAUGGAAAAACAUACCAAAUUUGAAGAAAAUGGUGGUCGGAGGUGUUCGAACGAGCUUCACGAAAUUUCGUAAAAAACUGUCCAAACCGCCCUGUUUCAUGGUGGUUUCCAGCGAUUACAACGGCGGAUUGAGGCUGAGAUGGGCUGGUACUGGAAGAGGGAAGUAUGGUGGUUCUAAUGGGACUGGUCUUCCUUCGAUUGGUAGCCAGAGUUGAGAGAUAUCACCUUUGGAAGUCAGCUGGUUGAGCUGCCAAACUGCAGAAAAUCUGGGUUUAAAAAACACUGAACUUCGAAUUAUUUACGGUUAUACCACUGAACUUCUUUUAAUCGUCAUUUCUUCAUUACAAUCCCGAUUCGAGUCCACUACGUGUCUACGGACUCGUUUCGAUGUACUUUACGUAAUUGUCUAAUCAAAAUUUCUAAAUUCCUUCCCGAACUUAAAAUGAUAUUUUUGCCCCUUCUUAAUAUUAAAUAAUAUUUUAAUUUCUCAAAAACCUUAAUUAAUUAAAAUUCUUUUAUUUUAAUGUUUAUUUCAAUUUAUUCCUCAUUUAAAUUUAUUCAUACUUUAAUUAUUUUAACACUUUUUCAGACCGAGAUGUAACAAUUUUACCAAAGUCUCCCCGGUGAACAAGUCACCAUUUUCUAUAAUAAUUUAUUAUAGGGGCAAAAUUAUCUUUUCUUAGAAUAAAUUAAUAACUAAAAAUUAAUUUAGGAUCGGGUUGUUACAAUAAGACAUAUUUCUCUCUUAAAGGAAAUAUAUCUUGGACUUGUUGACAAACAUAUGAAUGCUAGAUUGCAAACCUGUAGACACUCCUAUUGUUCAGAAUCAUCAUCUUGGAGAAUAUCUGGAUCAAGUUUCAACUAAAAAAGAAAGAUACCAAAGGUUAGUAGGAAGAUUGAUCUACUUGUCUCAUACUCGGCCAAACAUUGCUUAUUCGAUGAGUGUCGUCAGUUAAUUUAUGCAUUCUCCGAGUGAAGACCACAUGAAUGUAAUUAUUUGGAUACUUCGAUAUUUGAAGUCUGCACCUUGAAAAGGAAUUAUGUUCUCAAAACUUGGUCAUCUGAAUAUUGAUGGUUACACAGAUGCAGAUUGGGCAUAAAGUAUAAUAGAUAGGAAAUCUACAUCCAGUUACUUUACAUUCGUGGGAGAUAAUUUGAUUACAUGGAGAAGCAAGAAACAGAAUGUGGUCGCCUUAUCCAGUGCAAAAGCCGAGUUUAGAGGUAUAACUAAAGGAAUUUGCGAACUCAUUUGGUUAAAGAGGUUGCUUACUGAACUUGGAUAUAGACCUACAUCUGUAAUGAAUCUCUUUACAAGGCUGCAAUAGCUAUUGCACAUAAUCCAGUUCAACAUGAUCGCACCAAACAUGUUGAGGUAGAUCGACACUAUAUCAAACAGAAGCUCGAAGUUAAAGUGAUUCAGUUUCCUUUCGUAAAGUCCGAGGAUCAAUUGACAGAUAUUUUGACAAAUGCAAUUUCCAGUAAAGCAUUCCACAAUUCACUGGACCAGUUGGACAUUGGCUACAUCUAUGCAUCAACAUGAGGGGGACUGUUGGCGUGACUUAUGGACCAUCGACUUUCUUACCUUACACACCAAGGAUUCCCAUUAUAAUUAUAUUUGAUUUACUUUAAUUCCUGAUUUCCUACUGUAAAUAUAAAUAUGAAUUUAUUAUUUACUUACCCAUUAAAGUUCCUAUAAAUAUGACCGCCUAUAAGGAGAAGAAUACACAGAAAAUUUUCACAAACAAAUAUUCUCUCAUAGUUAUCAUAUUUUAGCAUCAUCGAUGUAAGUUUUGCAUUAAUAAUUUAAAUAUAAUCACAUUCUUGUUGUAAAUGCAUGAGUUGGUGGAUGACCACCAUACCUCUUAAUAUUCCACCGUUGGAUUUUAUGUAACCUAUGCACUAAGUAUUUGUAAUUAAUACUUGUAACCUAUAGGUAUAUUGUAAAUGAUGGUAUUCAAUCUCCUAUCUUGUAAGCCUAUAAAUAGGUGGUUCUACCAAAGAUUAAGGAAAGAAUAAACAUGGUGAAGCUUUAUCUUUAGCAUAUCACUUCUCUCUACAUUUUCUCCCUCUAGUUUUAUAACACGUUAUCAGCACGACAUUGCUCUUGGUAUGUUUUCUUUCUUUGAAUUUUCUUUCUUCUUAUAUGAGCUAGAGUCAUCACAUGGUAUAGAGUUUCUUUGUACUCACCAUCAGACUUCAUCGUGUUUGUUUAAAAAAAAAUUCUAUUCUUAUUACACAUGAAUAUAANNNNNNNNNNNNNNNNNNNNNNNNNNNNNNNNNNNNNNNNNNNNNNNNNNNNNNNNNNNNNNNNNNNNNNNNNNNNNNNNNNNNNNNNNNNNNNNNNNNNAAGUUCCGUGAUCCUCCAUCAUAUAACUAGAUUAGGAUAUAGAGUCCUUUUGAUGAAUCAGAACCUGAAGUUCUUUGAUUCCAAAUAAUUGAGGGCGUGAAGUUCCGCGAAUUUAAAGAGCACAUAAGGACAUAAAACUCCUCGAUUUUGUAUUAAUCAAAAUCAGAAUUCCAUGAGGCCUACAUAUGUCAAGAACUUGAACCAGAAGUUUCGAGUGCAUAUACAUCGAUUUGAGUAUGAAGUUCAAAGCACAACUAUUAAUUCAAUCUAUUUAGAUCUACGUAUUCGUACCUGAAGUUUCGAAUAUAUAUUGAUAUGAACCUGAAGUUCAUAGUUUUUCAUGGAUCUUAAUACUAUAUAUGAACUUGAAGUUCAUUACUUAUUUGUGCCUAUAUGAACCUGAAUUGGUUGGAAAUCCAAUUCUUAAACUUGUAGUUUUAUCUACAUAUUGAAUCCACAUUAAUAUUGGAUUAUCUUGGAAUUUCAUAAUCUUUAAUUGAUUUAUUUUAUUUCUUGUUUAUACCACUUUACUUAUUUUAUUAUAUUAUAUUUUAUUUAUGUUAGGUUAUUAAUUAAUUUUGUUUUACAAUGGUAAUGUUUUGUAUUACCGCCCCAAUAUUGAUAGCCAGAGGCGUCUAUUGGAGAAACUUCCUACUUUUUUUUGUGGGUAGGAAGUUUAUGAUGUUAUGAACCAAAAGUUCUUGAGGCCCCAAUAUUACACAACUAUUAUAGUUGAAGAUUAUGAUGUCAUGAACUAGAAGUUCAUUGACCGAAUAACUUUUAUGUUGUGACAUGACUAUCUUGGCAAUCCAUGUCCCACAAUGAUGCAUAAGAUUUUUAUAAAUUUGUAAGGACAUCGUUUAAAGACUCAAAUUAUUGUCUUGUCCAACAAUAUCAUUACAAAGAACGCUCACAAAUAAAAGCUGUCAUAAGAUCAUCUCAGUCAAAAAUUGACUUUGAGCCAUCUUUCCUGAAAUAAUUCAAGGGGAUAUUUGUGAGCCUAUACAACAUCUAAUUAUGGAUCACUUCACCAGUUUUACUGAAUGUGCCUACUAAAAUGGUCACAUAUUUGAUAACGACUGUGAGUUUAUUUUCCUACAUUUUGAGACAAUUUUCCCGCCGUUAGGGGGAGAAAUGACAAUUCCUAAAGAACGUCGUGAAAUAGUGUUGAAUCAAUCCGCUUUUGUGUCAUCAAGAUAAUGCAUAUAUAAGUUGUACAUAUGCUAACAUGGAUUGAUAUUCUCGUAUCACAAUCCAUUAACAUGGUGACUAUAUAUAUAAUGCAUGCCUGAAGCAUGUCAGAAAUAUAGGUUCUAAAGACUUAAACUCCUCAGAAAUGGAGAUUAUUUGAAAAAUUCAAGCCCUAUAAAAAAUAACGCCCUAUAGGAGGUUAUGAUCCACAUAUUCUAAAUAAUUCAUUGUAAAAGAGAUGUUUGUCCCAUAAGUGACAACAUAAGCCCCUGAAGAGGCAUUGGUACCCCAAAGCAAUGAGAUGAUUAUAAAUUACGCAUGUGCAUGCACAUAAGAAUUGUGGGAUCACAAAUUGCUGAUACAUUUGGUUUAUUAGUAGCUACUACAAUCAUCAAGGGCUAUGAUUAUAUUAAAUCACGUUUCAUGAAUGUCGACAAGUUAAGUGAUUGGCCAAAAAUGGAAAUAGGCAAUUCCAUUUAUCACUAAAUAAGAAGAGUUGGAUAUUGAACCUAUAACUCAAACACCAAAUUACAAAUGUUCAGUAUGAAGGUUACGAAUUGGUGUUUGUGAAGUGAAAUAAGAUCACUAAUAUGACAUAAGGUUUCCUGGGAGAGACAUGUGGUUUUAGUCUCCAAUCUCAUCGUAAAUGCAUCCACAUUUCUAUAAGUGCGGUUGUUACUUUAACGCAAAACUUAUAGUAUGUGUUAAAUGCAUAUUUAUUAAGACUAUAUGGUACAUGGAAAUCCUCAAAACUCAUGAAAUAUUUGAGAUAUAUCGGAUGAAGCAACCUCUUGAAGGAUAUAAAGUACCACAAUAUUCUUAAUUAAGAAUUAACACUAAGAGUUUGAGUAUUUUGAAUUCAAAUUUGAUAUUGUUGUAACAUAUUCUAACUACUAAAUUAGUUGUUGAUACUCCUAAAGAUUUCAAUCAUUUGAAAAGUGAAAAGCAGGUUGAAUAGUGUGAUAGAUGAUCAUGUAUGAAGACAAUGUUGCUUGUAUUGCUCAAAUCAGAGAAGGAGAGAUAUUAAUCAGGGGGAGAUAUCAAUCAGGGGGGAGCAUCCCAAUUCUACUACAUUCAAGGCAGAUGCGCGUUGUACUCUUUUUCCCUUCGACUAGGUUUUUGUCCCACUGGGUUUUUCCUAGCAAGGUUUUAACGAGGUAAUAUAAGCUCAUCCAACACCAUAUCAAUGAUUCAGAAGAAAGUUUCACUCUUUUUCCCUUCGCUUUGGUUUUGUCCCACUGGGUUUUCCAAGCAAGGUUUUUAAUGAGGAAACAAUGUUAUUGUGUGGUGGACAUCCAAGGGGGAGUGUUGUAAAUGCAUGAGUUGGUGGAUGACCACCAUACCUCUUAAUAUUCCAUCGUUGGAUUUUAUGUAACCUAUGCACUAAGUAUUUGUAAUUAAUACUUGUAACCUAUAGGUAUAUUGUAAAUGAUGGUAUUCAAUCUCCUAUCUUGUAAGCCUAUAAAUAGGUGGUUCUACCAAAGAUUAAGGAAAGAAUAAACAUGGUGAAGCUUUAUCUUUAGCAUAUCACUUCUCUCUCAACAUCUUUUCUGUACCCCUCUUGAUAGCAAGCAAAAAAUUUUUCCUUAUGGGAUCGGGGAUGUGGAAUUGUUUUCACAAAUAUUGUCCACCUCGGGUAUAUGCCAUCAGCUAGAUAAUACCCGGUCUGGUAGAUGGUAUUGUUAAUUUCAUAUGUGAUAUUUGGGGCUUCACCUCUCAAAACAUCAUUGAACACCGGGGAUUGACCUAGGACAUUCAAAUCGUUUUGAGAUCCGGCAACUCCGAAGAAGGCGUGCCAAACCCAUGUAUCAAAACCAGCAACUGCUUCCAGGAUGAUACUUUUCUGCCCUUUUCUAUUUCCGUAGUCCCCUUGCCAAGCAGUUGGACAAUUUUUCCACUGCCAGUGCAUGCAGUCAAUACUACCAAUCAUGCCAGGGAAUCCUCGAGACUCAGCUUUUUGGAGAAGCCUUUGCAGGUCCCUGGGCGUAGGUUUGCGGAGGUAGUCUCUGGUGUACAGAGUUUCCACUGCAUCACAAAAUCGCACCAAGCUCUCCAAAAUAGUGGACUUCCCCAUCCGUGCAAUCUCAUCCACCUGAUCAGCAGAUGACCCAUACGCCAACAUUCGUAUCACAGCUGUGAAUUUCUGCUCUGGAAGAAGUCCCAAAUUUCCAGCACAAUUUCUCUUUUGAACAAAAUAUUCAUCAUAAUUGCAAAUAUCAUGCAUGAUUUUAUUGAACAAAUGGGGUUGCAUUCUAUAUCUCCCUCGAAAAUGAACAUCAGAGUACAGAGAUUGUGGGAUAAAAUAAUCUUCCAUAAGAUUCUUACCCCGGGAAUGUCUAUGUCUGUCCACAUUUGGGCGACGGCCUUCUCGUGAACCACGGCGAGCCUGCUUUUCUUCCUCCAGCAAAGCAACUGCUAUGCCAAGUUGCUCAUCUAGUUCUCUCUGCGCCCUUUUGCUUGCAGCUCGUCUACGCAUUCUUUCUCUAGUUUCUCGCUCUUGCCUCUCCAAAACCUCUUCCAUGUCUGCCAUUGAGAAUGGAGAAUGAAAUCUAAAAUUUGAGAAAUGGAAAUGUAGAGAAGAACUGGUGUGGGAGGUAUGAGCUGAACCUCUGAUUUUAUAGAAAAAUGUACACAGAUAGAUAUGACACGCGGCGCAAUCUUAGAGGGUGAAAAUCUUAUUUGAAAUUUGAAAUUCAAAUGAAAUUUCAAAUUUCAAAUUUAUCUGAAAUUUGAAUUCCGAAAUGUAUCUGAAAUUUGACAUUUUGAAUUUAUCUGAAAUUUGAAUUUUGAAAUGUAUCUGAAAUUUGAAAUUUAUCUGAAAUUUAUCUGAAAUUUGAAACCGAAAAUCUUAUCCGAUAUGAAUAGUAUUGACACGUAGGAACCCAAAAAUCUUAUCCGAAAAUAUUAUCCAAAUUAAUUGUUUAAGUAAACAAAAUUGUGAAAAAAACAAAAAAAUGAAUAGUAAUUGCCAUGGCAAGCCCCAACUGCUGGAAACACAUUUUACUGGAGGGGGCUAGGGCAGCCACUAUUCACGUGAAUAGUGCCUGCCCUAGGGCUAAUCUUGCCAUGGCAAGAGUCAACUGGUGGAAGUGCUCUAAAGGGUAUAGCGAAAAAAACACAGAGAAUGAGAGAGGGUAGGUUAUUAGGGCAGAACUGAGGUGGAAAGAUAGAGGGAGAGUGUUAAUAAACUCCGGGGCAAGACGAGACUUUAUUUUAUAGUAAAUAAUAUAUGACACACAUGCUAUAAGCCGAAUACAAGACAUGAAAUUGAUAUGGUGAUGAUGUAGGAGAGAUAAAGAAAGAGCGCUGACCGGGGAGACUUCCAAUAGCAAUUUUGUUUCCCUGUGCCUAAAUAUAAAUCAAAAUCAUUCCAACUUAAAUAACUUUUAACCUAAAAAUAAUCUCUCCAUCUCUCUCUACCCCUCUCCCUUUCUCUCCUUCUUUCUUGAUCGCCCGUCACCGUGAAAAUCCAUCUCUGACACCGUUUCUCUAUCUUUAUAUAUCUAUCUGUUUGUUUCGCGGCAAUUCCUGAGCUGCCAAAUUCUCUCGCCGUCAGCCAACAGGUGUUUUUCAUUUUUAGCUUAAUUUUUCCCUGUAUUAUAUUACGCAUAUCUUAAUUGAAUUGUGCUCCGAUUUGUGGUCUGUAUGGAAACUGAUUUCGAAGAAGAUCUAGCUUCUUAAUUGCAUUACAAGAAAAUGAACCCUAACUUUUGUUUUGUUUUGUUUUUUCAAAUUGUACAUCAUAUUAGCUUCUUGCGAUUCGCAUAUUAGGAUAUGGAUCUCGGGUUUUGAUAUGAACUUGUGUUUUUUUCGUUUUUUUUUUUUAUAGCUCGAACUUGUACGGUAGCAACCAGUUUGACUAUAGUUUUGGGGUCUAAUACUGUAACUUUUGGAUCCAGUUACUCUCGAAUUCAGUCUACCAUAGAAUAUGUUUUUUUAAUGAGUUAAUUGAAUGGUUUAGUUAGGUUCAGUGCAUGUGUUCAAGGUAUCUUGGAAAUGGCACGAUUUGGGCUUUGAGGUCCAUAAGUGCAGUUAUUUUUGCUCUAAUAUCGGUUUAGAUUGUAGAGGUUACACCAGCUUUUCAGAAUCAAGUAUGUGAAUCUUUGUUCAUUUAUAGGUUUAAUCUUUAGUUAAAUCUCAAUUAUGUUGCUUGGAUGCCUAUACAUGCUGCUUUGUUGGUAGUGGUACUUCCUGGACCUCUGUGUUGAUGAAAGUUAUCAAUUUCAUUUUUCUUUCAACGGUGCCUGCAUGUUUUCGUCUGUGCACAAAUGUAUUUGACUAUCACUAAGUAUUAUUUUUUGGUUGGCCUAAUAUAUAGGCGGUGAGGAUGUCGACUCCUGCGAGGAAGAGACUGAUGAGGGAUUUCAAGAGGUUGCAACAGGACCCCCCUGCCGGUAUAAGUGGUGCUCCUCAAAACAAUAAUAUUAUGCUUUGGAAUGCUGUUAUAUUUGGGUAUGUCUCGGAAGGAGAUUAUACUUUGUUGCCUAUCUCAGUUUUUCUUCAUUUUGAUGGUUUUUUCUUGAAAUCUCGUACAAUUUUAUUUAUGUACAUUGUUUGAAUUGCAGUCCUGAUGACACCCCAUGGGAUGGAGGUAAAAACUGAGAAGAACCUCAUAUCAUAUUGCAAUUGAAAUUUUCUUCUUUCACUUCUAAAUUUUAAGCUAUAUCUUGUAUGAUAUUUUUGUGUUUUCCAGGUACGUUUAAGUUGACACUUCAAUUCACAGAGGAUUAUCCAAAUAAGCCACCAACAGUUCGUUUUGUUUCUCGGAUGUUUCAUCCAAAUAGUAAGUUCGAAACAGAAACUGCACACACACAUGUAUGCACAUAUUACGUUUGUACAUGUAUUGGUACAUAUGUGUGCACAUAGAAACAGAAACACGUGUAUGUUCAUUGAGUAUUGAAUCAUUUUACAUCCAUUUACUUAGCCAAACUAGCUUCUAAUGGGUGAAAAAGGAGCUGAGCAAGGGAAAUAUUUGGUAUUUGUUUUUAAGCUCCCAAGCAUUUGUUAAUUGAGUAUUGAAUCACAAAUCAGCUUCACUUUCACAACUUGUUGCUAGCCUUUAUAGCUUGUUGCUUUGGUUGUGUCAUUUAAUGUUUAUAUUUGUUAAUAUAUUUUAAGAAAUUAACUGGAAUGCAGUUACUUGGAAAUAUUUCAGAUGUUUCAAGUUUUAAGUUCUGCCUUUUUUGUGUGUGUCCCUUUUCAGUUUAUGCGGAUGGAAGCAUUUGCUUGGACAUCCUACAGAAUCAGUGGAGUCCUAUCUAUGAUGUAGCAGCUAUACUUACCUCCAUCCAGGUAUUUGGUUAUAUUCUAUUCGUUGCUUGAUGAUUUUGAGUGCUUUAAUUAAUCAUGACUCUCUUGUUAAGUGUGUCAUGGGAUAAGCUUGUAAUUGGUUAAGACACCAUGCACUGGCGGAUCCAGUAAUUUUCCUUCUUAGGGGCUAGAAUUUCUAAAAUCUGGCUUAGCAUGAAGUGGCUAAUGGAGCCUAUCAACAACCUGUAAACUCUUACCUAAUGCAGCUCAAGUCUUAGCCAUUCCUUCGCCCCCUUGUACUGCCUUAGCCUUUUUUGAGGCAUUUUAUCAAACAGUUUGCCCCCAUUCAACAAAAAAUAUCAUGAGAACUUGACACUUUCUUAGGUGUACAACAAGGCUGAGUGGGGGCUAGUGCCUUCACUGGCUCCUUACUAGAUCCGCCACUGACACCAUGUAUGAAAUCAUAUUUCAUUAUCUUUGAGUCACAAUUGUGGUCUUUGAAAUUCUGAUUGUCCCAUCUUGUCAUUCCAAUUUAUAAGUAACUCUGUAGCUUCUAUUUGAGCACUACUGGAGCAAGGCAUCAUUGAUUGUACUAAUUUCUAUUCCUCCUCAGAAAAUAUUCCGUGUUAUCUGUUUUCUAUCAACCAUCUUACCAAUGCAUUCAACUGCACCUUCAGGCCUAAUUAUGUCAAUUACUUCUUUUCACAAAGUUUGCAUGCAUAUCCCUAUCUGCUGCAUCUCUCAUUCCAAAGAGAGAAUCCUAAAAGCUUGUAGAUAAUCAAGAGUUUCUUAUUUCGCCUCUCUUAACUCAUGGUUGAGGCCUGGCCAAAAGAUUACUCUUGGUUACCACUUCAUAUUGCAUAGACUUAGUAACCAUCUAACCACUUCCAUUUUCCAUUGUAUGGCAUAUGUAUAUGCAUGGAUAUUGUUUUAACACAAAACUUUGUAGCUACUCUCUCUCUCUCUCUCUCUCUCUCUCACACACACACACACACACACACACACGUGUGCAUGCAUGCUUGUGGAUAAAUGACAUUUGAUCAAUGUAAAUAAAUCAAAUAUAAGAUUAUGGAGGAAGUUUACUUUUUUUAGUGUCCGUUGUUUGAGAUGUUAAGUCAUAAUAUUUUCUUAUUGCAGUCAUUGCUCUGUGAUCCAAACCCAAACUCUCCAGCAAAUUCAGAAGCUGCACGGAUGUUUAGCGAGAACAAGCGUGAAUACAAUAGGAGAGUCCGUGAGAUUGUUGAGCAGAGUUGGACUGCUGAUUAGCUUACUCCUGAUGGAGAUCUUUGGAAAAUCAGUUGAACAUCCUGUUUAAAUAACUUUGAAACUUGAAAACCAUUGUGUUGUGAAGAACUUGACUUCUGGUCUUGUGAAAUGUUUGCUCGGGCUUUAAUUCAAUGGCACUAGGCCUCGUAUAUCUAUAUGUUGGACCACCUGCCUUGGAGUUUUCUUUCACCUGCUGCAUUUAAUUUUGCUUUAACCUAUUCGAGCCUGUGGUUGGAGAAAUUGUUGUAUGCAACUGUUGUGUACAAUUGCCCUCACAGUAUCUGGUCAUGCGGAGGUUGGUUUCGAUUGUAUGCAAGAUUUUUUCAUGGGGCUGAGCAAAAACAUGAUUAUUACUCGCUCUGGAAACUUGAACCAAAAUAUAAUCAUGUAUUUGAGUUUUAAAGUUGACGGCUAAGAUGCAUAUGGCAUGUUUGAUUUGUCACUGUUUGAACAUGAAAAGCACUCUAGCUGGAUUGUAAAAUGAAUAAUUUUGUGUUGAUGAAAAAGUUACUAAGAAUUCAUUGGACCAAAGAAGGGUGAAAACUUGAGACGUGCUAAAAAUUGUUUUAAGGUAAAACAGUAAACACGAGCUGUAUUUACAUUUUAUUCAUAUAGACACCGUGCCUAACAAGGAACAGAGUUGAAUGCACUUAUAAUGAAAACGUGUUGUGUUGCUACUACAUCUGAGCGCUAAGGUUGCCGCUGCUGGUCCAUCCCUCUUGAACUUGAAUUGAAUACUGCAAGUUCCAGAGAACAUUAUCUAUGGAAGGACGCUUGCUUGGAUCUCUGCUCAGACAAUUGACGGUGAUUUCGACGGCGGUCUUCAAUGACUGAUACGCAAAACUUCCCUGUAUCGACGAAUCCAUGAGCCCUCUUAGUUUUGAAGGUCCUUCUAUUAAGCCUUUUUCUAACUGUUCAUUGAAAGAUGCAAAGAAAGCCAUUGAAUUAGGUGUUGCAAGAACCCAAAAGAGCAAAAACAAUGACAUGGAGUUCUUUUGUUUUUAGUUUUUCUAUAUUGUUUACCUGAAUCUUUAGCUCAUCCAAUUCACUAGCUGAUUUGAUCAAUCUACCAGUAAGAACUUGAAGUAGAAUAAUCCCCAGCUGAUUAAUAUCUUCCUUCUCAGCUUCGGCACUGUGUAUUUACGGCUCGUAUAAGAUAAAUUUGGAUGCUGCAGUAGAAAAGGAGAGGAACAAGAAGAGAAAAGUAAUACCUGUUUAGAAGAGGUUUACUGCUGCUAAUACCCUGUCCUUUAAGAGGGCUCUCUGAACCAAUCUGGAAAUUAGAAAAUGCAAUCGUUAGCUGCUACAAAAGUUUCCUUUCAAAUUUGACAAGACAAGCAUAUAUAUACUGUAACAUAUUCUCACCUGAAACGGCAAUGGAAGAUUAUAGUUACUGAUUUUAGCAGAAACACUCUCAUCCAACAAUAUGUUCUCUAUCUUCAAAUUAUUUCCAAAGAUGCCAGGUGCAACCCCUGUGUGCAAGAACUGGACCCCCCUUGCAAUGCCAAUGGUAACAGCCAUUCUCUGUGGCCAUUUCAGCCACUCCUUCUUUCUCCAAUCUGCCAAACCAAAGUGUAUUAGAAUUGGUUUGAGUAUUUUAAUUAACCCUUUUAUUGAUGAUCUGAUAAUUGCUUUUAGUUUGAGCUUUACCAGUGAGAUGGUCCACCAAAGAGCCAUUUGAGAUGUUCUCAAGAACAAUAAAUACAGUGCUAGCUGUAGUUGGAUGGUCCUGAUAAGUGACAGUGCAGUGUCCAAGAAGGCUGACCAAAUGCCUAUGCCUCAGCUUUGACAAGGCUUCCAUGCUCUGGUUCAAGUUUUGGGGCAACUGCUUCUGCUUUAAUUUCACACAUUUCACUUGUACCAGUAAACCAUCUCUGAGCCAGCCUUUGUAGACCUGUAAUGUAAAUAUUGCACAGAAAUAAUGCCAUCAAGUUGAUGAACAAUAAUGUUGGCUCCAUCAAAUAAUGCAUUCAAAGCCAGCAAACAGCAAAAAUUCAAUGUUACUACCUGUCCCUGAGAUCCUUCUCCCAUCAAAUUUGCGGCAUCGAAAUUGUCUGUUGCAUCAUCAAUUUCUUCCAAUGUAAAGACACGAUAUGGUGGGAGCCCAAGUGUUGGUAACCUCAUCAUCUGGGGCACACGCCCUGGAAAAUCCAAAUCAAUAUUAAUCAGCUUCAAUGCUUCAUGAACUAAAAACCAUAAAGCAUGCAUCUUUGUUUUGUGUUUUUUUUUUCAGUCAUUAAUGUCAGAGACUUUCAAAGGAAUUAAGGAAACAAAGAAAGACGGCCUUACUUGCAUUGAUGUUCGGCUUUGGGGAGCUUCGAACAGAAAUUUUCUCAACUAUGGAUCUGUCAAAUUUAUCUUCUCUGUUCUGCCCUGCCCUUUUGAUAAUGACCAAAAUCAGCAACCCAAUGACUGCAGCAGCACACACAACACCACCAAUGACACCAAGUAAAAGGCCUAGCUUUAUUUUUGACUCCUGCUCUUGAGUUUUAGCUGGAGGCUUAACAGCCAGUGCUUCCUUGUGGCAAAAUGAAUAUGGAUGCUGAUACUUUGACUUCCCACCAGACAAACAGUUCCAUGAAUCAAGAACAGUUCUGUUCAAAGACUUUGAUCCAAUGCAAGAUGGUAGUUUCCCUAUCAAAAGGUUUUGAGAAAUAUCAACAACUUGGAGCUUCCCAUUGCAGGUUGCAUUGUUUGAGAGAGCACCACUUAGUUGGUUUUGAGCCAGAAUGAGGUACUGAAUUGAAGGCAGAGAGAACACGAAAGCAGGGAUUGGCCCCACCAAUUUGUUGGAAGAGAUGUCUAAUUUCUGAAGCAGAUCAAAGUUCCUCAAUGUUGGAGGAAUCUCAGAUCUCAUGGAAUUGUUUCUCAGAAUGAUACUUACAAGACUAUUUCCCAAUGAAGGAAAUCCAGGUCCUAGGUGGUUGUUACCCAAAUUGAUUUCUUCAAGAGCAGCUAAGCUUUUAAGAUCUGGCACACUCCCAUUGAACAAAUUGUCAGCCAAAACUAUGCUUCUAAGAUUCUUCAUUGAACUGAGGGAUGCAGGAAUCUGCCCAUAAAUGAAAUUUGAGCUAAUGUUGAGCUCCUCGAGUGACCAGAACCUGUUGAUCUUGGCUGGCAAUGGACCCCACAAACCCAGUGACACCAAGGAAAGCACUUUCAAGUUGGAAAGCUUUGUGAGAAGUGUGAAGAAAGAAUCAAUGGAAAAGCUUUUGGACAGGGUCUGCUGAGAAAUCACAAAACUCCCUGAAACUGGUUUUGGGCUGUGAGAAGGGGAGCUUUUGUUUCCAAUGACAGUUAAUUCGGUUAGACGAUUAUUUGUACAGACAACCUUGAGAGAAGGUGUGGGAGGGAGGUAACAGAAGUUGGUCCAAUUUGUCCAUACUUGAAGAGCUCCAGGGUAUUCAAGAAGCUUCUGAAAUUGGAAAAGAAUUCGGCUCUCACUUGGAGUUAACUGCCCAAUCGAAAUUGGAGUGAAAAUGGCUAGAAUGAGAAACAACGAACAGAAAGAAACCAAGAAAUUCUUCAUUAUUCAGAAAGCUAAAUGCACAUGAGAGAAAGGUUCGAGUCAUACAAAUGAGAUUAAGAACUUCAAAAACAGAGAACGCAGAACUGCAACCACAAUUCUAUCUAUAUAAAGUUGAUAGAAAAAGCAGAAUUUAAGUUCUGGGUUUUGUUUAGAACAGCAAAUGCUUUAAGAAAUGAAUAGAAUAAGAAGGUAGCAGGUAUGGAGCAUCAAGAUCUUGGGUUUGGUGUACAAAGAUAACAAGAAAAGAUUUUACCGAGAAAGCAAGAGAGAAAAAUUCUUGUGGGUGAUGAAAGCAAAAGCACUCAAAUUUCAACAAAAAGGAAGAGAACCAAUUAUUGUGCAGAGAAUGAAGGAUCUGAAAAGACUGAAAUUUCAGAAUUUUAAGUGAAGCAAGCUGAAGCAGGAGACAGUGCAAGUGAGCGUCAGUCAAGUUCAAAGUAGAAAGGGACAAUGCAAGCCAGCCCAUCCUGAUCCUGCGCUACGCAAACCAAUAUUUUAAGCUGCAAACUGGUUUAUCUUUCUCAAAGUUUCAAACUUUCUACUGCCACUUGUUUUGUUUGGCCUCAAGUCAACUUGGGCUCUGAUUCAUUUGCGAGAACCUCGAUGUUGACCACGUUUAUUAUGGCAAACUUGCGACUAGUAUCUCAAAACUUACGCUCCAUAGGCACUUGCGGUUCGUGAUGGCCAGGCUUGUAUUUAUUUGAGCUCAUGAUGAAAUCACGAGAUGUUCUUGUUCACGUAAAAUUGUUCAUCAUCAUCAUCAUCAAAGUUACGAGGAAAAAUAGUAUUAUGUUUAUCAUACCAAAAAAAACAAAUCCAUUGUUAUGUUAAAUUAAAAUCCUUUUCAUGAAAUCUUGUAGCGUGAACACAUGCCGAGCAUUAAAGUGAUUGUUUUGUGACGAAACCUAAAUUAAGUGGGCAAGAGUCUAAUCUCUUUAUCCCUAUUUAGUAUGUGAGGCCCCCUAUGCCUUCGGGUCAGUAGUAAGGGGCACCCCACCACCGACAAUGAGUGAUCCUUUUCAAGUGAGAGUUCAACUUUUGUUAUUUUCUGAAUGAAAAAGACAAAAGACCCCACCUCAAGUAAUCUUUUGUAGGAUUGUUUCAAAUAAUUGCUAAAAAAAUUUGUUAACCAGAAUGCCUCUGAGUCUAUGUCGGUCGAAAAUAUGAGUCAUCCAAAUAAUAAGUGGAGUGACAAAUAUGCAUAUGUCGUUUUGUGUUGAUGAAGUUGUGUCGGUCUACGAAUAAGAGGAAAGGAAAAAAGAAAAAAAGAAAAAGAAAAAGGGGAGAGAAUUGGAUACUUUGAUUAAGACAUAUAAUAGGUGUUAGCUCUACCUAAUCCUUUUUUUAUUUAUUUAUAAAAUUAGAUUAACUCACUGGGAUGCGGGUGGUGCUCCUUCCAGCCAGCCUGACACUUGUUUUUAUCUAUCUGUGUGUUACGUGUUUUGUUCUUUCUUAUGGAAACAAGCUUUGUUUGCAAUUUGCAAGACGACGACUUGUUAGUAUCUUCAAAUAUGUACAUACAAGAAAAAGAAAGCCUUGAAUUCAAUGAAACAUUAAUGAAUAUUUAUGUGUUAAUGUUUUAUACAACUUGGUGUUACAAUAUUUUUAUAUAUUUUUUUCUUUUUUUAGCGAAUGAUUCCAUUGAAGUAAAAGAUUCUGGAUUGUUUGACACAUAAGAAGUUCAAGGUUUAGUGUGCAUGCGUUGCCAAACAAAGAAAGUUGCAUGAGGAAUUAAAAAUACUUAUCCUCCGUGGACCCAAAUUUGUAAUUAUUGGAAUUAGCUUCAACUUAUACUCAUUUUCCAACUUAUUGUCCACUUAAAUGCAACAACUAUUCCUUCAAUCAUUCAUAUAUGAGAGAGACCUUUGUCUUCAAUUUAUUGAAUCAUUCAUAUAUGAGAGAGACCUUUGUCUUCAGUUUCUUGUAGUGAUAUGAUCAUCAAAUAAUGUGGGAGAAAAUAAAUUUGGUACCGAUCCGUUAUGGGAUUAGAUUUAGGCGCAACCCGAUUCGUUAUAGGAUUGGAUUUAGGCGUAACUCAAUGCGGGUUUGGAUGUGCAUUAACCCAAUGCGGGUUCGAAUGUGCAUUAACCCAAUGCGGGUUCGAAUGUGCAUUAACCCAAUCCGAAUUUUGAUGUGCACCACCCAACAUGGGUUUGGAUGUGCGUCACUCAACGUGGGUUCACGUGUGCACCACCCCAUAUGGGCUCAUACACGAACAACCUGACCUGGAUUUAUAGGUAUAUUCAGUGGCGGAGCUAGGAUUCUUAGUAUGGAGGGGCCAAAAUUUCAAAAUUACUUCCACUAGGUUUUUCAUCUUCAACUGAGAGGGCCAUCACUAAUCUAAUUGCAGUAAUUGUAUUGCUAUAUCAUAUAUUUUAUAAUAUAUUACAAGAGAUUAAUAAUUAAGUGGGGGGGGCCAGGGCCAUGGCAGGCCUGGCUGUAGCUCCGCCCCUGGGUAUAUUCAAGCAUUCAUACUCCCAUAUCCACAUGAAUUGCGGGACAAAACAAACAUGGUUAAUGGUUGAUCCUGUAUCUCUCAAUGACUUGAAAAUGACGAAAGUGGGCAUAGGACGUGCAAAGUGGAGUUUGUAUCCCAAGGCUAUCACUAGGUAUAAAGGUGAAGUUUCAUAGCCAAAUGAAGGUAUGUGAUUUCAAGUUAACUCGUGCACUCAAAUACAUACAAAAAUUGACUUAAGCGUCGGAGUACCUUUUGUAGGUACCCCACCCUCUCUCAUUUAAUUUCAAAGGAGCGUCGCUUAGAGAUUUACUUAUCCUCCGUGCGGAAGUAAAGCCGAGAACAUGUGGAAGAUAUUCCUAUUGUAAUAAUUUAUGCUCUAAUAGUUGGCGAUGUCUAUGGGAACUCUCACAAAAUCAAUCAAUAGUUGAAUCCGCAAAAGACGCUCUAGCCUAAUCUAACCCCCUGAUCCGCAAAUGUCAUAUCAAACUUUCAGGAAGGAGAACCCAGUCUCGCAGCCAUCCAGCUUAAGAGGGCACUGAAGGAGUUGCGUGAAACGAAGAAGAUGGAGACCAAAGCUUUAGAGAAGUUCAAGGGCAACUACAUGUCGCAUCCGGAAGGCCCUAAGGGAAUCAAAAGGAAAGAGAGGACAAAAUUAUCUGAUGAAAGUUCCACGAGAAGUAUUCACUCCGAUGAUCAGCACUAUGACUAUGAGGACAACCACGACCAAAGAAGGGAAUUAAAAAAGUCCAAAGAGAGCUAGCUAUGAAGACAAAUCGAGAAGAUUGUGAUGGGGUAAAAACUGCAAACACGUGCCAAAUUGGCCGUUGAAGCUGCACAGGGGAUCUGCACAUCGUCCUUCACCAAUGAUAUUCUGAAUACUAAGAAGCCCGCAAAGUUUGCUCAGCCCAAAUUUAAGUUAUUCAAAGAUAUAACCAAUCCCAUUGAGCAUAUUUACCACUUUCAAUAGCAGAUGGUCCUCAAAGAAAAGACGAAAGGUUGUUGUGUAAACUAUUUCCGUCUAGCCUAUCAGGGUUAGCCUUGACGUGGUUCAGGCAGCUGAUGCCAAAGUCCAUCAGCAGCUUCACUGAGCUUUGUGAUGCUUUCAUAUCUUAAUACUUGUGCAAUCAAAUGAGAAAGAAUGAAAUUACAACAUUGUUCAGCACAAAGCAAAAGUUAGGCGAAAGUCUAAAGGAUUAUCUGAAGUGAUUCACAAAGGAAAUGUCUACUUUAGAGACUUAUGAUUCUCAUAUUGCGUCAUUGGCAUUCCGCGAAGGAGUGACGCUGGGAACAAAGAUGCAACAUUAUUCCAAGAGGAGAACUACCUCCAACAGCCUAUUUUCUAUGUCAGUAAAAGCCUAAUUGAUGCUAAAAAGAGAUACACCCCUACAUAAAAAAACCUAGUCUUGGCCUUGGUAAUAGCCAAGAAGAAGCUUCAACAAUAUUUUGAGACUCAUACCAUUACAAUGCUCACAAACCAACCUAUUAAAGCAAUCUUGUCCAAUCUAGAUCUGUCGGGAAGAGUCACAAAAUGAGCUAUCAAGCUAGUAGCAUUUGACAUCAGGUACCAACCUCGAACAUCUCAAUAGGGAUAGGUAAUUGCUAAUUUUCUUGUCGAACGUGAUCCCAAAAAGGGAAUGUAGGAGAAAUCGAGUGAUGGAGAAGAAGCAGGGUUUGUCAGGAAACGCUGUGGGAAUUAUAUGCAGACGACUCAUCCAACCGGGCGAGAGCCAAGGUUGGGAUUUCCUUUUAUCGCCGGAAGAGAUUGAGUUAGAAUACUCCAUCUAGCUGGACUUCCUCGCCUCAAAUAAUGUUGCUGAAUAUGAAGCCUUGGUGUUGGAAUUGAAGAUUACCAGACUACUAAAAAUAAAAAAAUUGAAGCUGUAUAGUGACUCCCAACUUAUAGUCAAUCAAGCAAAUGAGGAAUAUACAGCCAAAGAUGAAAAGAUGGAGGCAUAUCAACAAUUGUCAAGGCAUUUGUUUAAGCAAUUUGAGAAAUUCAAGUUAAGGCAAAUUUCAAUAGAGCAAAAUGAAUGGGCAUAUUGGUUGGCAUGUGCGACAUCAGCCUCAGCUUCAGGAGAAGAUUCUAUAAGGGUCGUAUCAAUAGAGUGCUUAGAAAGCCCCAGUAUGGAAGCUGACGAAUCCAAAGUUAUGCAACUGGACUUGAGUGAAACGUGGAUGACACCAAUAGUAAGCUACCUAAUGGUAGGAACGCAACCCCGAGAUCCAAUUGAAGCAAGAAAACUCAGGAUAAAGAGUGCCAAGUAUGCAAUCAUAGAAAAUGUCAUAUUUAGGAAGUCAUUUUUAGGUCCUUAUAUACGCUGCCUAAGCUUAUUCAAUGUAGAGUGGACUCUGAAAGAACUACAUGAGAGGACCUGUAGCAAUCACUAUAGGGGAAAAGCUUGGCACACAAGGCUAUAACGCAAGGCUACUUCUGGCCUAACAUGGCUAGAGAGGUCGAGCAAUUUGUGCGGAAAUGUGAUAAGUGCCAAAAACAUGCGCCUACGAUUAAGCGGCUAGCAGAAUAACUCAGCCCGAUCAUGGGACCAUGGCCAUUUGCCCGGUGGGGAAUGGAUAGGACCAUUACCAAUUGCGCAUGGGGGGAAGAAAUAUGCUCUUUUUGCCACAGACUAUUUCACCAAGUGGGUGAAGGCCAAAGCAUAUGUAACUAUAACCUGACUAAUGUGAUAAAGUUCAUUUGGCGCAACAUCAUAUGCAAGUUUGGGAUACCCAGAGCCAUUGUUUUAGACAACAGGACUCAAUUCCACAAUUGAAAGUUCAUGAAAUAUGGCAUAGAGAUAGGGAUCACUCAACAAUUCUUAUCUCGCAGCUAUCCCCAAGGAAAUGGCCAAGCAAAAAAGACAAAUUGAACAAUUUUUGAUUGCAUGAAGAAGAAACUUGAGCAACGCAAGGGAAAAUGAUUUAAAGAGCUACCAAACGUGUUGUGGGCAUACCGAACCACCAGGCGAAAGCCAAUUAGGGAAAGUCCUUUUUCUUUGGCCUAUAGUCCUACAACCCGAAUGGUGGUGGUGAUGGAUGGAAAAGAUAACGAUUAACAGGUUGCUCGUAACCUAUAUUUGAUUGAGGAACAUCGAGAGGUCGCAUCGCAAUCUAUAUAGAUUACAAUAUGUAAAGUAAUUGGGUGGAUCCGCUUAUCAGAACCAGGUUGUUAAUUACUUUAAUAAACGAAUCUACCUAAGAAAGUUCAAAGUUAGUGAAUAGGUCAUCGAGAGAGUAAUGGAAAACACCAAAGAUCUUAAUACAGGCAAGCUUGGUUGCUCAUGGGAAAAACCGUUCGAGGUCACAUAGGUAUACAAAAAUGAUGCCGAUAAGCUGAAACGGGUUCAGACUGGUCAAUAUAUGCCAUGCCCUUGGAAUGCAAUUCAUUUGAAGAAAUAUUAUGUUUAAAUUCAUUUACUUAUCCAUUAUUUCACAUAUAUUUAUUAAAUAAAAUCAGCACUUUCCAUUUAAAUUUUAAUUCGUGCACUUGGCUUAAAUUUGUUGUGAACCCAGCUAGGUUGAACUUAUCAGUCGGAUCUAUGCUGAACUUACCACUACCCUGAGGUUACCAAUCCUCUGGGACCAAUCAGUCGGAAACAUACUGAUCACAACAUCACCCAGGAGUUACAAAUCAUAUGGUGUCCUGAUUGUGAAAGAUCUGCAGAAGUAUUUUGGGAUUGAGAAAAUACUGAACAUCCCAAACUUGACCUACCAAGUGAUAGUUUAACCCCUAGAUCUGUGCUUGAGCAAGGACAAUCUCCGAUCAGGUUAGGUUGUGCACUACAAAAUGAAGUAACCACUUAAUAAGCUUCCUUUGCAAAAUCAUAUCAAAGUCAGUAUUAGAAGAGUAGUCAUAAUAAGGAAUACUAGGUUCGAGCCCGAAUGAUGAAGGAAUAGAGGUACAAAACACCUCAAGGGCUGCCUAAUUCCCGAUAAUCAUUAAGGUUUGGGUCUUCCAAUCCUUCGCGGAAGAUGGUUUGUAGCCAAAGAACUUACGGGUAGGCUGAGGGGUUAGGUAGAAAUACUCAGUCUCACACCUAACCGUGCUAACAUAAUGGUGGUAAAAGAAAUCUACAAAGCCUAGUGACACCCCCCUAAUUUGAUGCCAACUGCCAACAUACCACUAAUCAAUAAAUACGAUUUCGGAUUUAACUGCAUAGGGUGGAGGUUCAAAAAAUUCAACACAAGUUGAAAUAAGGGAUGAAGUAGAAACCUAAUGAACUCUAAGUGAGAUGGUGAGAGCAUAAAGGCUCAUUAUGAGAUUCCAACCCAUGUGUACAUGUCUGCUUCCUUAGGUAACCGAUCAAUAUUAACAUUGUUAGAGAUAUGAAAUUUCUCUAUCAUCUUAUUUAUCUAAGACCUCCAGGGAUAUCCCCCCCUUUGACUUUGACCAAAGAUUAAGUCUUGGUAUUGAAGUAACAAGAAAGAACACGGAUGAAACAAAACUUGCAUGAGAGAGACAACUUGAGAAAGGGAUGCGUACAGCAAGAUCAGCUCAAUGUGAGUUAGGUUCGGAGAUCGACACAACCCAAACCGAAUAAGUGAGACUUGAGGAAACCCGGUUUAGUAGAAACACAACCCCGAAAUGGAAAUGCUCAAAUAAGGUAAGUCUCAUGCAACGUCAUAUUUGAGAUAGUCAAAAUCAAACAUAGCCUAAAAGAAGUGUGAUCAAAAGGAAUAUUUUUUUAGAGAAAAACAAGUUGGUUAUUUGCAUGGACCAGUAAAUAGUACAAGCCUAGUAACCACAAAACAACCAAAGAGCCUAAACCCUAUGUUUAAACAAAUCAAAACCAACUACAGUGCACAAGUAUCAAGUAUGCACAUUGAGCAUUAGUGUAUUGUCACUAUAUAUUACCUAUAUGUAUAUGUGAAUUAAUUAAGUAUGGUCAUGCACAUAUACAUAUUUAUAUGCAUAUUAAAAGAAUGCACAAGUUGCAUGUAUAUGGCUUAAGUGAACAUUAUCCAUACAUAAGUAUACAACACGUACAUUUCAUAUUAGUUGUUUGCUUCAUAAUGUGUGAACAAAUUACAGUACAUAUUUACUUUAUAUAUGGCAUAUAUUUUAAAUGAGAUAAAUUUCAUAUAUAUAUAUAUAUAUAUAUAAGUUCUUUAGUCCCCAUCAAAGUUCUUCAAUCAGAACUUCAAUAUAGUUACUAUGAUUAUAUCGAAGUAUGGUAUUCUAUCUUGCUUCACCAAACAGUUGAUUUUAGUCAUUCAUGGUUCCUAAACUUUGACAGCAAAUUCAAGAGUCUUUUCCCCUACUGGUUCAAUCAUUGGUGGGAAAAACAUGGUCCACUCAUUGAUCUAUUUCCUCCUCCAAUGCAAGACUUAGUCAAUUAUUUUACUAAUAAAAAUAAGUUUAAAGAAUCUGAGUUGUUCUUCCCAAAUCUUCUCCAUUUUGUCGCCAAGUAUAAAGUCCCUUGGAUCCUCAAAUGGUCUUACCAGGUUAAUUGGGAAACCAGAGUCCUAUCCCGUCAAUUUUCAAUCAAAUAGUGGGAUAAAUUUAAACUUGAACGUAUUGUAGAUUAUGUUUAUGCUGAUUUUCCUCUAGUCAGGAAUCCACAGCCUGAGAAAAAGUCAUCCUCUGCUACUUCACAUUCUUCUCUCGCAAUCGAGGGAAAAUCUAAGUAUGAGUUGCAGGAAAUUGCUCGUCAACUAAUGUUACAAGCCACACAGAUGAAUGAAGACGAUGAUAGCGAUGCCACUCCCAAGUCGCAGUCAUCUACUAGCCAACCAAAAUUAUCCAGUCAAAAGACUUCAGCCCCCAAAAUGCGGUGAAGUGAUUAUCCCCUUGAUGAUCAAAUCCAUGGUCAAGAUCCCUAUGAUUUUAGUCCUCUUGACCUCGGAGAUGAUUAAAGUUGCCCAAAUCAUGAGCCCCAAAGAAGAUAAAGCAUUUGGAAUCUUGGACCUGUGCUUCAACAGUCUGAUAGCCCGUGCUCCUUUAGUCAGAUUCUCCGACAAAGUAAAAGUUACAGCACUCAGUAAAAGCAAAUGCUUUCGCUGCUUCUAAGUCACUCUCCAAAGCAUCCAAUGUUACCAGCUCACUUUUAUUUGCUUAUUUAAGAAGGCUUCGGCCUCAGUUAUCAAUAGAAUGUAAACUAGUCCACUUUCUUUUCUUAGUUUCAAAGUUCUUUCAGUAUCAAUGCUCUGAAGAACUAAGUGGUGAAACAAAGAUUUUGUAAGUAUUUUGCAUUCUGCAAGUUAUCAAGUUAUCAAUAAUAUUUUGAGUAAUGCUAUUUUGCUUGCAUAUAUUUUCAUCUAUUCAUUAAUUUGCUUCAUGCAUAAAUUGCGUCUGUUCUAUAAUCUCUGUGCUUAUACAUAUUUCUGCUUUAUUCUAUCUCUCUCUGGUUCUAGACCCCUUCUGGUAUCAGAGCCGUAAGUGUUGAAGAAUUAGUCUAAGUCUGCAAUUCAUCCAACCCAAGUGGCUGAUUUAGGUUUUCUGAGUUGUAAGUUUUCAGUUUCUUCUCUUUCUACUUCUGGUCUUUCAAUCUACCUGUCAUUCUCUCUCUUGGUGUCCGAAUUGUAAGUGCCGUUCCAAACAGUAAGUCCCAGGGAGGCCUGAGCGAUAGUGGCAUUAGUAGGAGGACGAGAGAAUUUUAGGUAUCCUGUUAUCCCAUGGAGUUAGUCUUAGGAGUUUCUAUUCACUUCCUUCUUUAGAAAUCCAACCCCAGAACCUUGAGAAAUAUGAGUUGCUUAUUUAGAACUAAUUCUUGCAAUUCUAGCAGCUCUAGAGCCAAUAGUUGUAUCCCAUAGAUAGUUAAUGAAGAACAAGUUGAGUAUGAUAAUAGUAAUAAUAAUUUAGAUUAUAAAGAUUGGAAUAUACCUAGAGUCCCCAGUUAGGACAUCUAUAAGAAAAAAUGGUCAUUAUCCAGCUUUAAGUCAACCACCCAUGUUAAAACAGUCGAAAAAGUCUAUGCCUUGAGUAAAAAUCAUGAGACCUGUCAAUUGCUUAAUCUUGAGUCAAUAAGAAAACAUAAAAAUGAUGGAAACAAUUUCCUCCAUAUUGGUUUAGUCCAAGUCGCUGUCAAGCCAUUAACCAUAUUAGGAUUAAAAGCUUCAAUCCUUCUCUGUUUGCGUGAUGCUAGAUUUACUAAUUUCAACGACAGUACGUUAAGAAUUAUUGAAUCCAGUCUUGCCAAUAGCCUUAUUCAUUUUGAUUGCUACCUAGAUUUCACUAUCAGCCUGAGUGAUCCACACAUAUUAAAAGCUCUCAUUUUAAAUAUUAAAACUGAAGGUUAUGAGGUCUUGCCAGGAAGCCAACCCUUGGCACUAAUCUGUCGAAUUUAUUAUAAAGUCACAGACACCAAUAUGAAUUUUCAAGCCUUAAACAAAAGUCCGAAGAGUCAAACUUUGUUAAUCCAAAGUCAUACGCCUAAUGCUACUGUUAGAGUUCCUCACUCUAUCAAAUGGUCAGAUGUUACCCUUCCUGCUGAUUGGGCCCUAACCACUGAGAUUCCUCUAGUCCUCAUCCAGUGUAGUCUAAAUGAUUUAGACUACAUACAACAAUAUUUAGAUGGCACAGUAAAAAUUAAUUUUGGUAAUCAAGCCCCAUAAAAGUCGACAGUCCAGUUACAACAGUUACCUACACCUGGUCAAUCCCAAAGAACGUGCAAAUAUUUGUUUGGAUGCAAUAUUUUGAACAUCUUUUUCUAAUACAUGCUUAGCAGAUUUGCAAUCAACUCGGAUUAAAAUUUUUUGAUUUAAUAAAUCAGAUUGAAAUUUAUUAAUGCAUAAUACAAUAGAUAAUAUCUCUUUUUUAAUAGUAUUGUAAUUAUUUUGGGACUGAGACCAAGUGCCAGAAUGGAAUCGAAUGAUUUGCUCAGAUUGAUUAGGAUUGAUUCUUUGUUUGAGGAUACCUCCAUAACCAAUGUUAGAGGCAUCAGUUUCAACUAUUUUAAAUGCAUCAGUAGAAGGGAUACCAAGACAGGGAAGUGUCUUAAUAUGAGUUUUGAUUUGUUUGACUAUAUUAGUAUGAAUAGAAGACCAAGGAGGAGGAUUAUUUUGGAGACGAUCAAAUAAAGGCUUACAUUGUUUUCUCAAAUUCUUAUAGAAAUAAGAAACAUAAUUUAGAGAUCCUAAAAAUCUCUGAAGUUGACUUUUGGCUAGGAUUUGAUCAGGAAACUUAUCGGCAAAUUGAAUGACUUGGUCUAUGGGGCUAAUCUGUGAUUGGCAGAUAUUAAACCCAAGAAAUCUCACAUUAGUUUGGAAUAACUUAAUUUUCUUAGCAGAGACAACUAAUUCAUUUUGUUUAACUAUCUGUAAGAACUUAUACAAAUGUUUCCAGUGCUGCUCUAUCGACUAAGAAAAGAUAAGCACAUCAUCAAUAUAGACAAUGGAGAAGUGACUAUAUGGAUUAAAAAUCUCAUUCAUUAUAUUUUGAAACUCACUUGGUGCAUUCUUAAGACCAAAGGGCAUAACAUUCCAUUCGUAAUGACCGAAAGGGGUAACAAAAGCAGUUUUAUAUCUAUCAGACUCAUGAAUUUGAAUUUGCCAGAAACCACUCUUCAUAUCAAACUUAGAAAAGAUGACUGACUUUUCUAAUAUAUUAAUUAAAUCUCUUUUAUUAGGAAUCGAAUAUCUAAUCCAUUCUAAGACAGUAUUUAGUGACUUGUAAUUAAUGACUAAUUUUGGGACUCCGCGUUCUAAUUCAGCAUUUUUCUGGACAUAGAAAACAGGACAAGACCAAGGUGACUUACUAUUACGGAUUAUUCCUUUCUCAAGUAAUUCAGUAAUCUCAGUUUUACAAAAUUCCAUUAAUUCUUGGCUUAUUUGAAUUGGUCUGGCUUUAGUGGGGAUAUUUUUCUCACUAAAGGUCUUAACAUAAGAGAGACUGACUACAUGUUAUUUUCUAUGCCAAAAGGCAUUGGGUAACUCAGAACACACUUUUUGUUUUAGUUUUUCUUCAAACUAUUGAAUUUGUGACUGUAAAGGCUCAUGACUAAGCUGUUGCUCAAUUCUUUUAGAUUUAACUUCUUCUUGGAGAAAUCUUAGUUGCUUAUUCUUAUUCUGAAUGACUCUGACUGUUUUAGUGACUGCACUCUUCUGUAAUUCUUUUAAAUUAUGUAACUCUGGUUUACUCAGAAAUUCAAACUUAACCUUUUCUCCUAAACAGGUGGAAAAGACACCAUCUGUUCUACCUGGAAAGGAUAUAAAAGGGCUAUAAAGGGUAAACCUAGGAUGACUUCAUCAAUAAUGUUCUUAACUAAGACAAAUGAGGUCUUAAAACAGAUUUUAUUUUGACAGACAUGGGCUUUAGGGAUCUCAUAAUUCAAUUGAAAUGACUUUCCUGAAGCUGUGCUUAAUAACUCUUUUGACUUUUUGUAAUAUUUAGUAGGGAUUAGACCUUCCUGGAUGCAGUUAAGGUCGGCUCCUGAAUCAAAUAGGGCAACUGUAUUUAACUCAAAAUUCUUAACAAAUAUGGUGACCUUAGCGUACCAUUUUCUAAAAUUGACUUGUCUGAUUAAAUUGAUGACAGGGUCCUGAUUGGAGGGUUCUUCAUUAGAAUUUGUGGGACUUACUGGUGUAGACGUAGAAGUUUUCUCUAAUAGGUUAACUAAAUCUUGUUUUAUCUCAUAAUUUUCACUUUGCAGCUUUUGACUUCUUUUUUUUUAUGGAAAAACCCCAGUACAGGAAGAUACUAAGUCUGAGUUCCCUGAUUCACCUACUCAAUCUGAUUUCAUAGGUAAUCAGCUAAGAACACUUAAUAAAAAAAAAUUGUAAUUGAUUGGAAAAGAUUAGAUAGUCACCUUCAUGUCCCUGAGAAUCAAGUUAGAAGAGAUUAUUACCAUUCAGUCAUCCCUGAUAGAGUAAAAAGACAAAAUAAUUUUUAAUGAUUGGAAAGAAUACAUGCGCACUGCUAAAGUUGAAAUUUAUUAUCUUGAUUUUGUAGGAAGCCGACAUUUGCCCAAUGAGUUAAAAACUUUAACCCAUGAAAAAUGGGAAAAAGUAGAUCACACUGAGAUCCUUGCUUCUUCCUCUACUCUAGAACGAGACCUAGAGUUAGAGAAAGCUUUAAUUGAUUUAAAAUUAGAAUCACUGCGGAAAACUUCCCAAGUUACCCAUCCUGUUUAUGGAAAAACCCCAGUACAAGAAGAUACUAAGUUUGAGUCCCCUGAUUCACCUACUCAAUAUGAUUAACUCAAUGAUUUCUUUUUUGACUAACUUUACCUCUAGUUGUAAAUCCUAUAAAGUGACUUUUUUUUAUAUAUUAAAUUUUUCUAAGGUUGUGUUUAGACUUAUCUUUUGGGAGGUAGAUUGUCUCGGUUCUUCUUGACUAAUGACUUUCUUAAUUUCUUUAAAUACUCAGAUUUCAACUAUGGGUUUUCAACUUUACUUAUUAAAUCAAUUAAUAAUUCUUCUUGUUUUUCUUGCUUAGUAAGAUAACUAAUCGACUUAGACUUACAGCAAUUAUCUUGGCAACCAAAUUGACUUCUGGGUGAGCUUAAAUGAGAAUCUGAGGAGAUAGAUUCUAAAGACUCAGUGUCACUAACCAUUGUUUCAUUUUCACUUGACUCAGAAUUUCUUAACUCAAGGACUUUAAUCAGUUUAUCCUUAUCCUCAUCUGUGAUUUUCAAUUGUUUGAUUGUGUCUUUAACUUUGCAAUUAUUAGCAUAGUGACCAAACUUUUGACAUUUGUAACAUUUUACUUUUCUCUUGUCGGUAUUUUUGUUAAAGUGGCUUUUCUUAUCUUUUCCGUGACUCUUUUCUCAAUUUUUCUUAGGGGAGAAUCUCUUUUUACUAUAAAAUUCUUUAUCAUCAUUAUUAUGUUGGAAUGACUGUCUUCUGUGUGAAUAAUGACGACGUUUACUAAAUUGUCGGUUGUGAUGACUGGGCUUAUUCUUUCUAGAUGGGGGAGUAGACAUUAGACCAUACUGGUCGCAGAAAUUACCUAACUCAUAUUUAGCAGAAUUUCUUUCAGACUGAAUUUGUUUACCAAUUUUCAUAUCAACACACAUUCUCAUACCGACUUGAUUAAUCGUGCUAAUUAUAUUUCCAUAUGUUAGACUAUCCCAAUCAAUAUGGCAUUGCUCAUUACUAAGGGUUGUUCGGAUUUUAUGGGCGAAUAAAUUAGGAAGACCAUUAACAAAUUUCUCUUUCCAAAAUGAUUGAUUACUAUCGUCCCUAAUCAUGGCUCUGUAAAUAAACACAUCUUUAUACCAUCUAAAAUCAGAUAAUUUAGGGCAUCUUAAAUUACUAAGCUGAUCAUGAAUUCUAGCAGUAGUGUUACUGGGUGUUCCAAUGAAAUGCUCAACUAUUGUGUAUAGUAGGGUGUUGACUCCAUCUUCAAUGCCUCGACCUAUUUGUUCAUCGAAAAUAGGAAGACCGUCUUCAUUAAGUUUGACUGCAUGAAUUAUUUGUUGCUUAGACUCAUAGGUUAAAUGCUCGUCCCACCAAGAACGAAGAGUUCCGGUGAAACCAGUUUCUAAUAAGGGAACGAUUUCAGACUGUCUGAAACUAUGGUUGGUGAUGUAACUAUUGGCGACCAUGGACAUAUGUUGAAGUUUAUUAAGGAUUUCUUGCUCAGAAAGACCAUCAAUAUUCCAUUCAUAUAGCUUAUCUGAAGAGACUGAAAACUGACUUUGAGUGUUUCGUUCUUCAAAUUGUAUAUCAGGAGGUGUGGGCUUAGGAUACCAAUUCAUUGUAUGACUAGUUGGGCUAACUUUGUUCGUUAUUCUUUGGACUUGUGGAUUACUUUCUAGUUCAAGAUUCUUAAACAUGUUUUCAAUUUUAGAAAUAUUACUAGUUUCUGUUUCCAUACUGACAAUUGACUCAGACUCAGAGGAGUUAUGGAAAACAAAGGGUGACUCGGAAGACCCUAAGACUUUAACACUUGUUUCAACUUUUUCUUUAUCUUUUCUUUUGACUGGGGUUAAUUCUUCUAACAUUUUCUCAAUUUUUGUCAUUGUUUCUUUCGUCUUAAAAGUGGGAUUUGAUUUUAAAUCUUGGAAUGUGACUAAAGGUUUUUCAUGUUGCUUAGGUGUGAGUUCUUUCGGUAAUAAUUUGUCAACUUUUGUUUCUAUCUUAUCUAAUUGUUUACCUAUGACAACUAGACUCUAGUUGGUGUAAUUAUUCUACUGAACUAUUAUUUUAUUUUCUGGAUCAGGGAUCUUAAAGGGACGGGCGACUAUUAUAUAUAUAUAUAAGUAUUUUAUUAUGCGAGUCUUUUUACAUACCCACAUAUAUAAAUGUCACUUAUGUCUACUUGAGGUAUCUGUGCGUACACAUAAUUUAUUUCUUUCGUGUACAUGCAUACAAGCAUAUGAAUAUAAUUAUAUAUGCAUGCUCAUCACAAACAAAUUAGUGCACUAAGGGGAAAUUAGUGCGAGUAGACAUAUAUAGAUUAUUUCCUAUCUAAUUGAUACCUUGACAACAAGAUUAUCAGCGGCGAAGGAAACCACAAACACUCGGGACGUUUAGGAACUGUGACAAAUUGUUUAACUUCAAAGAAGAACGAUGUCUGUGGUGAGAUUUUUCCUCUCCUCCCUUCCUAUUUUCCUCUUCCUUUUCUCCCUUCUUUUUGCUUUCCUUUCGAUUGCUUCUAUCAUAUACACAUAUUCUUUUGUAAAUGGAGAAGAGGGCACGUAAUUCUAAGGGAGAAAGGGAAACAUUAAAUCAAUGUCGGGUGUAAGGGCUUUGGAGGUUGAACUGUUAGCCCAUCAAAAUCUGCUACUUUUGGGGAGUCCCUUAAGUGCAUGGUGGGUUAGAGGAUGCGUCUUGUCAAAGUGGGUGAAGUGUAAUUGCUGGAGCUGCAAUUUGCUUUUGCUAUCAACACAACAUUGCUAGUUGUAAUUCCCUUAGGUGUAUCAAACUUUUAUGAGCCUUUACAACGUUAUUUAUUAUUAUUGUCUUAUUGUUAAGAGAGUCCAGUACAAACCUAUACCUGAUGGUCCAAGAUAACAAGGUUAAAAUCCUAGAGAGAAUAUGAGAUGAGUUAAAUUUUUCCCUUUACCGCAUGUUAGGCACGAGUAGGAAAAGGAAAAAAAGGGGGCAAUGUGGGAGCAAGUAAAUUUGGUACCAAUCUGCUACGGGAUUGGAUUUAAGCACAACCGAAUGCUGGUUUGGAUGUGCAUUAACUCACUGCGGGUUCAGAUGUGCAUUAGCCCAAUGUAGGUUUGUAUGUGCAUUAACCCAAUGCGAGUUCGGAUGUGCAUCAACGUGGGUUCAUGUGUGCAUUACCCUAUAUGGGCUCAUACACGAACAACUCGACAUGGAUUCGUGGGUAUAUUCAAAUACUCAUACUCCUAUAUCCGCAUGAAUUGCGGGACAAGACAAACAUGGUUAAGGGUUCAUCUUGCAUGACUCUUAAUGACCUGAAAAUGGCGAAAGUGGGCAUAUGACGUGCAAAGUGGAAUUUGCAUCCCAAAGCUGUCAUCAAGUACAAAUGUGAAGUUUCACAGCCAAAUGAAGGUAUGCGAUUUCAAGUUAAUUAGUGCACUCAAAUACAUACAAAAAUUGACUUGAGCGUCGGAGUACCUUUUGUAGGUACCCUACCCUCUCUCAUUUGAUUUCGAAGGAGCGUCGCUUGGAGAUUUACUUAUGUUGCGUGCAGAGUAAAGCCGAAAAUCCGUGGAAGAUAUUCUUAUUAUAAGAAUUUCUCUCCAACAAAUAAUAUUAUAUUUCUAAUAAUGAAAUAAUUAGAAGAAAAAAUCGAACACUAAAUGCGGAAUGAAUAUUCCUUUACUAUUUGAAUUACAAAAGCGACCAAAUAAUAUUCUUAACUAAUUGCAAAACUAACCACAUCAUAAGUCAUUGUAUAGUGAGGGCCAAGGCCCUUAGAUGAGGUCCUAACCAAUUUGAUCUAAGGAUUAAGAGAUAGAGAAUAAGAUAAAGCCCUCGCUAUAGAAUUCUACAUCACAGCAAAGUAAACCUACCUAAAAUUGGAGUCAUUCUAUAGUGAGGGCCUUAUAUAUGGCCCUUAAGUGAGGUUCUAUUUCUUAAACGUUGGAUCAGGCUAACCAAUUAACGACUAACUAAUUUGAUCCAAUAAUUAAGAGAUAGGGCCUUACAUAAAGACCAUAUAUAAGGCCCUCACUAUAAAAUUCUUGCCUAAAGUUGGGCUCUAGUAUUGGGCCUGCGGUUUGUUUGUUUUUGGGUCAACUCAAAUUUGGGCUCCCUCCCAAUAAAUAAAGUGAACCCACCUAAACGUCGUCGUUGUGUUCCCUCUAGUUUCGUGGAUAUCUUUCCAUUUCCGCGUUAGAUUUGCAAACUUUCCAUUUUAGCAAAAUUUUCAGGUGAUUUCAACAGUGAAAGCAGAGCUCAGCUCACAGUCGUUAGUAGAGCAGAGCAGAGAGCCAAAUGACUCUGUGACUGAAGCACAACACACAUAGACCCUCAUCUUCUUCUUCUUCGUCUCCUUCGUCGUUUCCUGGUACUUCUUAUUUUCGUUUCUCAUUUUUCUUUGUUCGGUAGUGGCGGGAGGCUUUAGGGUUUCCAAGUACUGCAUUUUUGGGGAAUGCUUAGAUCGAAUGGAUUUGGCAUUUCAUUUGCUUUGAAUUUUCUUUUCCCUCUUCAUAUUUGUUUUUCAAAUCAUACCAUCUUUACCGUUUAUUGCAUUUUGUGCAUUCUUCCAGUAUUUUUAUGUUUAACGCUAUUUCAGUGUAUUUGUAUAUGUUUUUGUUCAAAACUUGUUUUUUCUAUUUCAAGUUGAGGGUUUAUAUUUUAGCUAGAAAAGCUUUCAAUUUUGUGUCCUUGUGGUAUAUUCAUUAUUCAUAUUUAUUGUAAAAUCUCAGUUUAGGUUAACUAGUAGAAGAUACCAUGUUGUUUAGGACCCAAAUUUUUUGUUCCUAAAUGGAUGUUGCGUUUUAGCUUUUUAUUCAUCUUAAGAAGAUCAACUGAUCAUUAGCUACUAUCAUGGCUCAACUUGUGUAUGUACAUGCAGGUUUCUACGAAAUAAGUUUUGUGGGCUGUCUUUGACUUUUCUCAAUGGGAAAAACUCCCGGAAAAUGGAUCAAGAAUUUGCUUCUUGGGAAGAAAUCAUCCAAGUAUAGUUUGUCCAAAGGAAGAGAGGUAUUGCUAAGCUGCACAUUGCUUUGCAAUCAAUUAGUAUUGUGAUUAAACAGCACUAAGUUGAAAAGGAUACAAAGUUGUAAUUUCAUGUCGAGUUAACCUAGGAAAAAAGGAAAGCCUGUCAAUUGAAAUUGUUCUAUAUGAGCCUGAUGAGAGCAGAGCAGACCCGAAAUUUAUGUCAUUGUGGCCUAUACCAUGGCUGGUUGUUUAAGUAAUUUAUUGAUUGAGCUUUUUUUUUCCCUCGAUAAUUUGGGAAUGGAUAACAAACUCUUGAGAGUGACCGUUUGAGUUAGUAUGUUAUGUCUAUUUUCUUUGGCAAGUGAAUUGUCAUGUUAUAUCUUGAUAUUAAGCAAAAACAUAAAGAAUGUUGACCCUGGAAGUUCAAAUUUCAUAUUACACUAUAGUUUUAAAUUUCAACUCUUAAAUAAUUAUGUAGUUUUGUUAUUUGUAUAGUUGUUGCUGGUCAUUAAGUUCUAAUUUGCAAAUCUGAUUAUUGUGCACAGAAAUCUACUAAUAAAGGGAAGGCAAUUGUCUCUUCAAAUUUAUCUGUGUCCGAGUUAACUGUGAGUGCUCCCCUAAUAUCACCACCUUUAGUUUCACCACCAGUGGUUGGGACUGGUGCUAGCAAUGCAGUAGACUCAGAGAUCGGUGUAGCUGCCAAAUUGCCAAAUGAUGGGAUUAUUCUUUCAUCUGUGAAGGAAGAUGGCCAAACACAAGCUAUCUUUAGUUCGAAUUCUCAGGAAGAUCAUGAAAUAAUCAAGCAAGAGCAAGCGGCCACAAAGGCGCAAAGUGCUUAUAGGGGUUAUGUGGUACUUUCCUCCCAUAGAUGUUCUGCUUUUGCUUGACAAUUAUUAUUAUUAUUUUAUUAUUUUUUUCACAUUUUCUGUUGUACUUCUGUGAGAUGAUUUAAGUAACUGAUGAAUUUAUUUUUGGCAAUCUUCCAACCACUAAUGCUUUCUAUUAUCUUUGAAGGCUCGCCGUGCAUAUCGAACCCUUAAGGGCAUCAUAAGGCUGCAAGCACUUAUUCGUGGUCACUUGGUUAGAAGACAAGCUGUAUCCACAUUAUUCUGUGUCCAGGGGAUUGUCAAGUUGCAGGCUCUGAUUCGUGGUCAUCUUGCUAGACAUUCUGAUAUUGGGGUUGAAGUGAAUAAAACUCAUCUGGUAAUUUCUGGUUACUUUUCAGUUGGCUCAUGCAUUGACUGGAGCUUAGUGAUUCAUGCUUUUUGACCAGAGCAAAAGCCUGCCUAGUUUUUUGUUGAAAUGAAUAUGCCAAUAUGAUUUUUGUUAUGUGUGAAUCAGGGUGAUUUAUCAGAAGUAAGUGCAUCUUCCCAUGUGGAGAGGCUGUCAAAAAUUGCUUUCGUUCAAAAGGUGAGAUUACAUUAGUAUUGCCCAAGAUUUGGUUAUUUUGGUUAUUUGAUAUUCAUUUCUUUGGUUCUUCAUUACGGGAAAUAUACUGAAAUCAACUUUGUUUUAUAGAGUAACACAAUCUAUGACAGAGGGAUUUUCCUUCUCACUAUUGUCAGCACUGUGCUCUUGUUUCACUCUAUUGGGGAAUAGUCUGGUAUCGUAUAUGCUUGUAUUACUUUUAAUGAUUUUCCGCCAAUUUAGAUUAUCAUGUAGGGAAAUAACCAUUGUGUCCUCAGCCUAAUAAAGAGAUCCAUGCAACUUAUGGCUCCAAACACCAGUUCCGAAACUAAGUAAUGCCACUUCCAUUUUAAGCUUUGAUCUUAAAAAUAGGAGCAUUAUGCACAAUCUAUGCCUGCACCUGUUUGUCACUUUUACUGCUGGUCUGUAUUGGCCAUUUGAUUGCCAGAAAAAGAAAAUGGGCAUUUGAUUAUAAAUUUUCACUUUCAGCUUCUGGCUUCCUUGCCUACUACUAGUCCUCUACAUCUCCAAUAUGGUCCAGAGGAACCUAAUUCGACCUGGGUGUGGCUUGAGCGCUGGACCAGGUCAUGCUUUUGGGAACCUGUUUUACAACCAAAGAAAAAUCUCGAUUCAAGGUCUCGUAGGAAGCAUGAGAAGGGUCAAACAAUAGAAACUGAAAAAGCCAGGCCAAAAAGAAGUGUCCGGAGGUUGUCGAAUACAAAUGUUGAAAAUGUGUCAAAUAGUGCCACUCCAGAUUCUGAAAAGACCAAACGUAAUUUGAGGAAAUUCUCUAGGCAUCCAGCAAGCUCAGUUCCGGAACAUCAACAAAAUGAAGUUGAGAAGGUUAAAAGUAAUGUAAGAAAAUCUUCUGAUCCCAAGAAGGGGGUUUCUGAUCGGUCAGUAGUCGGUGAUGAGAGAUCAAAGCACAGUAUGAUGAAGAGUUUGGCUUCUGCUGCUCCUGAUGAUUCAGAGCAGGGCACUAGUGAAUUUUCCGAGAAAAUGAAACAUAUGGCAGUUGCAGUGUCAAAACACUCCAAUCUAGAAGGAAGUGUGGAUCUGCUGUCAGCAGAAGAACCAAUGGAAAAGUUAGAUGACCAUCCUUCUGUUGCCGUGCUGCCCAUGGAGAACAAUGUCAGAAAUGAAGACAAUCCUUCUGCUGAGAUGCAACCCAUGGAGAACAAUGUCAUAAAUGAAGACCAUCCUUCUGCUGAGAUGCAACCCACAGAGAACAAUGUCAGAAAUGAAGACCUUCCUUCUGCUGAGAUGCAACUCAUGGAGAAAAAUGUCAGAAAUGAAGAAGUUCAAGCAAUCAAUGAGGUGCCAAACUCUAGGGACCACUUUAUUAGCAAUGAGGAUAAGAAAACAAGCCAGAGAAGGGCUUCUUUCCCUGUGAAGUUUGAUAAUCAGGAGAAUGGUGUUCAUAACACACCAAGAGUCCCAAGUUAUAUGGCACCAACUGCAUCAGCAAAAGCUAGGCUGAGAGGACAGGGCUCCCCCAGGUUUGACCGAGAUAUGGUUGAGAAGAAUGUUAUAACCAGGCGGCAUUCUCUGUCUGCUUCCACCAACACCAAGUUAACUUCCCUUUCCCCACGAGCACAGGGACUGGUUCAAGCAGCUGGCAAAGGAGUGAUCAGAAGUGACAGAUCUUUAUCAUCUUCGAGGGAUGGUUUAGGUAAGUUGUGAACUCGAGGAGUUGCACCAUGUGCUUUUCAGUUCCAUGUCUUGUUGACACUUCUUUUUCUUCUUAAUUUCCAUUCCCCUAUGCCCCCAACAAAUUUCGAAGCUCUCUUGCACAUGUGUUUGUCCUUCUAUACAUGACACCUAUCUGUUCAAGCAUUUAUUUGCUCAUGCUAGUGUAAGUUGGGGUAUUUUCAGGAUGCACAUUGACCCUUUGGUCUCAGGGUCAGAGAAGACUAUGUUGAAUUUAAGCAGGACAUAUCAAUUUUUCUAUAGUUUAUAUAAUAAAACUGUGUACAAAAUUUUUUGCUUGCUUCCUUAUGGAUCACUUGUCUUGGUCAUCUGCUGUAUAAAGUUUCUUAUCUUGUUUUUAUUAGGGAAAAAAAAAUCAGUCUAAUGAAUUGCUUGGUGUCAUUGGACCAUUUGAAAUUUAUGGUAUGCUUUCUAAUUGUCCUUUUAUUGUGGGUAAUGCCAAUUUCAGAUAAAGUAAUCCAACCUGAGUGGAGGAGGUGAAUUCCGACGAGGUAUUGCCCCAUGGAAAUAUUUCAAGAGAAACAUAUCAACUCAUUUCCAGUUUCUGGUUUUAUUGAUGUUGUCACCAAAGUAUAGUUGAGACCAAGAUUGAUUUGUUGUGUAAUCAGUGUUUUGAAGUGCCUAGUUUGUUCUCUUACUUAGCAUUAGGGGUUGAUUUGAUAGGUCUUGGUGUUUGGAUAAUUUGUGUUAGCCUUGAUCCUUUGUGAUUUUCCGUGUCAUCAAAUUAUGUACAAAUGUGAGAGCUUCAAGCCUCUAAGUUUCUGGUUUUCUUUUGCAUGUUAAACACUCGGGGUUUUCUAUUGGAAAUUGAUAUUUUGAUGCCGGGGCAUGUGUUUAUGAUCUCAAUAUACUACCAACUGCAAUGCUCAUAGAUUACUGCUAUAAGGCCACAGUGACAUUAUUUACCAGAAAGUCCAUUGCUUGUGCAAUGAUUUUAUUAUUCUUAAAAUCUUUUUCUCAGAGGUUGAAGUGCAAUAUUUUACACCUUAACUAGCCUAGCCUCAAUCUGAAGCCACAUCUCUAAGAUUUCUUCACAAAGAGGUUUCCCUCAUAUAACGCAGAAAGCAUAGAGUGAAGUCCCAGCUGUCCAAGUAGGGUGAAACUUGGCCAGGUCAACUGAAUACCCACUUCCAACGUAAAUAUACCCGUAGCUUGCCGAAAUACCCCCAUAUACUGUGGCACCAGUAUUAUACGACCACAAAAUUCUUCCAGUGUUUGCUUUCAUAGCAUAAAUGGGACCAUUCGAAGCUACAGACCCAGCAAAAACAACGCCAUUAGCAACUGUGACAGGUGCUUGGGCAGUGUCAUUGCUAGGGUUUGCAGUUGUCCACAAAAUCUCCCCUGAAUCUGCAUCAAGAGUGAAGUUUUCUCGGUCGCCGUUGGCAAUGUUUGUAUACACACUCUUCUCCCAUCUGUGGCUGCACCCCAUAUGCCGCCUCCUUCGCUGGCACCCGGACCCGCCAACUACAAAGUCCAGCAAAUUUAUUAGCCUCUGAGUAUUCCACACUGAUUUAUCUUAAGCACAAAACCCAACUCCUUUAGCAACUCAUUUUACCUUAGACCAGACUAUCGUUCCAUUGUCACGGUCUAUUGCCCAUGCAAACCCGCUUUUCUGCACGGCCACUACGACAUCACGCCUUGUUCGGUUAGGGUGUAUGGUGAGCAGCAUGGGUGCCUCUCCGAAGUCGGCAUCCAGAUUAGGUCCCGGUGGGCAGUCAGGGUUGUUGGUACCAAACAAGCAAAAUAGAAAACAUCAUAUCCGCCAAGUUGCCUGGACCAUACAAUCCUCCCAGAAUCCAAAUCCAACGCCAGAAUUGAAUUGAAGUUGAUAUCUGGACCAAUGCACUGAUCAGGAUGGGUAGGUUUUCCUCUCUGUUUAUUCUGCCUCUCUUGACAUUUGGUCACCUCAGGUGGAGCUGUGUAGAGGAUUCCAGUAGCCACAUAUACAUGUCUCCUGGAUAUAUCAAUGGCGGGGCUGCUUCCCCACACUGCAGCUCCUGAGUAACCUCCCAAUCUACGGCGGAUGUCCUGUAGCAUGUCCGCCACCUUCUUGCAAAGACGACACCCAACAUAAAAUGCACUGCAAAAUCGAAAAAUACAUUGACAAGCCUAAAAAACGCAGAACAAUAUGUAAAAGUUGAAAUAUUUGAGUACUUGACUAGUGUACUACUAACCCUAAGUGUACGGUUCCGGACAUGGUGAUAAGAACUCUUGGACGUGGGUCAAGUUGAGUUGACCACACAACACAAGCCUCCAAUUUGAUCGAUCAACAGCAAUCACAACAGCAGGUCCAUAAAUUCCAACGAUCAAGAGGUUACCGGCUAUAGUUGGGGUUGAUCUUGAAACGGUGACGUUCACAACAACUCCUGUUCCAUUGAGUCCAGUCAAGGCACCAAGGUUCUGCUGCCAUAUUAAACGACCAGUGAACGCAUCCACAGCAUAUAAAUAUCCAUUCCAUGAAGGAAAAUAGACCCUUCCAUCAGCUACUGCCGGCGUCGCAGCGAAAAAUCACCAUCUUAACCUCAUGUUUAACACUGUCCUUGGGUUGAUUAGCACUUCCCCAACAGCGUUCCUUCUGUUGGUAAUGUCACCCCCGUGAUUUGUCCACUGAAAACAUAUAAUCAAAAUUAGAGCAAAACAAACAUCACAUUGGAAAAAUUAAGCUUAAUUAAUUAAUUGGUACUUACAAUGGCGUAUGUGGCAUCAAGAAGUGUAAGCCAACAUACCACCAUGACGACCAUUUUCAUGGUGUGAUGGCAUUUCAUCAGAUUUUGUUUACAAGCCAUGGCUGGUGAAAUGGUUCUCUUCUCUCUGGCUAUGGAUGAUAUAAGUUUACGUGCUUGCUACUUUGGGAACCAUUAAAUCAUUGGCUACCGGCUCUACUUAAACCCAACUUUUUCCUAAGUAUGCCAACCCCUCCCAUCUACUUACACCCAACUUGCUACUGGAAAUCUAAAUAUUCCGGAAAAUACCCCCAUUAAGACCCAAACCAGUUCUUUUAGUAGACCUUUUCUUGUCAUUGUACAUUAGGGUAAACUUAAUUAGGAAAAAAGUCGGGUUUAAGUAGCCCCACUCUAAACAAGCUAUAAUUAAGUUCAAAAAGAGCUGGUUAAAGUGACUGAGUUUCAGCUGCUUAUCGGGCAAAAAGAGUUAUAAGUUACAGAAUUUUGGUAAAAAAAGCUUACUGUAUUGAGGAAGCUGCCUUCUCUCCAUGAUGUCAUCAUAUAAUUUCUUUCACAAGCUUCAAUAUUCUCAUGUCAUCCGGGCUUUUGAGAAAACAAGCAGGGAAGUUAAUGAAAACAUGGUUAUUGUAUAUUGAGCAUGAAAGAACACACAAUUCAGAAGCAUGAUGACCUGCAGAGAAAUUAAGAAUGUUAAUUAAAAACCGAACUAAUCACAAUUAGAUUAACCAGUUUGGUAUAAUUAACUGGUCAGGUGGCAACCAGAGUUCCCCCAAACACUUCAGUGGGAUGGCAUGCAUGGAAUUUCACCCUCAGUUGAAGGGUUUUGGAAAGCUUGAUCCCAGUGAAGUGGUCAGGGAAACUCUAGGGGACAACUGACUUUCAUUCCCUUUGAUCUCCUUUUCUCUUGUUCAAUUUGGUUUCUGGGUGAGCAAAUAUAUGCACCCCAUAUUUAUAACCUAAGGCUCUCAUGAGUUCUCACUUUUCAUGAUUCUUAGAUUAGAUUUUUAGGUGGUCUAGGAGAACCAUUGGAGAUCGAGAGAAAUUUGCAGAAGUGGGAUUUUAGGCCGCAAGUGAACCUGGCCGCAAUUGUGGGUCAGAAUCAGAUUCAGACGAAGGGUUUGAAGAAAGAUAUAUAUAUUUGAGGGGGGGUCAUUGUAUAUAUAUUCUAAUGAGAGAGCUAUGUAUAAAACACAAAUUAAUCCAAGCCAGAUAUGCAUUGACUUUAUUCUAAGAUAUUUAUGCUCUUAAGGUAUCAAUGUAGGGAUACUUAGUUAUAAAAAUUGCAUUUAAUUAAGGGAGCUGAUUUUCCCACUCUUUUUUUUUUCACUUACACUCUCUUUUAUUUAAAAAAAAAAUAUUUUUUAAUUAAUUUUGUUCUUUUUUGUUCUUUCUCUUUUCUAUUCUACCCCUAUCCUACAGUAAUUUCUUUUUACUUCACUUUCAUAUUAUUUCUUUUUCUUUAUACUUAAUUUUUCAACUUGCAUUACAUUUUCUUUUUCUUUAUAUUUUUAUAUUAUUUCUUUUUCUUUAUUCCGUUAAAUGAACAUGAUAAUAUUUUUAUUUUAUUUUUAGAAAACCUAUAAUGCUUAAUGAAGUUAAUAAAAAGUUGAAUUAAAAGCAUUAGAAAAAAGAAAAGAAGGGCAUAGUCGGGGAGGGGAGGAGUUGCACAUCGAUUGUAGAAGUGGGAGCAACCCAACAACCAUGUCAAUCUCUAUCCCCAACCAUUUUCCCCACCUACACCCAAAGACCCCAACUCUCCAAGCCACACUUACCUCCCCAACUCCAUGCAUUAAUUCACCUCUAAUAUAUAUAUUAAAAGCUCAUGCAGACUUAGCACUCUGCAAUGGUCCUUCCCACUUCUCCACCCGGCUGAGCAUUUCCUCCCAUUCCUGACUAAACUACGCCCUUUUUUUCUUUCUCUUUUCAAGUUUUUAUAUUUUUUCUAAUGAUGUAUUUUACUUUAAUUGAACUUUUAAUGUAUUUUAAAAUUAAUACAACUUUUUAUUAACUUCAAAAAGCUUUAUAGGUUUUCAAAAUAAAAUGAAAAAAGAUUAUCAUGUUCAUUUAACGACAACUUUAACAGAACAGACCAAAUUAAUUAAUGGUCUUAAACACAUGGAUCAAUUUGGCCAAAUUAAAAACACAUUGACUAAAUUGGCCAAGGUGAUAAAACAUAGGGACCGUUUUGAUAUUAAAGCCAAAGAAAUAAUAUAGAAGUCAAGUAUAAAGAAAUUAAUGUAUGAUAACAGUAGAGUAAGAAAGAGAAAGAAUAAAAAAGAAAAAGAUUGAUUAAAAAUAUAUAAAAACAAAAAGAAGUGUAAGUGAAAAAAUUAGCUCCCUUAAUUAAUAUCAAACUAAACUUAAGUUGGGAUUAAAAUGUGGCAUAUUUUGACUGGUGUGGGGCCAGUUACUUUUAUCAGAUUGGCACUCCAGUCCAGUUGACCAUGCCAACUUUUGAUCACUAGAACCUGCUGCAACUCCAUAAGAAUAUAUUUAUUUUUGUGUGAUGUGAUAUCAUCGAUGGGGUCAUGUAUAUAUACCAGAAAAUCUAGAUGGAUUAUGAUCGCUUCAUAUCAGAAUUGAAAAACAAAAAAAAAGAAAAAAAAAAGGCUGUGGCUGUGGCUGUGGGAAUGGAAACGGAUGGAUAGAUUGGGAUUGGGAAUGAAUUAAAAUGGAAAAGUUAUAUAGCUAGCUAGCAUGGGGGGAGGAAUGAGCACUCGCUUUCAUUUCAUGCAACAUUUUAUUCCCUACUGUUUAUGUAGCCCACAUAACAGUCUAGGUUCACCACCUACAACUUUAUCCCCACAUAUUUUUCUUCCAAUUGAAUUCCAACCCAAAAUACCACAAUUAAAGGCCUCUAGCAACCACUAUAAAUAGCAUAGAUCCAUGGAGUUGACAUUACCUAUUAUAUAUCAAGCAAGAAUAUGAACAACAAAGAAAGCAAAUGUCAAGUCAGAUGACCCCUAGAGUUUCUUUGACCAUUUCAUUGGGUGAUGAACCGAUAAACGAUCUUUUUCGAUAAGUUAUUUCUCAAAUAGAAGUUCCUACUGAAGUGUUUGGGGGAACUCCUGGGAUCAUUUGAUACCAUAUAUCAUAAAGAUUCAAGAUCACAGGGAUAAAUGUAAAGAGUCUUAUGCAUGCAAUUACAAAUUCUGCUAUUUUUUAAAUAGCUUUCUACAGUAAUCUGAUAAUUCCCAGCUACUUUCUGAUGCAUAUAUAUUAUAAGUGUAACACUUGUUGGUUUUCUGUUCUGGUUUUUGAUUUUGAUAGGUAAUGUGCGUUUGCAGACUGCUAGGACUAUGAUGAUGAAGACAUGGCUUGAUUAACUAUACAUUCGCACAAUUAAUGUAUCGAAGCAAUUUCAUGCUGGCACUCUUCUUAGAAGAUUGCUUAGACUAUGAAUUUUACAUGAUUUAAAUUCGUCAGUUUUUAUUUACUCCAACCAUAUUCUUCAUUGUGUUUGUGACUGAAUGUCUUAUAUGGAGUGCAAGUAACCUUCCUCUCAUCAAUUUGCACGUUUCUCAAUCAAAAUUUAAAUAAAGAAAAAGAAGAAGAACAAGUAAUUUAUGGACAUUUUUCUCUAUAUAUGUUUUGAAAUGUUAGCUCCUACCUGAGUCAAUAUUUAACCCCAAUGCCAAUAGGGUAUAUGUGGAAUAUUACGUAAAAUGGUCAUGAGAGUGAGUCUAUCCCUUUGCACUUAAAUUCGAAACCCCUCCUUGAAAAUUAUUAAUUUAGAUUAUCAAUUGUAUAUAAUAAAAAAUUGGGGUCAAUGGGUCAAUAUACUUGAAAUCUUAGUCAAUUUUGAUUUCAGAUUUUUUUGGGUGCUGUUAUAAACGAACAUUAAAAUUAACUGAGUACACUCUACUACUAAAUUAUUUAUUGAAUUACUAAUUUACCCUCAUAUAAAAUGACAAAAAAGACUUACCUAGAUAUGUUAUUCCACAGAGACCCGAAUUCGUGCAAGUGAUGAUCAAUCUCUAUGGAUUUGCAAACCACUGAUAGCUUCAUUGAAAGAAAGACCCACAUAAACAAAGCAAACUAAACUUAGCCAGUACACACAACGCCAUAGAUAGCAAAGUAGAGAGACUCACAAAGGACUAAAAUUAAAACAUCAGAUGCGAGGCACCGUAAGACCAUCCGCUUCCAGCACACCAUUUGUUUCCAACUGCAUAUUGACCAUUAGUAUAUGAGUACAUCAUUUGUUUUCUGUUCUAAGCCUUAUGAAAUUGUUGAUAAGUGAUUCAUACUGAAAAACCUGAAGCAUCGCAUACAACAUGGAUUCCCUAAAUUCUGAUGUAUAUGAUAUAAAUUUGGUAGAUGUUUAGUAGAGUUAUACUUCCAUAGUCGGCUUCCAGCUCAUUAACAAGUUCGAUAUUGCACUUUGGAAGAAUCCAAAAUCCAAAUUUCAUUCAAUUGCUCAUGUUUGGUGGUCUGAUAGUGUUCGGCAGCCAGCUCUCGAACAGGUUUGAUAUCGUGUGAUAGUGUAUAAGGGCGUACCAGGGGUAUUUUUAGGAGUUAAAUAGGGUGUACUUAGUUAAUAUUACAUUUUGAUUUAAAUAUUAUCGUGUACUUAGAUCAUAGGGUGUACUCAGUUAAUUUUAGGGUCUGUUUAACAACACCCAUUUCUUUUAAGAGUAAAAUCACGAUUUUAGGUUCCAAUAACAUAAUUGCUCUCUUUGACGAAGAACAAUAAAGAGCAAUGUUAGGGAUACCAAGUGGAGCCCACUAAAAUAGUAGGGCUCAUCUCUAUUAGAGAGGUGAUAUACAAUGUUGUAUGACUAGCAUUUUUGAAAAAUAAAAUAACAUAACUCUCUGAUUAUUUUGAGUGAUCGCGUGAAAGUGUUUUGUUUUGGACCACCUCCUCCAGGCCCAUAUCAUUUCCACUGGAAGAACUUUGUUUGGAUAUUUUUUCUGUUGAGGCCAUAGUGCUUUUGGAUGUUAAAUCUUAACAUUUGGCCCAUUCCCUUUGUCAAUCAACUUCAUAAACGAGGUUGUAUGAUUCUUUCUCUUUCCUCUCUCCAGCAUGGAACCCUAAUUUAUGCUUUGACUUUGGAGGAAUUGGGCAAAAAUUAGAUCUUUAAUUGCGAACUUUAAACUCAAACGUACUCCCUCAAUUUCUCUAUUUGAUCGCCCAGACAAGGCAUGAAAUUAGCUAAUAGCUUUGUCUUGUAUGAUAUUUAGUAGACAACAUGAAACGUUGAAACUUAAACAUAAUAUAACUUGUUUUCCUUAAUUUGCUUUGUUGUUUGUAAAUCCAGUGGCUGACAUUUUCACUUUUGCUUCUACUAUUCUGUAGCAUUCAAGGUUUUAUGGAAUUGGAUCCAACCAAGGUCUUGGCCAUAGAUUUAAUGGCCUAGUGGGCAAUACAAAGGCGGCCAAUAAGUCCUAUGGUCCUCAGUCCCUGGUUUAAGGCACAAACUUCGCUUUGACAGGUUCGUCCGUUCUUGCACUGCAAUUUUUGAAAAGAAAAGCAAAGAAGGCAACCUUUUCUAUGCGUGCCAGACAGCUACAAUUGAGAAGAAAGAUGUUAGAUUGUAAGGGAAACAAAGUGAUUUUAUUAAAUUAAGGAGAAUAGUACAUAGCAUGGUGUAGACUAAUUGGCUUUUUGAGCAUAUUGGCUUAUUGGCUACCACACUUGAUUUAAAUUAGUUUGGGCUAUUUGGCCCUUACACUUUGAUUGAUGAGCUUAUUGGCUCCUAAACAUAGUUUAUUUGGGUAGCUCUUGGCUCCAUUAGUUUGGGAGUUCUUUUCAUUGAAUUCCCCAUAGAUUGGGAGUUGGCGGAUGACUCCACUCCACCUUGCUUUGUUGCAUUGCAUGCCUAUUUAUAGGCACCUUUGCCGACAUCACCAAGUUCCACCGACUUGGUCUCUUUUACUCCAGCCACAAGUGUAUGUAUACUAGAAACUUCUAUAUUUUACAAUAUUAUUUUUGUGGCUAUUGUUUAGCCAUCAUGCUCCACAGCCAGUCUAGCAACAUGAGUGUUCUUGCUCUAGAGAGUUCUUCCAACUUCAAUCUCUUUGUCUAGCUGACAUAGUAUGUUCUCCACAACUCUAGAAUCAUCAUUGUAGUCAUGAUUCUUUUAGCAUUGUGUAGAACACAAAUGAACAUUAUUUUUCAACAAAAGAAGAUAAUGUGUGGUUUUUAUUGGUAAUGGUUGUAGUAAUUACAUGACAAGCAACAAGAACCUGUGUUUUGACUUUGAUGAGUAAAAGAAGACUAAGGUCAAGAUGGGAGUUGAAUUGUGGGUAUAUGUGAUUGGAAUGGGCACGUUAGCAAUUGAAACAAAAGAAGGGAAGAAGAUUCAUCAAGGAUGUGAUGUCAUGCUUGUUCCGGAUCUUGAUCAAAAUUUGCUAAGUAUUGGCCAACUGAAUGAGAAUGGUCAUCGUGUGUACUUUCAAGACGACUUCUGUGACAUAUUUGAUAAAGAGGACAAAAGUCAGGUUAUUGCAAGGGUUAGAAGGAAAGGAAAUAGAAGCUUUCGACUUCAAAUGAAUUAUUCUAAUUCAGUUGCAAUGAAGGUGGAUGUAGUUGAACCAUCUUGGUUAAGGCAUAAAUGUUAGAAUUCUAUAUUAUACAUGCUCUAGAUCUUUCACACAAUCUGAAAUACGUAAAGACAUGAACACAUACUUGGAGCCAUCUUCCUAGAGUACACAACUUCUGAACUCAUCCAAUCCGUAGCAGCAGUAAUCCUAGCAAAAACAGGAACGGCUCAAGACUUCUGCUCUCUUUCUCAUAAUCUGUUUCAGCUCUCUCUUUAUGAUGAGAAUAGGGUUAGAGAACGUGUCUGAUGAGAGCAGGGCCUUAAGCUUAUAUAAGGGUAGGUCAAGUCGUCUCUACUCAACACCGAAGGCUGACUUGACUAAUCUUCCAAGCUCACUUAAUCGGUUCAAGCAAAAAGGAAAUAAACUAUGACUCCUUAAUAGGCUUCAAAACUCUUCCUUAUUCCACAAGGUUUUGGGCCUCAAGGUAUAACUUAAUUUAAAGAUUAUCAAACCUUUCGAAAUACAGAAGCUUAAUAUGGUCACUGCUAGGAAGUAUGAUAAUAAGGGUGCUGCAAAAUCGGGAAUAAAGAAGCAGAGUUAGUUUCAAAAGAACAACCCUCUUGGCGUGACCCCUACCACUGAAUUUAAGUGUUUCUUUUGCUAGAAGGAAGGUCACAUGAAGAAGAAUUGCAACAAUUACAAGAAGUGGUUCGAGAAGAACAAGAACAGAGGUAAUAAAGAAUUAGCCUUAGUGAGUUUUGAGUAUUAUUUAGUGGAUGUUCCUUUUGAUUCUUGGUGGUUAGAUACGGGUGUCUCGAUUCAUAUAGCUCAUAAUGUGCAAGAAUUCACAAGAAGGAGGAAACUAAGAAAGCAUGAAGUUAAAGUGUAGGGAAUGGAGAGCAAGUAGAUGUGGAAGCCAUUGGAGUAGUGCAGUUGAAAUUGGAUUCAGGAUUUAUUUUAGAGUUGGAUAAUGCAGUUUUAGUACCCUCAAUGAAGAGGAAUUUGAUUUUUGUUUCAAGAUUAUCAAGACUUGGUUUUGUUUUUCAAUUCAAUAAAGAUGGCUUUGCAUUAUCUCAGAAUUCAAAUAUUCUUGCUACUGGUUUUCUCUCAAAUGGAUUAUACUGUCUUAAUUACAAUAAAGAGGGUGAAGUUUUAAUGGCUGAAUCAAGUAAGAAAAGGAUUAGAAGUGAAGGAUCAUCCACUAGGUUAUGGCAUAGGCGUUUAGGGCACAUUUCAAAAGAAAGAAUGAAAAUUCUUGUUAAGGAACAAAUCUUGCCAUCACUGACUUUCGGUGAUGACGGAAUUUGUAUUGAAUGUAUCAAAGGAAAACUCACUAAGACUAAGAAGAAAGGUGCAACACGUAGUAGUGAUCUUUUGGAGAUUAUUCACACAGAUAUUUGUGGAUCAUUCCCUCAUUAAACAAUUGAUAAAAAUCGCUAUUUCAACACCUUUAUAGAUGACCAUUCUCGUUUUGGUUAUCUAUAUCUCAUAGCAAAAAAGUCUCAAGCUUUUGAAAUGUUCAAGAUUUUCCAAACUGAAGUAGAAAGGCAACUUGAGAAAAAGAUCAAAUUGUGAGGUCAGACAGAGGGGGUGAAUAUUAUGGACGUUUUGAUGAAGGAGGACGACGAGCUGGACCUUUUGCUAGGUAUCUACAAGAUAAUGGAAUAGCUGCUUAGUACACAAUGCCAGGAACUCCGCAACAGAAUGGUGUGGCUGACAGAAGAAAUCGAACCUUGAAGGAUAUAGUUUGUAACAUGAUUUCGAAAACUGAUUUUUCUAAGAGUCUAUGGGGAGAAGCGAUCAAAACAACAAACUACAUACUUAAUAGAGUGCCUAAGACACCUUUCGAAAUUUGAACUACCAAAAAGUAUAGCCUGCGACAUCUUCAUGUAUGGGGUUGCAAGGCUAAAGCUAGAAUCUAUAACCCUCAAGAGAAGAAGCUAGAUCCUAAAACGAUUAGUUGUCACUUUAUAGGUUAUCCUGCAAGGUCAAAGGGUUUUAGGUUUUACUGUCCAAAUUAUGGUACCAGAAUUGUUGAGAUUGGAUGUGCAAAGUUUAUAGAGCAUGAGGAGAAUCCCACUGGGAAUAAAGAUUUUGUCUUUGAAGAAGAGUGUGAUGUAGUUGUAAUUGAGAAUGCUGAGCAAGAUGUUACAUCCUUGAUUCCUUUAAGUGAAACUGUAUUGGAAAAUCCUCAGUUUGAAGAACCAGUUGAACCACAAGAACAAGUUGUUGAGAAUCCUGAGUUAGAUAAACUGCUUGGCACUUUUUGUUUCUGGAACUCCACCAAAAAUAGCUUCCGUAAUAGUCUUCUUCAUAACCAACAGACAAACCUUAUUAGCCAUCCUCCAAGCUACAUGCACCCUUUUAACUUUAGCAGGGGAAUUAGCAAUUGGUUUGGUCGGCUCAUCUUGGGUGAUAGCAUAAUCGAUAUCACUCAUGCCUAGCGCAACAUCAAGAUCAAACUUCCAUCUUUUGAAAUUUGAUCCAGUGAGGAUUUCAAUUUGCGAGAAAUUGAUUGAGAGAGUGUUCAAAGCUAUAAGGAUUUGCAAAAGAAAAGCAUGAAUACUUUCCAAGAAACCGAUUCUCAAUUUGUUAAGAGAAACAAUGUUCCAUUUAACUAUAUUCACAGAACUAACAAAUAAUAUAUAUGCAAUAUCACACAUUUGUGGCAAGAGAUUACUCAUAACUUACACAAAAUUACAUGUUAUCUUGUGCCAUCACAAACAAAUUACAUGACAGAUUCUAUUUGUUGAAGAAACUUAUCAAGCAAUUUAGGCAUAAUGCAAUUUUUGGUUAUUUCUUUAGGGUUUGAGUAUUUAGGUUUGGUUUUGUUAUGAAAAGUUUGUUGAUUCUCAGAACAAAGACAAACAUCUAUCUAGCUCAGAAAAAUAACCAAACAAAACAUAGUUCAAUAAGGAAAAACACUAAAUUGCAGUGAAUAGUAAAAACUGUCGUGAACAAUGUUUUAGGAGUUUUUGGUGUUUGUUUUUGACGCAAAAUACAUUUCUUAACAGGGAAUGACCUAAUUAACACAACUCACUGCUUUGCUGUGACAUAUAUGCAUUUUUAGGGUUUAGGUCAUCCAGUAAGUCAAAAACGUGUUUAAAGUUUUGAAAAUAUGAAAAACCAAAUCAAAACAUGCUUUUCCAGAUUCUUUAAUAUUCUUGAUAUUUUCAUAAACAUGUUUAAUUCAUCUUCAAAAAAUAAACAUAACCAAAUAACUGAACAUGACCUAAACAGAUAUGAAAACAUAGUGGACAUGCUUGAACAACGAUUUCAGUGUGUGUGAAUAACCUUAAGCUCUUAUACCAAUUGUUAGAAUUCUAUAUUAUAUAUGUUCUAGAUCUUUCACAUAAUCUGAAAUACCUAAAUACAUGAACACAUACCUGGAGCCAUUUUCCUAGAGUACACGACCUCUGAACUCAUCCAAUCCGUAGCAACAGUGAUCCUCGCAAAAAUAGGAACGGCUCAAGACUUCUACUCUCUCUUAGAAUCUGUUUUAACUAUCUCUUUAUGAUGAGAAUAGGGUUAGAGAACGUGUUUGAUGAGAGCAGAUCCUUAAGCUUAUAUAGGGCUAGGUCAAGUCAUCUCUACUCAUCACCGAGGGCCGACUUGACUAAUCUUCCAAGCCCACUUAAUCGGUUCACGCAAAAGGUAAAUAAAAUAGGACUCCUUAAUAGGCUUCAAAACCCUUCCUUAUUCCACAAGGUUUUGGGCCUCAAGGUAUAACUUAAUUUAGACUCUUAUAAAACAUGAUAUAACUUAGUAUCUUGUGCACGGAUCUAAAUAGGAAAACAUAACAAUAAAAGGAUGGGGGCAUCUCACUUUCCAAAGUCUGAAAAUUCUUUAGCAACAUGAUAUGGUGACUGGUUUACCCUCAAUCUAAAAAGCAAAAUAUGCAUGUGAAGGGUGUGCGAAGGGGAACCUACAUCUAGACUCAUUUCCAAGUGAAGGAGCAUGGAGAGCAUCUAAGCCUUUGGGAUCAUCCACUCGGAUGUGUGUGGACCAAUGUAGACCGACACCCAUGGAGGUAAUAGAUACUUUUUGAUUUUUGUAGAUAAUUUUUCAAGAAUGACAUGGAUAUAUUUCCCGAGGCAAAAAUUAGAGUUAUUCUCCGUUUUCAAAAAGUUUAAGGCAAUGGUGGAGAAUCAAAGAGGUUUGAAAAUCAAAACUCUAAGGAGUGAUAGAGGUGGUGAGCACACUUUAAAUGAGUUCAGAAAAUUUUGUGAGAAUACUUGAUAGGCAACUAACUCCAGCUUAUACUCCAUAACAAAAUGGAGUAGCAGAGAGGAAUAACAUGACUAUUGUCGAAAAGGUAAAUUCUUUGUUACAUGAGAAGGGACUACUCUAUGUGUUUUGGGGAGAAGCAGCUUAUACAGCUGUGUAUAUUUAUUGAAUCAUUUUCCUACUAAAGCAGUGAAGGAUUUGACACCAUUUGAAGCAUACAGUGGUAAAAAGCCAUCUAUGAGUCAUUUGAGGGUGUUUGGAUCAAUAUGUUAUGUUCAUGUUCCCAAGAACCUUAGGCACAAACUUGAAGAAAAUAGUGAGAAGUUUAUCUUUGUGGUGUACAGUAGUCAUACAAUGGGCUAUAUGCUCUAUUUCUUGAAGAAAAAGAAAGUGAUCAUUUGUAGAGAUGUUAUCUUCAAUGAAGAAGCAUGUUGGGAUUGGAAGAACAAAUCAGUCCAACGUUUUCCACUUCAUGUUAAUGAUGGCAUUUAAGUAGAAGAGAAUGAAGAGGAAGGACUUCACAUUCCACCAUAAUCUCCACAAGUUGCAAGUCCUUCAACACCUCAAUCUCAUCAAGUAGCAAGUUCUUCAACAUCACGAACUUCUUCGCCUAGUUCAAUUCCAAUGAAGAUAAGGAAUCUCAGUGGUGUGUUUGCUAGGUGUAACUUCAGUGUUAUUGAACCAGAGAGUUUUGAAGAAGCUAUGAAUGAUGUAGCUUGGAAGAAAGCUAUGAAGGAAAAAAUAACUGUGAUAAAGAAGAGUUCCACUUGGGAAUUGGUGGAUAGUCCUAGUGACAAAGACAUCAUAGGUGUGAAGUGGAUUUACAAGAAAAAGUUGAAUUUGGAUGGUUCUAUAAAAAAAAAAACAAGGCAAGACUAGUUGUAAAACGCUACUCAAAAAAAUAAGGGGUAGAUUUUUCAUGAAACCUUUGCACCAGUGGCAAGAGUUGACACAAUUUGAAUCGUGAUUGCAUUGGCAGCUCAUAAGGGUUGGUUUUUGCACCAACUUGAUGUGAAGCCAGCAUUUCUAAAUGGGGUUUUGAAUGAAGAAGAAAUGAAAGUGUACAAGUCAAAGAAAACACUUUAUGGGUUGAAGCAAGCACCUCGUGCAUGGUAUGUGAAGAUAGAUGCUUACUUCAUCAACAAUGGUUUUCAAAGAUGCAAGAGUGAGGCUACUUUGUACCCCAGGACUGAAGGCAACUCAUAAAUCAUUAUUGUUUCCAUUUAUGUUGAUGAUUUGGUGUUUACUGGAAGUUGUGUUGUGAAAAAAUAAUUUUUGAAUUCAUGGGAGAUAUGAUGAAAAAGUAUGCAAUGAGUGAUUUAGGAUUUAGGAUUGUUGCAUCAUGUUUUGGGAAUUGGUGUGUGUGAAAGUAAUGAUAGGAUUUUCGUGUAUGAAGAAAAAUAUGCUAAAGGUCUCACUGGGAAGUUUGGAAUGAGAGGAUGUAAGUUUGUUGCUAAACCUCUAGUGGCUAAUGAAAAGCUACAAAAAAAAAAUGGAAGUGAUGAAGUAGAUGCCUCAAUUUUAGAAGCGUUGUUGGGAGCUUGAUGUAUUUGACAUCUACAAGGCCAGAUAUUAUGUAUGUUACUUCCUUGCUAUCGAGGUUUAUGAACAAACCAACUCAGAUUCAUCUGGGGACUGCUAAGAGAAUUAUGAGGUACAUACAAGGUUCAUAAAAUUUUGGCAUUGUGUAUGAAAGGAAGAUUGAGCCAUAGCUAUUUGGAUUUUGUGAUAGUGAUUGAGGUGGCAGAGCACAUCGGGAUAUGCAUAUUCUUUGGGUUAUGUUGUAUUUUAAUAGGCUUCCAAGAAGCAACAAACUAUUGCUUAAUCUACUGCAGAAGCUGCGUAAGUAUCAGCGGAUUUGGAAACUUCUCAAGCUAUAUGGAUGAGGAUGAUUUUAGAAGAUCUUGGUGAGAAGCAAGAGGGCCAACUCCUAUCCUUUGUGACAGUAAAUCAGCAAUUGCAAUGGCCAAGAAUCCAUUCUUCCAUGGAAGAACCAAGCACAUUGCAAUCAAGCAUCACUUCAUCAGAGAUGCUGUUGAAGAGAAGGAUGUUGUCUACUGCAGGACAGAGGAGCAAGUUGUUGACAUCUUCACCAUUACCAAAGGACAGCUUGCAAUACUUGAGAGCUUCGAUGGGAGUUCAACAACAAUGCAUUAAGGGGGAGUGUUAAAUUUGAGUAAUGCUCUUGUUGUAAUUCUUUGAAGAAAAAAAAUAGAGAUUGAGGCACGUUUGUGAGAAACUCUAGUGUGGUAAUUCUCUGAAAGAACAGUUUGAGCAAAUUUUGCUGGAAACUUUAAUAUCGAUGUUUUUGUUUGUAUGGCUAUUAGGAGGCCACAUAUGUGGUAUGUGAAUUGGCUAUUUCUAGCCUUUCAUUCUGGUAGGUAAGCUAACCACCAAGUGGGCAAUUAAGCUUGUAAUAGAUAUUUUAUAGAGUGAGUUGCUCGCAUUAUGAAUCAAUUGAAAAGAAAAAGAAAAAAAAAUAGAGAAACAAGUUUAGACUUCUCUUUGAAGCUAGACCUAUGAGUUCCAAUUCCAAAAUUCUCUCUCUCUUAUCUUUGCAUAAUCUCUUGAGUGAUUUGCUACUUGUAUUACCAAAAAAUUCCAACAUGCUGAUAAUGUCAGAUGGGCUUAUGGGUUAAGUGAAAUUUCUAAAAAGAGCAAUUGCUAGAAAUUAGGAUUCAUAAGUCAAGAAGGGAGCUUCGAAGUUGGGAUUGCUUUUUUUUUUUUUUUUGCUAAAGGGAAAAAAAUGGAUAGGAAAAAAAUUUAGAAAAACAAGAUGGAUGAAAUUGUGGGCUUUUGUCCGCUGAUGACUGACAACGGAUAAAUUAAUGAAAUUGUAGAGGUGAUGGGAAGAAGAUGAAAGGACCAAGAGUAUUAACAGAGUUUGUCUUUUGUUAAGUUUAUGGAUAGAAGUAGGUAAUAGGGAGGGGACACAGAGUUUAGGGACAGAAGAUCCGGACUUUGAGCAAAUGGAUACAUACACUGUACAUGACAUUCCCAAUAAAUUUGAUUUUGCCCAAGUUAGUCGAGUCUUAAUUAAGAGAGUUUGGAUAGUUAAUUACGAACAAACUGAGAAAUUAUUAGUUAGUAAAGCACAUAUCAAACAGUUGAUGAUAAUGUCAUAGUACUUUGCUUCUUUGAUGACCAAGCUUUGUUUCCUACGAAAAACACACAUCCAAAGGUGCUCUUUCUAUCAUCAAUUGCACCUGCCCAGGCACUGUCUGUGUAGCCAACCAACUGUGCUUCCUUAUCUUGUGUAUAUCUAAUACCAUAUCCCUUGGUUCCUUGUAUAUACUCGAGUAUUCUUUUUACUGCAGCAAAAUGGUGAUUACUUGGGUCACUCAUGAAUCUAGAUACCACACUUGCGUCAUGAACAAUAUCUAUGGCCUUGUAUUUGUAAGAUAAAUUAAUGAACCAACUACACUUCUAUAUAUGGAUGCAGUAUCCAUUGGUUUGCUCUUCAGCAUAUUGAAUUUUUUCAACAAAUUUUCAGCAUACUUCACUUGAGAAAUAAAUAUCCUCUCAUCUAAUUGUUGAACUUGUAUUCCAAGAAAAUAUCUCAUAGUGCACGAAUCUGUCAUUUCAUCCUUCAUCAUGUUCUUAUUGAAAACUUCUGCCAACCUUGGAGUUGUGCUUGUAUAGAUCAAAUCAUCAACAUAAAGGCACAAAAUUAGAAAAUCAUGUGUACCUUCUUUCUUGAGAUAAAGUGAUGGCUCACUUAAGCUUCUUAUAAAUCUAGUUUGUGAAAAUAGUGAUCAAUUUUAUUGUUCCAGGCUCUUGGCGCUUGCUUUAAGCUAUAUAAGGCUUUAUGGAAGCGAUAAACUUUAUCUUCCCACCCUUUCUUAAUAUAACCUUGCAGGUUGCUCCACAAAAACCUCUUCUUCAAGUUCUCCAUUUAAAAAUGUAGAUUUGACAUCCAAUUGAUAAACCUUUGUCUUCAGUUGUGCAACCAAAGCCAAAACAGUCCUUAUAAGCUCCAUUCAAACUGCUGGAGCAAACGUCUCAUUAAAACCAAUUCAUGGUUGUUGAGAAUAUCCUUUUGCAACCAAGCGAACCUUAUGGUUUUGGAUUGAGCCAUCUCUAUUAAACUUUAUCUUGUAGACCCAUUUAAGUCCGAUGAUAUCUUUUGAUUUGGGUCGAUCAACAAGUCCCCAUGUUUUAUUUUUCUUGAUAAUUCUUAUUUCCUCAUCCAUUGCAUUUGCCAAAUAUUUUCUUUUACAGCAUCUUUGAAUUUUUGAGGUUCAAUGGCACUCAAAACAAUUUCAUCAGUGGACUCAUAUGUAUCCUCCAUUAAACGUAUUUUCUCAAUAAUCCUUGCACUUGAAAGUGGUGUUCUUUUAGAGGAACUAGAACUGGAUGAAUGUGUUCUUGUACUUGAUAUUGGACUUUGAAGCAUCUUAGUUUCUUCUGAAUUUGAUGUUUCUAAAAAAUCUUGGCACUUCAGUAUCAUCAUUCUCCCAUUUGUAAGCCUUGAGUUCAUCAAAAAUAACAUCUCUGAAAUUACCAGACUAUUGGUUCUUAGAUCAAUUAAUCUAUAUGCUUUGGACUAAUCAUUAUAUCCCACAAAAAUGUAUUUCUCACCUUUCUCAUCAAAUUUUUCUCUCUUUUGAGAAGGGAUAUGUGUAUAUCAAAUGUAGCCAAAAAUCUUGAAGAAAUCCACCUUUGAUUUAAAACGAUGCCAUGCUUCAAAAGGAGUCUUAUCUUUGAUUGCCUUGGUUGGAGACCGAUUAAGAAUAAACACUGCUGUAUGAAUCGAUUUAGCCCAAAAUGCAAUCAGCAGACCCUUUGCCUUCAACAUGCUUCUUGCCAUCUCGACAUUGGUUCAAUUUCUUCGUUCGGCAACUCCGUUUUGUUGUGGGGUGUACCUUGUUGUCAACUCUGUUUUAAUACCAUUGCUUUUGCAAUAUUCAUAAAUUUCAUUUGAUGUAAACUCUCUACCACGAUUUGUUCUUAACACCUUCAGAUUGUGACCACUUUGAUUUUCUACAAAAGCUUUAAAUUUCUUGAAAAUAGAAAAUGCUUCUGACUUCUAAGAAAUAUACCCAGAUCAUCCUGGAGAAAUCAUCUACGAAUAGAAUGAAGUACCUUUUGUUAUUGAAGGAUGGGUACGAGUUGGUCCGCAAAUAUCUGCAUGUAGCAAGUCACGAAGGGCUUUUUCUUUCCAAGCUGAUUGUGAGAAUGGUAAUCGAUGAGAUUUUUCAAAAAUACAACCUUCACAUAUCUCCUUUUCAUAGUGAAUAGACGGAAGUCCAACCACCAUAUUUUUCUGGUGUAAUAGCUGCAUGUUUCUUUGAUUCAAAUGCCCAUAUCUUAGAUGCCAUAAUAACGAACCAUCAACUUUCUCUGCUUCCAAAGCAUAGUUUUCUUUUGAUGUCAUGAACAGCGAAAAAACUUUGUUUGUUGUCAUUUUUAUUUUUGCUACCAGAGUGUUAUUCUUUUUGUCAGAAAUAACACAACAAUCAUCUUCAAAUUUCACCAAGAAUCCUCUUUGCAAAAGUUGUCCCACACUUAUUAAAUUUUGAGCCAAAUUAGGAACAUACAACACAUCAUAGAUAAGUUUUGGAGUACCUCCUUUUGUUUGCAUUGAAAUGAUACCCUUGCCUUCCAUGUUGUGUAGUUUUCCAUCACUAAGCUUGACUUGUGGGUUCACUUUUUCUUCUAACUUGACAAAGCAUUGCUUAUUUCUUGUCAUAUGAUUACUGCAUCCCCUAUCCACGUACCAAACAUCUUGUGAAUCUUGAUGAGAAUUGAAACAUGUAUAAAAUAAUUGCUCUUGAGAGUCAUGUUCUCUGGAAAAUUUGCUUCAUUGUUUUUCUGAUAUCUCCAGUCACUUUGUGAACGGUUGGGUAUCCUGCACCAGGUACAUUUAUAUCGGCAAUCUACACUUUUAUGCCCAUAUUUGUUGCAAACAUAGCAUUGAAGGGAUAAUCUUCCAUUUUGAUUAUUUGAAUUGCUGCUUCCUUGUUGAUAAUUGGAACUGUUGCUUCCUUGUUGAUUAUUGGAAGUGUUGCUUCCUUGUUGAUAAUUAGGACUACUGCUUCCUUGUUGAUUAUUAAAACUGUUGCCUCCUUUGUUGGAAUUUCUACGCCCAAUUUUUUUGUUUCUCUCAUUUUGAGAUUUUCGGAAUUGUCCUCCUUUUUGUCUGUCUUCUUUCUCCUUCGAAUUCACCUUGGACUGGAAAGUGUGCUCCACCAAGUGUUCUGUGGAUCUGUUGAUUCUUUUUUUUUUUUCAUGUGCUUCCAAUCAACCAAUUAGUUCAUGUAAAGAAAGUGUAGAUAAAUCUUUUGAUUCUUCUAUUGCGGCAACGACAUGAUCAUAUUUUGACAGUAGACUUCGUAAAGUUUUUUCUACGAUUUUCUUGUCUAGAAUUGUAUCCCCAUAACAUCUGAUUUGUUCACAAUCCUGGAAACAUUUGUGAAGAAUGCUUGAAUGGAUUCAUUGUCUUUCAUAAGUAAGUUAUCAAAUUCCCGCUAAAAGGAUUGCAGUUUGAUGGAUAUCAACUUUUCUGAACCUUUGAACUCAAUUUUGAGAAUUCCCAAGCCUUCUUUGAUGUUGUUGCUGAAAGUAAUCUUGGAAAGAUUUUUUGCUUACUCCUUGUUGAAUUAGGAACAACGCGUUGGCAUAUUUUUUCUUUUUUUCCUUAUAAGUCUGUUGCCUUUCUUGUGUUUCCUUUCCUGCUGUUGAAGUUUCUUGUUCCGCAUACCCAUCUUCGACAAUAUCCUAAAGAUUGUGAGAGAUAAAUAGAGUCUUCAUUUGAACGCUCCAAUACUCAUAAUUCUCACCAUAAAAAAUAAGCAUUAGAAUAUGGAUAUUCCCAAUGCUUGAGGAAUUUGAACUUAAUGUCAUUGCUAAUAACAGUGGUAUGGAUAAGAUCAAAUACUGCUCUGGUACCAAAUUUGUUGGGGGGAAUGAUCACAAAAACUAAAGAAUAGGAUAGAAAUAUAAAGUAAGGCAUUGAGUGUUUGUAAAACAGAGAAUUAGACAAACUGAUUUUAUUAACUUUCUUCGAUACAACAACAGCUUAUAACAUUGGCUAUUUAUAAUUACAUUUACACCUUUACAUAAUAAGACACAGCUCUUGAAUUAAUUCUAAGAGAUAUAUAUACAACUUUUGAUAUCUAAAAGAUUCAACUUCUCAUAUAGUCAAGAGAUACAACUCUUCAUAAAAAACCUGUAGGAAAAGAUACAACUAAUAAUUUUAUUUUCUAAGUUUAAACUAUAUAGAUGAUGCAUUACUUUUAAACAUAUAUAUUAUAAGUCUAACACUUGUUGGUUUUCUGUUCUGGUUUUGAUUUUGAUAGGUAAUGUGCGUUUGCAGACUGCUUGAUUUGGUGUUGUGUGAUAGAGUAUAUUAUACCGAGGGUAUUUUUGGUAAUUAAAUAGGAUGUACUUAGCUAGUUUUACAUUUUGAUUUAAAUAUUAGCGUGUACUUAGAUCAUAGGGUGUACUCAGCUCUCUGAUUAUUUUAUUUUAUUUAUUUAUUUAUUUAUUUUGAGGACCUUUCCUAUUGAAAGGGGCGAUAGCAUAUUAAACUCACACACAUAACACGGAUGCUAGGAUUUGAACCCAAAACCUUGCCUGAGAGAGUAAAUACUCCAAACCACUACACUAGUGAGUCCUUUGCUCUGAUUAUUUUGAGUGAUCACGUGAAGGUGUUUUGUUUUGGACACCUCCUCCAAGGCCCAAAUCAUUUCUACUGGAACAACUUCAUUUGGAUAUUUUUUCUAUUGGGGGCCAUAGUGCUUUUGGAUGUUAAUAUUAACAUUGGGCCCAUUUCUUUUGUCAAUCAACUCCUUAAAUGGGGUCAUAUAGUUCUUUCUAUUUUUUCUCUCUCCAGCAUAACACCCUAAUUUACGCUUUGGCUUUGGAGGAAUUGGGGCAAAAAUUGGAUCUUUAAUUGUGAACUUUAAACUCAAAGUUACUCCCUCAAUUUCUCUAUUUGAUCGCCCAGACAAGGCAUGAAAAUAGCUAAUAGCUCUGUCUUGUAUGAUAUUUAUACAAUGAAACAUUGAAACUUAAACAUAAUAUAACUUGUUUUCCUUAAUUUGCUUUGUUGUCUGUAAAUCUAGUGGCUGACAUUUCCACUUUUGCUUCUACUAUUCUGUAGCAUUCAAGGUUUUAUGGACUUGGAUCCAACCAAGGUCUUGGCCAUAGAUUUAAUGGCCUAGUGGGCAAUACAAAGGCGGCCAAUAAGUCCUAUGGUCCUCAGUCCCUGGUUUAAGGCACAAACUUCGCUUUGACAGGUUCGUCCGUUCUUGCACUGCUCUGCCUGCAACUGUCUAUCUUGAUUUAGUUUUGUCCUGUUGUUGAUAUCUUGCGGCAAACAAAACAAAAUAGAAAAAGCAAAUGAUUAAUGGAGUUUUUGAAAAGAAAAGCAAAACUGAAGAAAAUAUAUAAGAACCAGUUAUUGUAUGACAUUGCUGAGAAUAACUCCUUAUUGCGCGGCUGCUGCUGCUGUUGUCGCAAAACUGUCCAGUGUUAUUCCAUGCUGAUCAAUACAUGAAAAAAAAAAGUGCGUGUGCUCACAGUUUAAGAUUUAGCUGCAAAAAGGGAAAUGUAGCAAACUAGAUCAUUACCAGAGCUUCAUAAACCAAGUACAUUGCGAUGGGGGACUAAAACUCGAAAUCCAUGGUGGUGGAAAUGUGGAAGGCUUGUAAGCGCUUUGUUCUUCUUUGUAAAAUCAAAUGCCACCAGGAGUUCCCCCAAACACUUCAGUGGGAUACAUAAUAGAUCAGAACUAAUUAUUUCCCAAUGAAGUGUUCAAGGGAACUCUCGGUGACACCUGACAAUAUUUCCUUUUUCUUCAUCACAGCAUCUACAAUAAGUACAUUGCGACGGAUAAGCCCGUCCGUUCUUUGUAAAAUCAAAUGCCACCAGGAGUUCCCCCAAACACUUCAGUAGGAUAUAUAAUUGAUCAGAAAGAAUUAUUUCCCAAUGAAGUGAGUGAGGGAACUCUUGGUGACACCUGACAACAUUCGUCCUUUAUUAGAGCUGUGACAGAUAAGCCCCUUCAUUAUUCUUUGUAAAAUCAAAUGCCACCUGGAGUUCCCCCAAACACUUCAGUAGGAUGUAUAGUUACAAGAAGACUAUUUCCCAAUGAAGUGGUCAGAGGAACUCUAGGUGACACCUGACAAAGUUCCUACUUCUUUCUUUCUACUACUUUCAAAGCUUUGUUUUGGUUUGUUGGUUAUGAGUUGCAACUACCUCUGCUAUAUAUAUAGUGUCUGGCCCUCUUUGCAUUUGGUUGUGUUUAUGUUGCAUUGCUAUUCCUUAUUCCUUGUCCUUGGUCAAUAGGAAGAAAAUCAGAGGAGGAAAUCGAUCUUUUAAGUAAUGAACCUAGACGACAUUGGAGGCUAGAUGGAAGAAAGGAAUAAUAUUGAGGUGAUUGUCAUGUGCCAUUCUAUCCUCUGUUCACAUGCAUUUUCCUCCAUGAGAGAAGCCUUUCCUUUUCAGCGUUCAACUCAUAUACAGGGGCGGCCCUGGCAUAGUGCAAGUGGAGCCACUGCACAGGCCCUCGAUUUUUGAGGGCCUCAAUUUUUUUUUUACUUUAUAUUAUAUAUAUUAAUAUUAUAAAAACUUUAUAUAUACUUAAGCGUGCAACACAUUGACACAAAAGUGUAUUUGAUGGAGAUGGUUUCUAGUGCAUAUCCUUUAGUACAAGGCCCAGGUUUUGGUGUUAGUGAUGUCAAAAUUUUAAGUAGUUAAAAAAAAAAUAAAUAACAAAAGCAUUAAAAUUUGGCACAGGGCCCUCAAAAUCUCAACACCGCCCUACUCAUAUAUACAAGCACUCGUACUUACUAGAUUCUGGUAUAUACACUCAAUCGCAGGCGCACAAAUAAAAGAAGGGUUGAAAUUAAUUAACUGGCCCACACUCAUUCUCAAGUAAAUCUAUGAGAUUGUCUCAGGGCUGAUCAGAACCUCAUAUGUGCUGUGGCUACUUGCUAAGCCAUGCUUCUGGAAUGUAUGCUUUUGCAUCCAAUGAAAAUGCUGAAAGGAACAGGUUGGGAUAUGAAAGGGUUGAGAGUAUUUGUGAGAGCUUAUGGCCAACCCACGCACUUCACUUUUGUUCUCUCCAUCUGACUGCAAUCCUGACCUGGUUCAAUUUUCAAUACUUCGACUCUGGCAUUUUUCUUUUCUCUACUGGUCCUCCCAUUCUGAUGAAGGCCACCAUUUUAUUAACUAUAUCAAAGGACAUAUAUGCCCUUCAUGAUCGUUGGCAUUUCCUCUCUAAUUCAGUAGAGUCUUAAUAAACCCUGAUUAGGUAGGCAUAUCACCUAUUUUGGACAAGAAUCAAAUAGGAAAAGUUAAUGGACUAAUUUAAAUCUGGUUAUGAAAGUUUUAAAACAAAACAAAAAGUACCAUGUUGCGCAUAAUGGGUUUGAUUAGGCCACUUUCUUAGGAAAAAAAGACAGAAGAUGAACAUGGAUAUCAGAUACAGGAGAAAGACAAGACAAUUAUCUUGUUAGCCAACUUCCCUGCCUGUGUUUUAGGUACUAUCUUAUCACCACUUACAACCAGAGAAGCAGUAAGAACCAGCAUACUCUCAAAUCACAAACUUUAUCUUUGAGAAAAUAAAAGAUAUUUGAUUACUUUCAUGAGCUCUGUCAGUUAAUUAAUUAUUGCAAAAUAUAUGAACUGAGACGAGUGUAAGAUUGAAAAACUCAGGGUUAACUUGUAUAGUUGUAUUGCAGUAAGAUUGCAAAUCAUCUUGACCAUUCGAUCAAACAUGCAUUUGGCAUAUUGUAGUGUGGCAUCUGUGAUUAUUAAAAGUACCACUUGGCUCUGAGAUUGGGACAGAGGGUCUUUGUUUCUCUUUGAGACGUGUUAACAUGAAGAGUGUAAACAUCUUAAUUAAGUAAGUUGUGUUGAAAUUUGAACCUAGACAGAAAUAUGAGUAAGAUGAAUAAAGUAGAAGUAGAAGCAUCCUGCAUUUCCGAGGCUCAUCCUCCUCAACCUCAUCAAUCUCUCUUUGAUAGCAGAUGGAUAUAUCAGAUGAACAUAACAGAUAGAGGACACGUACGUUGAACUCUUACUUUGCAGCUGCACAUGCUUUUAACUCAGACGUCAGAUGCUGCCAAGCCCACAAACAACAAGAUUAGUAUUCUGAUAUAUAUACGGUGACUGCAAUUGAAGCACGUCAGGCCCUCAUUUGCCACAUGCUCUUCUGCAUCAACUUGAACAUAACUUUUCUUGUAGCAUAUCCACAUCACAUAAUUCAAAGUAUUGGUAUGUAGUGUAUCUAUCAAAGUAUAUAUAUCAAAUAAAAUUGAAAAUUACAGGCUGGACAGAGGAAUUCAAGGGUGAAAGAGUAGAAUUUGAUUUAUAAGCUGACUGGCUAGCAUGUGGCAACUCGAAGUCGAUAUUCCUUAGUUUUAGUGUUACCAACUUUUCCCAUGUUGCUAGCUCACACUUACGUCUAGGUUCACUCCAGAGUACAAAAGUUGUCUCUUUGAAUAGAAUGCAAAGUCAUGCACGACAACUCUCUCUAUAAAUACUUGGGUGGGUUGCUUAGGAACCAUUCGAACCAAAGCAGCAACCAAAGCUGAAGUUAAGUAAAGAUCGAUUAACAAAGCAUCAGAUGGCCCCUAGAGUUCCCUCAAACACUUCAUUGGAGAUUAUAUGCCUCUCUCUACUUUCUACUGAAGUGUUUGGGGGGACCCUUGGAGUCAUUUGAUCCAUAUAUAUAUUUACCAUGGAUGAGCAUGAGCUAGCUGCUUGCAUUCAUUGGAGUAAUGUUUUCUUCAGGCUAUGUAAUUAUUUUAAAUAUCAUAGCUCAAUGUACACAUGGGUUGAUUGGUGCAUUGACCGGGUCGAGUUCUUGGAUGUAUUAAUGAAAUUCUUGAAAAGACACACACAUAUAUAACGCUUCUCAUGUUAACUAAUGGCUGCUCUUAAUUAGUCUCGUGUUGUGUGGCAGCUGAUAGCUAAUCCUGCAGUAGCUUAGCUCAUAUGGAAUUGGAGCUCUAUUUUCAAACAAGAUAUAUCUAGCAGGUCGCAAUAUACUUAAGCUGGGUUUUAUUUUAUGAUCUCUCAAUUAAUUCCACCUGAAAAUUUUGAAUGCUAUGUACUACAUAUGUAUAGUUGACAGUUCGUAAAUGUUGUGUUAGUAUGAAAUAGUGUUGUGAUUUUCUAGACUCUAGCAUAGGUUGAAAAUUAGUGUGUGAAGAAUUGUUACUGGACGUUUUGGCACAACUCAUUCAACCCCAUACAUCCGAGGCUUGACUUGACCAAUAUGAGAAACUUGAUUUCAGGUAAAUCAUGACAUAAUCAUGCAUUCAUUAUAGGAUUCCUAGUUUGAGUUUUUUGUUUUAAUAGAUAUUGUUUUAAUAGAUAUUGUUUUUCUAUUAAAAAUUGAUUGGUUGGCGUUUUUCAAUAAGAAUCCAUAUUGAACUAAUAUUCAUGUUGGAAAACCAAUUGUGGUCUUCAUAAGAGUCCAAAUUAAGCUAAAAGUUCAUAGUUAUAAUUGAAGUGGGUUUGGUACUCGUGUGCGGCCAUCUGAUUAAGUAUAGGAAGCUUUGAAUAAAAGCAGCUUGCAUCUCUUUGGUUUUUUACAGUUUUUGAUAUUGGGUUGAGCAUAUAGAAUUCUUAAGCAAAAGCUGUUGUGCACAUAUUUGAAAUAAAUCAUCAAGUGUUCCAUGUUUACUUGGUGAUUUAUCAAACACUUUAAUCAUUCAUAUUGCAUUCAUAUGCAUGUCGGUGACUCAUACGGUUGAGUGCACCAAGACCGUGGUGGCGGUUUUCCUCCGGCGACCUUGAAGCAAUCGUGGCCAGUAUUGCGUUCAACAUAAGGAGUGUCGAAGAUCAUCCCGUGACAGAAGUUGAGUUACGAAGAAGUCGGUAAACAUUAUCUAGAAUAAGUCUAGGAUAAGUGUGUGAGUACUUCUUGUAAUCAUCGUUCUAUAAUGGAUUUGAGUUGGACUGAGGAGUCCCAUGAAUUUUCCCCAGAGGUGGGGUUUUACCACGUAAAAUAAUUCUCUACGUGUUCUUUUAUUUUAAGCUUUGCACAUCUCAGGAUUGAUAACUAAUAUCAAUCCUGCUUCAAAGGUUGAUCAUUAUUUAUUGCAAAAAAAAUUCGAAUUAGCUUGUUUAACCUUCUCCGGGCAUAUAUAGAUAUCCUAUAGGUAUUUUCAUGUUGCGUUUUUAUCCUCGGUAUGAUGAAUUUACAGCUAAAAAUUACUGCAUAUUAGUAUCAAAAUCGAAAAUUAAACAGCACAAAUAAACAAGCCAACCAAUUAAUUAACCCAAGGAUCAACAAAUUAAGCCUGAAGUAAAGCAAAGCAGUGAGCAAUUAAACCAUAAUGGAUCAUAUAUAUAUUUAUAUAUGUAAUUCAAUUACAAGUUACAACAACAUCCAUCCAAUCCAAGGAGAUCUUAACCAAUUUCAAAGGAACAUCAAUCCAAUUAAGCAAAGGUUUUCAUCAAUCAGUCGGGCACCUCAUAGCGGCAAACAGGACAGUAGUGACCUUGUCUAAGCCAGUUUACUCUAUGCACUCGCCAUGAAACACAUGAGAGCAAGGCAUGCAAGCGACUAUUGUUCCUCGCUUAAACUCCUCCAUACGAACACUGCAACUCUCACCUUCACUCACACUAAUCCUCCUCCUUUUUCUCUCUCCAUCCUCUUCCUCCUCCUUCACAUCAUCACUUACACUCAGAAAAUUUCUCCUUCACUUACACUAGUUCUGAAAGUACGUCUUUUUGUUUCUUUCUUCCUUUUCUACUGAUUUUAGUUUUCUCUAAAUAAAAGUUGAAGAGUUAUUGUUGAUACUAAGUACCAUUUAUUAGAACUUGAUAACUCCAUAACUCUUCAUGUUUCAUUUGUUUGGUUAAUUAAGGUUUUGAGUAAAUGAGUCCGGAUCUUCUGUCCCCCAACUCCAUGUCCUCUCCCUGUCACCUAUUUAAUAUUUUGACAUCUGUCCACAAACUUAACGGAAGCCAAACUCUGUUACUUACAUCAAAAACAAUAAUAGAAUACAAAAGAAGGUUCUGUUGUUUCAAUGUCUAUCCCCCCUAUCGUCUGAAUGCCCACUGAAAAUAACUUCAAAAAUCCAUCGAUCUUCAUCACCCACCACCAGCAUGGCAAAACCCAACACAUAUCUGUUUUUUUUUCUUAUGGCAAAGAAUUCCUGUAAUAUAUGUGAUUACCCAGACAGUACGAAAAGCUUGAGUCGGUGAUGGAAGAAUCAAGAAGAUACAAAAUAACAUGAUAAAUCUAGGAAAAACAAGGUUAUUACCACAUAGGUGGUAUGUGAAUUGGCUAUUUCUGGCCUUUCCUUUUCGUAGGUAAGCUAACCAUCAAGUGGGCAAUUAGAGCGUCUCCAAGAGACUCUUUAUCCUUUCAUUCCUAGCUACUUUAGCUAAAAAUAAGGAAAAUUCUCCUCCAGCAAACUCCCUACUUGGCUCUCUAUUUUGGAGAACCAACUUUUGGCUCUCUACAUCUAGCAAGGAGGAGAGAGAAAAAGGGAGAGAGAGAUAGAGACAUUUGGGAGGUUAGUGAGGUUGGGUUUUUUUAUUUUUUAUUAUUUAUAAUAAAUAUAUUGGAUUUGCAAGAGAAAGAGGGAGGAAAAGAAAGAGAAAAUUAUAAUAAAAUAUUUCAGAUUAGCCAAAAUAGAGAACAUUGCUGGAGGAAAUACUUUUUAAAUGGUUUGCUACAAUAAUUUUCUAACUAUUUUAGCUAGAAUUUAACUAAAAUUUGGAGACUCUCCUUAAGCUUGUAAUAUAUAUUUUGUAGAGUGAGUUGCUUCAUUUUAAAUCAAUUGAAAAGAAAAAAAAAAUAGAAUAAGUCUAGACUUCUUUCUGAAGCUAAGACCUAUGAGUUCCAAUUCCAAAAUUCUCUCUCUUAUCUUUACAUAAUAUCUUGAGUGAUUUUCUACUUGUAUUACCAAAAAAUUCCAACAUACUGAUAAUGUCAGAUGGGCUUAUGGGUUACGUGAAAAGGGCAAUUGCUAGAAAUAAGGAUUCAAAAGUCAGGAAGGAGCUUCGAAGUUGGGAUUUCUUGUUGCUAAAGGGAAAAAAUGGAUAGGAAAAAAAAAUUAGAAAAAGAAGAUGGAUGAAAUUGUGGCUUUUUGUCCGCUGCUGACUACUAAUGGCGGAGAAAUUAAUGAAAUUACAGAGGGGAUGGAAGAAGAUAAAAAGAUAAAGAGUAUUAACAGAAUUUGUCUUUUGUUAAGUUUGUGGACAAAUGUCAAAAUAUGAAAUAGGUGACAUGUAGUUUAGGGACAGAAAAUUCGGACUCUAAGCAAAUGCAUACAUUUGAUUUUGCCCAAGUUAAUCGAGUCUUAAUUAAGAGAGUUUGAAUAGUUAAUUACGAACAAACUAAGAAAUUACUAGUUAGCAAUUGCUAAGUAAAGAGUAAAUAAUUUGUGAUUUUGCCCACAUAUCAAUCAUUUGUGGUUUCAGCAAUUGCUAUCCGUCCAUGUAAUCAUAUAUAUUGAGUUGUUGACAUUUGAAUCUAGACAGAAACAUGGGGAAGAUUAAUAGUAGAGAAUAAAGUAGUAAGUGAUAAAGCUCGACAAGCCCCGCAGAGCUUUCUCUAUCCCCAGCAAAGCAUCUUGCAUUUCCGAGGCGCAUCUUCCUCGUCAAUCUUUUUGAUAGAGAUCAUAGAGAUGGUGUCAGGUCCUCAUUUGCCACAUGCGUUCAUCAACUUGAACAACCUUUUUAACGCAGCAUCUAUGUCGUCAGUGGCGGAGUUAGGAUUUCACAUCAGAAGGGCUCUUCACAAAAAUUUUAAAAAUAAUUCGAAUAGGAGUUCUCAAGCGCUAAAUGGGUUAAUAAGUUAAUAAUAUCAUUUCAUACUAAUUAAUAAUUUAUCCAUCUAUUACAAUCAUAAUUGUCUAGAAUUUCAUAUUCUAACAUGGUUGAAUAUUAAUUUCAUCAUCUACACUAUUAAAGACUCAAAAUUUAAACAAUUUAUACUUCAACAGAGAGAAGAAAUACAAAAAAUGUUCAUAAAUUCCAAUAUUAAGAUACCCUACUUAGACAUGUAAAAUGGGAGAAAGGGGAAUUCACAAAGCUUAAAUUAAUCAAAAGAGGAAGAGAAGUAGAAAAGAAAAAAAAAGAGUUUUUACUCCAAGAAGCAAACAUAUAAGUAAAAAUAUGAGAAAAUAAAAAAAUUGAGAGGGGGCCUGGGCCCACCAUGGUCCUUAGGUGGCUCUGCCACUGUACGUCACAACAAUAUAUAACAAAGGACACCCAUUUUAAUCAUUUUAAUUGUGAUUUUUUCAGCCAUUUAUUAGGAAUAAUUACUGGGUUUUUGUCUAUCAAAGCAUCAAACAAAGUUAACAAUUACAGGCUGGACAGAGGAAUUAAUGUGUGAAUGAGUACAAUUUAUAAGCAGAUCACUGGCAUGUCAAUAUUCGAAGUCGAUAUUCCCAUGUAGCUAGUUCAUAGUUGCGUCUAGGUUCACUGACAAUUUUUCUGUGAUCUUUGAACACAAAACAACAUAUUGAUCAGCUCAAUGCAAAGACAACAACGUUACUCUCUCUAUAAAUAGUUGGGUUGCUUAGGAACCAUUCGAAACCAAGGCAGCAACCAAAGCUAUAAGUUAAGUAAAAAGGUCGAUGAACAAGGCAUCAGAUGGCCCCUAGGGUUCCUUCAAACACUUCAUUGGAGAUUAUUAUGGGCAUUAUCUUAAUUAUGCCUCUCUCUCUCUCUCUCUCUCUCUCUCUCUCUCUCUCUCUCUCUCUCUCUCUCUAGUUUCUACUGAAGUGUUUGGGGGGACCCUUGGAGCCAUCCGAUCGAUAUAUAUAUCCUACCACCUGUGGAUGAGCUAUAGCUAGCUGCAAUAUUAAAGUAAGUAUUGUUCUGCUUGAUUUAUUCAUUUGCUUGAUAACCAAUUAUGUUCAGUUAAAAAUUAAUUAAUUAAUUUUUUUUUUUUCCCAAUUCUGCUAGAUUACUUGUGGAAUGUCAUUACUUUGGCUGGGUAUUAUUUUAUGGCUCUGUUGUUUUUUUUUUUUUUUUUAUGGGAGUGGAAAAGUGGUUUGGUAUGUUAAACAAAAAUUAAAGGAUCUCAUAAUUGAGUGUUGAUGUUAUUUCUCAAUUCAACCUGCAAAUCUAAAAGUGCUAUAUGUAUAGAUUAUAUAUGGUGAAGCGUUCCUUGUUGAUGAAUGAUAUGACCAUGAAUUUAGGGCUAAAAGAAAAACUGCAUCACGUAUGAACAAAGCCAACAAAUACUAAACAACAAUUCAUCGAUCCAAGGAAAUUUAAAGGAACCACGGAACAAUCAAUCGCGACUUUUUCUUAGUCAUCUCCAUACAAAAACUGCAACUCUCACUCUCACUUCCACUGCUUCUCCUUCUUUUUCUGUUUGUUGUACCCUCCUCCUCCUCCACAUAAUCAACUACACUUAUUCCCCUUGUUUUUCUCUCCCUACCCUCCUCCUUCACAUUAUCACUUCCGGUAAUUCUCCUUCCUUUUCUCUUUGUACCCUCCUCCUUCACAUAUCACACGAUCCUAAUUUACCAUCUACGACCUUCUUUAGCACUUACCUUUCAAACACUCCUCACACCGGUACAUGGCAUGGUCUUUCCAAUAUCAAUAUACAACCCCCAUACCUCUGGACGCUCUUAGGAAAAAAAUUCCAGUCGAAUUUUGCGACCCCACUUUAUAAUCCCGUCCAGUAUUUGAUCAUGCAACCCAGCUUUGAUUCUCAUCUGAACUUGCAAUUCCAAAGGACGACAACACCUGAGAAAGAAACUCGUACAACGCACUUCCUCAACACAGGCUUCUCAAAUUCAAUUGGUUUUUCAUAUUUUUCUUGAAAUUGGUCGACGAGGGUUUCACGACGAGUUCCCAUAUCAUCUGAUGAUUGAAUAUCGUAGUAUAUGUGGUUGACUUGGUAGUCAAACUUGACCAGAAACUGAGCCGGCGAUGUAGGUUCGUAGCUGCCUAGUAAGUAUGUGGGGCAAGGAGUAGCACGUAAAAGUCCAAGCUAUCCUUCUCGUGAUGGACUUCAAAAUCUUCGACUUCCAUGACUGAAAGAAGCAGAGGUUCGUAGCUGCCUAGUAAGUAUAGGCAAGGUUUUAGAUUUUAUAUUGUAGAGAUGGGUUGUUUCCAUGUUGGUGUAGGAUUAAGAAACUGUUAAAGAACCCAGUCAAGACUUGGGUUUCUUCGGUGGGAAGUUUCUUACCUUUUUGUUUCCGACUUCUUUUGGGAAAAGCUAUCUGAAGACAACAGAGUUCUGAUUAAUUUUCCAACUAAUUAAUUAUGAAAAUUGUAAAACUUUACUUGGAAGUAAAGUUCUCUUAGCCAAAAAGGACAAAAAUAGAAGAAUAUUUUGAAAGAGGGCUUAAGGCUUGGAGCUUGAAAUUCUUUUGGAAAGCAGCAUAAGGCAAUUUCGCUAAGUAGAUUAAUACUAGAGACCCAUAUUUUCUGAGUGAUAACAUGGCGAUUGAUUUGUAAUUACAAUUGCAUCAAUUACUUUACUAUCUCGUGGUAGGGAAUAUAAGAGAUUACCAAAUACUGAUGGUGAUCUAAUCCUAACUGAAUUAUCCCUAGUGUAUAUAUAUUCUUUAAUUAUCGUUUUAGUUUAGAUAGAAAGUCUUAUUCUUCGUCUUAAACGGUGCAUUUUGAUAAUGAUAUGAUGGAUGAAUUUUCCGGCUAAGUACAAAUGAAAAGAAAUGCAUAUUAUCAAAUGUAAAUAACACAAAAAUAAACAAGUCCAACAGAGAACAAAGCAACAAUUGACAAAUUAACAUGCUUGGGCAAUCAAAUCAUAAAAGAAUCAACAAAUUUUUAUUUUUUAAUAUGUAAUAUUUCAAUUACAAUAUACUUUCAUCCAAGAAGAUCUUAGAAUGAUGAACUUUAAAGGAGUACUUCCAAAUUAAGCAAGAUUUUCCUCAAUCAGCAGUUGGCACUUCAAAUCGGCAAACAGGGCAGUAGUGACUUUGUCUGAGCCAUGUCCUUAUGCACUUGUCAUGAAACACAUGUGUGCAAGGCAUGCAAGCUACUUCUGAUCCUCCAUUAAACACUUCCAUGCAAACAGUGCAACUAUCACUUUCACUUACACAAACUUUCCUUCUCUUUCUCUCUCGGCCCUCCUCCUCACAACAUGAUGCUUCUUUGUCAUCUGCACCCACUCUAACCCUCUUUAGUACCGUCUCGACCGCUGAAUCACUCGCUGGCACCAUGCCCUCAUUAUUACUACUACUCAUUACUAUUUCCAGUAAUUGUGUACACGACUCACAGCGACUCUUGACUUGCUCUGUUCUCAUAUAUACGCACAACCCCAACACCUUGCGACUCAUGCUGCUAAGCUUAUUGCCGAGUAUGAGACCCUGCACUAUAAUCUGAUCCACCAUAUAUUUGUUGGAUGCAUUAUCUCUACUGAUUCCAACUAGCGCCAGCAUGAUAGAAAGAAUCCCAUGCGCCUCGCGGAAAUUCUUUAACUUGUCCAUGUCGAAUCGGCAUUUUCUUUCCUUUCUUUCCACAUAUUCUCUGAUGGUGGUUUCAGUACGGUUCAAGGAACAAUUGACGUAUUUGUGUUGGGUAUCGUGCACAAUCUUGACAUGAAACUUAACCGGCUGCACUGAUGAACCGUUCCGAUUAUGAACACAAUUAGGGUUGUUUAGUUCUGCGGUAAUGUCUUCGAAGGUGAAGCUAAAGUGUGCACGCUCGUGAUGGAUGGCAUUGACAGGGAAGUCUUCCAUGGAAAUUAGUCGCGGCUGGAAACUUAGAGUUUGAGAAUUGCUUUGGUUGUUUGAAGUGUAUUGUGGAGUGAGAGGACUAACAGAUAUAUAUAUACAGGGUGGUGGGUUUCCUUGUUCGUUGGGGAUUGGCCGACUAAGACUGGAUUUGCUUGAUCGAAACGUUUCCUUUUCUUUCCUUUCGGUAAUGGGUUAAUUUCUUAAGAGAAAGUAACUAAUUAGGUUGACUAUAGAAAAUGAGUCCUUCAAAUGAAAUUGGUCACCACACACUACUACCAAAUAGUUAAACCACGAUACGAAAUAGACGACGGUGCAUCUUAAAACUAUCGUCGUGUUUUAAAAAUACUAGUGUUGGGUUGAUUUUUAAAAGACAACGCUUGUCACUAACAAGCAUCCUCUUUUAAAAUACGCUAAACUUAAAAAUGCCGCUUAAGUGAAUUCGAGCUCGACCUAAAAUUUUCAGAUUUCUUCCGUGUCUAUGAAAUCCUUAUCUCUCCCUCCUUGAAACCCUCCUCAACUCUAACACUCUCAUGAAACUCUCUUAAACACUCCCUCUCAUGUAUCUUGAGCACUCCUCUCCCUACAAAAUCAUCAUAAAAUCGAUAUCAACGAAGGAGUUGAGACAUUGAGGUCUUUGCAGAUCCACAAGAUGGAGAGGGAGGUUAUGGAUUUGAGAAUCAAAGUUGGUUAGAUGCGGUGAAGAUCUCUAUCUCAGGCACUCAACUCACUCAUCAACCUCAACGAUUUGUUUCGAUUAGCUCUCCAAUUUCGUGGUUGCGAUCUAGAAAGACUUGUAGAAAGACAAUAAUUUGAAUGUUGGUGAUGUAUGUGUCUUUGUGUUGAUUGAUGACACAUACAUCACCAACAUUCAAAUUAUUGCCUUUCCCAAAUUGGUGGCUCGAUUGUGAUGAGGAACACAGGCUCAUUUAGUACAUAGCUUCCACUGGUAGAAUUUCAUAUCUCUUGGAAUUUUUCAAUAUUUCCCUUAUAUUCAUUUUACUAUGAUUUUGUUUUAUAUAUCCUUGACCAUAUUUAUUUUCCAGUUGAUUUGCAUCUAUAUAGCUCUUCUCCAACAAUCAUCCAUUGUAAGGCAAGCACUCUGCAAAUAUGGCUUAUUUGUCUCCUCUCUUUCUCUGCCACGAUAUUUAUCUCUGUCUUUUAUGAUUAUAAAUUGUUGCAUCGACAUAGUUUGGUUGCGUAGAUUUUGACUGCUUAGGAAUCCUUAACAUGUGAGCUAUUGUUACUGUUGUUUGAAUUGAGCUCCAACUUGUGCUUGUGUUUAUAGAAUAAUUAUGAUACUUAAACUUUGGAAUUGUAGUUGCAUUCAUUUUCUUAACAAUCAAUUUAAUUCUCUCUAUUUUUUUUCUGUCUCAGCUCCAAUCAAUAUUCUUUAAAGAGUAAAUAGACUCUAUUUGGCAGAAAGACCUUGUGCAAAAACCUUUGAGCCUCAAAAGCACAGACUCAUCUUAGAGCUCCAAGAAUGAAGGCUGGCGAACUAAUGAACUUUGGGUAUUCAUCCACUUUACAUGUAACUGGUUGAAGUUGAUUAUGUAGAAUUCCUCAUUUUUUUAUAUUAUAUAAAGUAUAUGUAUGUUGUAGAAUAAAGAUUGGUUAACUAUGUAAUAACUAUUGAAUCUUCAAUUUUUAUGAAAGAAACCAUUUUUUAUCGUAUAUAUUCAUUAAUAAAGUAUUAUGGUUGGUUUUCUAGUUAAAAUCAUUGUAUAGCAUCAUAGGAAACAAAAAAGAACUAAAACGUAAUAGCUUGGGAACUUAUUAGAUGACAGUUUUUAUAAAUACGUCGUCUUUACAAACAAUCAACAACGGUUUUAAUGAAAACCAUCAUUGUUUAUAUAAAAUCAAAAAAUCGUCUUUAAUGAAAACUGUUUUUACAAAAAAUGUCAUUUUUAUAUAAAAUCAACGACGGUUUUUUUUUUCUUUCCAUCUUUAUAGCAAAAUAACUAUAAUUUUAGUAAAAAUCGUCAUCUUCACAGAUAAACAACGACGGUGAAAAGCCGUCAUAAUUUGACACUUAAAGAAUGUCGGUCGAUUUAACGACGGUUUUCAAAACAUCACAACAAUAGUGGAUCUCCGUCAUCUAUUUUAUUUUUUGUAAUAAUUAAUUUGUAUUAUUCUUCCUCCAAUAUAAAGAUGUGUGUACAGAACAUUGGCAUCUUCCGCUUAAAAAAUUAAUAAUUUUCUUUUCAAUAUUAUAACGAAGAAAAAAGUUUGAAUUUUGAUUUAAAGAUAAAGCUAAUGGAAAAAGAAAAAAACUUUUUACAAAUAGGCCAUUCUAACUUUACAUUUUAUAUAUUAAAAAAAAAAAACCUCUUUAACUCCAUGUUGUACUUUAAAGUGAAAAAAUUAUAACAAAUUAAUAGCCAAUUAGAAUAUGACAAGUGGCUAAUUGAAAGUUUUUUUUCUCUAAACAAGCCCUCUUAAGAAUUUUUGUAUAAAAUUUCAUGCUAGAAUCCACCCCUUUUUUGGCCACUUGUUAAUUCUAAUAGUGAGAAAAUCUGUUCGAAUUUAAGAGAAUUUUAAGGUCUAUGGUUCAAGAUAUAUCAUUUUUCUUCAUAAACCCAUAUGUGUUGUUCAAGUCUACCUAUAUACUAGCCUCUCAGCACAUGUUUACUCACCUGCGAGAGGCUUUUUUUAAAAAAAAAAUUAAAUUUAUUUUAGAAUUAAGAAAGAUAACGGGUAGUUGUGUUCCACAAAAAUAGGAUCAAUUAUCUAAUUUUUCUUUUAAUUUUAAUUUUUUUAAUAUGAAAAGUGUGAAUUUACCAUAUUAUCCUCAUUUAAUUAAUAAUUUCAAUUCUUAAUAUUUGCAUUAAUUAAAGGCAUUUUUUAAUAUUUUAAAUAUUUUACCAUUCUCUACCUUUUGUUAUUUAUAUAUAUAUAUAUAUAUAUAUAUAUAUGAUUUCUCUCUCAAGUCUCAGUUUUUGUGCAUUGUGGCUUGUUUUAUCAUUUAUUACACGUACAAAUUGAAAUAAACACAAGUAAAUAAGCGUUACGUACACUUGAAAAUUUUACCACCGUAAACCCAUUCAAUGAUGUUGUUGAAUUGAACAAUUCGAGUCAAUCAUUAGAACACAAUAUAAAGUAUAUGUAUGUAAUUUUUUUAUAUUUUUUGGAGAUAAAGGCAAUGUUGCAUUCAUAAUUAAUUUAGGCACAAAGGCCGUCAACCACAAGAGCUGAUACAAAUACACAUAAUCACAAAGGGUUAUUACAAAUAUGGAAGCACAGUAACCAAAAAGGGUUAGUCCAAAUACUGCCACACAUGGCCAAGUAAAUUCCAACAUAAAAGCCACUAGCAUGGAAAAUCGGGCAGAUACCUCCACACAUCAAACUAAAUCUACAACUACAACCUUUAAACUAUCACAAGUAGAAACUACAAGUAGAGACUAAACUACAAACAAACACCAACUCACAAAGAGUUGAUGCAAUUAUUACAACUUGAGCAAGUUCAAACACACAAGUGAAUAAAACCGCUCAGUCACCUUAUCUAUCUCCAAAUCACAAGUUCAAACAAACUACGGAGAUCUGAAGUAGAUCUAAAGCAGGGCUCCAAAUCUUCAAAAAGAAGACAACAACCAAGCGCACAACAAACCAGCCAAAAUGGCAAAAACAACAACAACUAACCAAAGGGGAAAGCAAAGGAAUGGGAUGAGUAGAGAGAGGGGAAGGGCGGAGAGAGAAGGGGAAGGAGAGGGAAGCCACCCACCCCCAAGGGGGUUGGCGGCUGAGGAUGCUUUUGCUAGGGUAUUCUUACCCUAAAAAAAAUUUAGAUUACCGUUUUUCUUAUGUUUUCAGGGCCUGAUGACUAAGUCUGAAACAUUCCAAAUUUUAUUGAACUAAGAAGCUGUUAAUUACAGAGAGCAGUACAAUGAUUCUUACAAAUUUACAAAGUAGUUUGACCAAUUUCUCAUCAACUUAAAAUUGAAACCGAUCCACAAUUCCACAAUAAACAAUUAGGAAUUGAAUGGAAUAUAAAAUUUAUAAGCCAUUAAUUAUUCUUUCCUUCCUGUAGUUCGGUGGUAAGGCGGGAACAAGAAAAUAUGCCUGUUCUUUCGUUACUUCAAAUCUUAUCAGACCAAGGUUUAAACGAGAUGAAAUACAAACACAAAGCUGCAAUAAUAGUUUAUCUCCACCACCUUUUUAAAGAAAAUAGGGCUGAGGUAUAGUGUAAUUCAUCAAUCUGUAUUAUAUAUGUAUAUAUGCACAUUAAGAAAUCAACCCAAAAAAGUUAUGAGGAGAAAAACUGUACUGGAUUGCAGCGAAAGGGGAUCCAGCUCAGUGAACGAAAACUUCAACUUAACCCAAUUCAACAACGUGCAAGUAAUGUACGUAGUUAGAUAAGGAUCGUUUUAUAUCAUAUACAACAUUUAAUUAGGCUGAUCAGAAGAUUACAUAUAUUUUUCUAGCAUCGAUCUGGUUGAUCCGUGUCAGAUGAUACCCAGAGUUCCCCCAAACACUUCAGUAGGAUAAAUUAAGGUACAUAUGAACUACCCUUAUAAUUUCCCCAAUGAAGUGUUCAAGGGAACUCCAGGAACAACUGACGAUCUCUUCUGAUUUCUUUCUGUUGUUGUGGUGUUCUUGUUUAGGGCAGUUACCUACAAUAUUUAUGGUAGCUAGCUAGCCUACUGCUCAUUCAUAAUAUCCGAAUUAAGAAGGCCUUGCUAGCCCUUCUCGUAUGUUCUACGUACUACGUAGGAGAACCAUUAGAUUAGAGACAUGAUAUCCUCAGACCUUUUAGGGUUGCCCAAUUACCUAAAUUGAUGAUGAACCUGGUCAGAAUUGUGGGGAACAUGAGAGGGUGGGAAUAUUGUUGAAGUGAGUGGUCACAAGUUCUCCUCAUGGCCACAGCUUUUGUAUUUUUAUUUAGCCCACAUCCUCUUCAAUCACUUUCAUUCCUAUAUUUAAGGUCUUACAUUUUCAAAACCAAAUCUCCAAUACACGUAGGCACUAGUAAAAAAAACCCCUUGCGCGACCAAAUUUUGCGCGACGAAAAACUAUUCGUCGCUCAAAGUCACUUUGCGCGACGAAACUUGAAACUUCGUCACUCAAAGUCUUGCUCGACCAAAUUUUGCGCGACGAAAAAUAAUUCGUCACGCAAAGUCACUUCGCGCGACAAACUUUUGCGCGACGACAAUACAUCGUCGCUCAAAGUCGUCUUGCGCGACCAAUUUUACGCGACGAAAAAUAAUUCGUCGUUCAAAGUGACUUUGCGCGACGAAAAGUAAACUUCGUCGCGCAAAACCCUUAUAAAAAUAAAUAAAAUUAAAAAAUUAUUUUUUAAAAUCUUUGCAUGACGUAAUCCAAACAUUUUGUCACCUAAACUAAUUUAUUUUUGUUUUUUAUUUUGUAUGCAUAACACUUAAGAAAUUAAAUGGUAUAUAUAUUUAUUAAGUAGCUUUAAAUUUAUUAUUUUAGAUCGGAUCGGAUUUUUGUUAGAAAAAUAUAUUAUUAUUGUUCGGAUUGGGUUUUUGUUAGAAAAUAUAUAUUUUAAAUUGACGAUCGAAUUAGUUCAUUGUAUUCAUAUAGGGUCAAGGAGUGUAGCUUUAAAAAAUCAUCAAAAUCGGAGUUAAAAUAACCGUUAAAUCGUUAUUUUUAAUUAUAACCGUCGAAGAGUUUUGUCCCAUUACUUGAUCUCUGAAUGUUUAUUUUUUCCUAUUUUUAGCGUAUAUGAUCUCGAAGUAUAAACAAACAAGUUUGACGGUUGGAUCUUUGAAACUAGUUUUUUGUAUGCAUAUGCCAUCAAAACAAUAUAUUCACUAACAAUUAAGAGUUUAUUUAUACUUUCGUUAAAUAUAACAUAAGAUUUUGUGGUAUCCACUAGUGUAAAUAUUUUAAAUUGAAGAUCAAAUUCAGUCAUUGUAUUCAUAUAGGGUCAAGGAGUGUAGCUGUAAAAAAUCAUCAAAAUCGGAGUUAAAAUAACCGUUAAAUCAUGAUUUUUCAUUUAUAACCGUCGAAAAGUUUUGUCCCGUUACUUGAUCUAUGAAUGCUUAUUUUUUCCGAUUUUUGGCAUACAUGAUCUCGAAGUAUAAACAAACAAGUUUGACGGUUGGAUCGUUAAAACUAGUUUCGUAGAAUGUGUAUGCCAUCAAAACAAUAUAUUCACUAACAAUUAAGAGUUUAUUUAUAUUUUCGUUAAAUAUAACAUAAGAUUUUGUGGUAUCCACUAGUGUAAAUAUUUUAAAUUGAAGAUCAAAUUCAGUCAUUGUAUUCAUAUAGGGUCAAGGGGUGUACCUGUAAAAAAAUCAUCAAAAUCGGAGUCAAAAUAACCGUUAAAUCGUGAUUUUUCAUUUAUAACUAUCAAAAAAUUUUGUCCCGUUACUAGAUCUCUGAAUAUUUGUUUUUUGCGAUUUUUGGGGUAUACGAUCUUGAAGUAUAUACAAACAAGUCUUACAGUUGGAUCGUUGAAUGGUGUGUGUGUAUAUAUAUAUAUAUAUAUUAAGUAGUUUUAAAUUUAUUUAUUUUGUACGUAUAACACUUAAGAAAUUGAAUAGUAUAUACAUUUAUUAAGUAGCUUUCACCUUAAUUAUAUUUAAAAUCAUAAAAUAAAUUUUUUUUCUUAUUCAAAACAAUUAUUUUUAUAAAUAUUGUGCUACGAACCAAUUUUUCGUCUCUCAAAAGUUUGCGCGACCAAUAGUUCGUCGUGCAAAACUCAAAAAAUUUGUACGAGUAACAAAAAUGGGACGCGGGUUUUUAAAAUUAAAAAAAAAACUUUAGACUUUGCGUGAUCAAUAUUUUUUCUCGCUCAAAACUUUGCGUGACCAAUAUAUAUUUUUCGUCGCGCAAAAAUUUGGGCGAGUACCAAAAAUGGGACGCGGGACUUUUUUUUAUAUAAUUGUUUUAGACUUUGCGCGACCAAUAUGUACUUUUCGUCGCGCAAAAAUUUAAAAAUUUUGGCGGAUACCAAAAAUGGGAUGUGGGAUUUUUUUUUUUUUAAAUAAUUUUUUUUGGACUUUGCACGACCAAUAUUCCUAUAUUCGUCACGCAAAGUUAAAUUUUGGCGGUACCAAAAAUGGGAUGCGGGAAUUUUUUUUAGACUUUGCGAGACCAAUAUGUAUUUUUUGUCGCGCAAAGUUAAAUUUUGGCGGGAACCAAAAAUGGAAUGCGGGAAAAUUUUUUUAAAAAUAAUAAUUUUUUAGACUUUGCGCGACCAAUAUUCCUAUAUUCGUCGCGCAAAAAACUUUGCGAGACCAAUAUGUUUCGUCGCGCAAAACUUUGCGCGACCAACAAUAUUUUUCGUCGCGCAAAGUGAUACGAUUUUUAAAACCAAAAUAACUCCUCCACCAUUUUCUCAAUGUCUUUCUCUACUCUUACCUCUUCUCUCUCUUUCCCUCUCCCCAAAUUCCACCUUUUCUCUCACACUCACUCCUCUCACUUAAUCUCUCAUAUCUCUCUUCACUAUCUCUCACUCUCACUCACUCUCUCAUCUAUCUUUUCACUAUCUCUCACUCUCUCAUCUCUCUAUCACUAUCUUAUCUAAUUCUCUCACACUAACUUCUCCCUCUCAUUCUCACUCACUCUCAAUCUUGCCAAAAGGUAUAUUCUCUCCCAAUUUUAAAUUUUUUUCAUUAAUAUGUGUUUUUGGAGUUAGUUUUGAGUUUGUGUGGGGUUUGGGGUUGAGUAAAGGGGAGAGAUUGGAGUUUGGGUUGGAUUUGUGGUAUAACAAUUUUAGGGGAGAUUAUGCAUUCUUUUUUUUGUUGUUGUUGUUAUUUGACCAUAUUUGUUUUUUUGUAGGUAAUCAUCAAGACUUUGAUGGCUAAAGUUGAGGAUUAGGAAGCUAUCAAAACAUAUCAUCCGCCACUACCACCACAAUACUCUUGUAUUAGGAUUUUAUUAUUGUACUUUGUUAAUUUAUGUGUACAUUUUGAAUAUUAUAUAUAUUUAUUGGAUAAUUUGAUCACUAUUUUUCAUAUGUAAUUUUAUUUUGAAUAUGUCAAUUUAAAUUAAAGUAAUUAAGAAAAAUCUUACAAUUAAAUUAAAUUUAAAAAGUAAAAAUUCGAAAAAAUUAAUAUCAACUUAAAUUAAAGUGAUUUAAAAAAAAUCAUACAAUUAAAUUAAAUUUAAAAAGUAAAAGUUUGAAUAAACUAAUAUAAAUAAAUUAAUAUUAAAGAAAUAAUAAAACAAAAAGUCAAAAACCUUGCGCGACAAAAUAUUUUGUAGAGCAAACUAUUAAAUUAGUUUAUUUUAAUUAAAAAAAUUUAAAACACAAAAAAUAUUUAGUCGCGCAAAUAUUUGCGCGACGUUAGUAUUCAUCGCGCAAAACUCUAAAAAUGUAGGCAGGUACCAAAAAUGGGACGCGGGAAUUUUUUAUUUUUUAUAAAUUUUUUUGAGACUUUGCGCGACAAAUGUGUUUCGUCGCGCAAACCUUUGCGCGACCAAUGUGUUUCGUCGCUCAAAACUUUGCGCGACAAAUAUUUUUCGCCGCGCAAACCUUUGCGCGACCAAUGUGUUUCGUCGUGCAAAGUUUUGUGCGACCAAUAUUUUUUCGUCGAGCAAAGUUACUUUGCACGACCAAUAUUUUUUCGUCGCGCAACGCGCGACUAAUGAAAAAACUUGGUCGCGCAAAGUCUUUCUUCACGAUCUUUGCGCGACGAAGUUUCUGUCGCGUUAAAAUUUAUGCAACUACAAUGUAUUUUGCGCGACGAAAUUCUCUUCGUCGCGCAAAGUGUAAAAUGUAGUAGUGAGGCUUGCAUUGGAGCCCCCUAAGUAUACUUAGCUAGUUAGCUUAAAGACAACUCUAAGGGAAGUUAGUUAUAACAAACAUCUUAGGGAAGUUGUGCUUAUUAGAUUAAGCCAAGAUUCUAUGGAUGGAGAGUUGAACGAAUCGGCGCAGGCCAGGUGGUGAUGUUGUUGCUAUUGCUCAACUUGGAGAAACUUUAAAGCUGAAGUGCCUGUCCUCGUGAUGGACUUCAAUUGCUUCGUCGUCAAUGGCAAUUGAUGAUCAGUCAUGAGCAAUAAUUUCUUAAAGAGAAGGAGUAGUUAGGGUUUUAGAGUUGGGUAGAGUUAGGGAUGGGACCAACAAGUAUACUGUAUGCAUAGAGAUUGGAAACAUUUUAGGAAAAAUUAGGGUGGUUUGUUUCCAAAUUUGCUUUCUUCCGCGACAAGUUUCUCAAACACUCGCACUUGUUUUAGGAAAAAUUAGAUUUUAUUUUUAUUUUUUUAUCCCAAAUAAAGUUGUUAAUUCAAAACAAGGACCGGCAUUUUAAAUGGAGCUAGCCCGGUCUACUAACUUGUGUUUAGGCCUCAUCAAUUGGGCCGCGGGCUCAUGGGCCGAUGGGAGCCCUCCCGGCCCGACCUGUUAUGGGCUUUGAGAUGGCCCGGUCCGCCUUGGGCCGAGCUAAGCUUGGGCUUGGGUGUCUGAAGUCCGGCCCGGCCCGUUAGGCCCGCAUGCAUAUAUAAUUAUGUAUAAAUAAGAGUUUAGGUUUAGGAUUAUAUCACUUAAAUCACAUAUAUAAUUUGUUUCAUUUCAUUUACUUUUCUUUACUCAUUCCUAGUUUAUAAUCGGAUGAUUAAUUAGCACAUUAAUUUGAGUCAAUUAUUAAUCCAACAAUUAUAUAUAUAUAUAAGAUGAACAACAUAUCACAUCACCAAAUAUAAUCAUAUCACGAAACAGAAUCGUACCACCAAAUAUAAUCAUGCUUUUCUUGAACACAUUACAAAAUAUUUGCAUAUUUAUUCAUACCAUCCUUUAAAAAAUAUUUUUUGAUACUUAUUAUUUUUUAAAAUUAUUUUUUAAAACGUAUUACGAUCUAAUUAUGUAAUAACCUAAAAAAUAAUACUUGGUUUUAUUAUUUUUGUGGAAAAUCUUAUAAGUUGUGUACUUUAUUGGGUGUUUUAUGAAUUUGGUUUGAAGUGAAAAUAUUGGAAUUAAGUGAGUUUAAUCUCAAAUUUGGACUAAAAUGCCUUUAUGAUUAAGUUUAUGAUUUUUUUUGAAUUAAGUAGGGCCCGUUUAGGCCUAGCCCAUUGGGCUUAGCUCGGCCCGGCCCGAUGGACUUUGCCCAUCUCAUGGGUCGGGCUUGGGCUUCGAAUUUUUAAAAAAAACCCGGCCCAGCCCGGCCCGAUAUUUUCUCUCUCCUCUUUAAAGUCCGGCCCAAACCCAUUAAAUUUGGGCCGGGCUGACGAGCCCUACUUGUGUUAGCCAGCUAGCUAUUGCUUGGAUAUAUAUCUUGGAUUUCCUUCCGUAACUCUUUUUUAAUUCAAUAAGUCAUAAGAUUCAAAAUUUUGUUACAUCAAGAAAUAAAAUAGAGUUGAAAGAGUUUAUUUAUUUAUUUAUUUUUAUUUGUGAGGAUAAGAAAGAAUAAAUUAGCGUAAUGACUAAUUCAUCUUUUACCUCCUUGAAAAAUAAUUAGAUUAUCAAUUGUAUAUUAUAAAAUAUAAAAAAAAAAUUUGGGGUCAAUGGGUCAAUAUACUUGAAAUCUUAGUCAAUUAUGAUAUCAGAUUUUCUUUUUUUAGGGCAAAAUCUGGAUUUUAGGUUCCAAUAACAUAAGACCUCUCUUUGACGAAAAAAAUAAAAUAACAUUACAAUUCUCUAAUUAUUUUGCGUGAAAGUGCCAGGGCCCAUCCCAUUUCUACUAGAACACUUUGCUUGGAUAUUUAUUCUGUGGGGGCCAUAGUGCUUGUGGAUGUCAAAUCUUAACAUGGCCCAAUUCCUUUUGUCAAUCAACUCCUUAAACAAGUUCAUAUGGUUCUUUCUCUUUUCUUUCUCUCCAGCAUGAAAUCCUAAUGUACCCUUUAGCUUUGGAGGAACUGGGGCAAAAAUUGGAUCUUUAAACUCAAAGGCACUAAAAGCCGAAGAACACCAAAAAUCCGACGCGAUUUGGGGAAAACCCUUGGCGCUGACGUUUUCAUGUUUACAUGUUGUUAGGUUAUGUUUAGCUAAGGUUUUUAGCUUCCCUUGAUAACUUUGUAAUUGCACAUGUAAUUCAUCAAGCACAAGGUUAAUUAGACUAGGUUAGUCUAGUUGAAGAUGAUUACUAUGGCUGAGAUCAAUAGUGGCACGACGCAAUCAAGAUCUUCAAAGGUAAAUCAUGCAUUGCAUAUAUAUUAGGACAUAUGAAGUCAACGUGAUGACUAGUCAUCCGUUACUACUAGCUCAUUUAAAAUCUCACAUGAGACUCACACUUGGCCAGCUAUAGGUUUUCUUUCCUAAUGAUUUUUGUCUCUUAUAUCUUCAAUUUUAGCCGCCAUGUUGAUUAUUUUCUUACCUAGCUAUUUUGGGUUUAAAAAAAAAAAGGAGUCUUGGUUCUUGUAGCCGUCACUUUUAUAGAGAGAGAUUUUUGAGAGUUUUGGUUUUGCUCUGCAUCUUCUUUUCUGAGAAAAGUCUCCAUUUUUCAUUUUGAGGUUUUAAAAUUUUUAAAAUCUGCUUUGAUCUUUGAAAUCCACUUCACCCAUUGACAAUUUUUUAGAGUAAAACUUUUACUUUGCAUUCUCUACUUGGUGAGAUUUGGAUUUUCAUUAUGAGUUUUUGAAAAUUGGUUUUUGAAAUCUGCAUCUAGGGUUUAGUUUAAACACUUCAUCACCCUAGCUAGAUCAGAUUCUCUGUUGGUUUCUUCAAUAGGGUAGUUUCUUGAAGAAAUUGACCAUUUCAUUCAUUGGUGACGAUUCGGAGCUGAGUUGCAGUGUCAUAGGGUGAAGAAGCUGAUGGACUAGCUAUCAUUUCCAUGAAGGACAAGCUACUAGCACAACCAAGUUUGGAGAAGAAUGUUGCACAAGGAGGUAGUGCCCAUUUCCUUAAUAGAUCUAGGAUUGUUUGAGCUGGUGAUUACUUUUACCUAUAAAAAUCUUCUUGACUUAGUGGAUUGCCUAGUCGGAGUUAUAACCCCCAGUUUUUCCCAAUUGUGAUUUUUUGGGUGAACAUUUCUGGUGUGUUGUCCUUGAUUUUAUGACUAGCCAUACUGUAUUUGUUAUCUCUAAAAUGCUGAUGAAUGUUCACACACCCAUCAUUCUAGUUGUUGCUAGCAUAGGAGAUGCCUAUAUUGACAUGUCCUUCUAAGUGCCUAGGUUGUCACGUAGUUAUCUUCUAGGCUUGCAAGUUCUUAUAUUUGAUUUGUGAUGAGUAUGUGCUUUACUUGUUUAUUCAUAAGUCUAUGACUAGUAUUUGACUAGUCAUAUUGUCUCUAGGAUUAUUUGAGCAUUGUUGUCAUAGAUCUUUCCAAUUAGGGUUUUAAUUUACCCAUUCACCUAAGUACCAAUUUUACAUGUAUUUGAUCAGGUCAACUCUUAACUAGUGUGGACCUUCAUUUAUCUGGUUGACCGAUUGCAUGAGUGAAGUCAACGAUUGGAAUAAGGAUAUUGUUUGCCUCUUUCCCUAGAAUGAGAUAUUCCUCAUUUCGGCAAAUCACUGUUUGCAUAUGUGCAAAAAUAAUUCUUCAAAAACACAAAAAGAAAAACUUAUGCACGUAUAUCAUACUAUUAUUGGCAGGAAUAUAGAAUUUCCAUUUGGGAAUGAGAGAAGUAUUUUCCUUGCAAUAAUAUUUAGUCAAUUACAAUUUUAGUUUUUUUUUUUUUUUUUUUGAAGGCAAAAUCUUGAUUUAGAUUCCAGGAGCAUUACAGCUCUCUAAUUAUUUUGGGUGAUUGCGUGAAAGUAUUUUGUUUUGGACCACCUCCUCCAGGGCCCAUCUCAGUUCUACUGGAACAACUUCGUUUGGAUAUUUUUUCUGUUGGGGCCGUAGUGCUUUUGGAUGUUUAAUCUUAACAUUGGGCCCAUUCCUUUUGUCAAUCAACUGCUUAAACGGGGUCGUAUGGCUUUCUCUUUCCUCUCUCUCCAGCAUGAAACCCUAAUUAAAAAUUUCUCCAGAGUUUCGUCCCUUUUUUUUGUGGUGAUAUAAUAUUGGUACUGGAAAUUUGUGACCAAAAAAAAAGGAAGACGGGAAACCUUGUAUUGGCUCAUUUGUCUAUGUGAUGAGGAGGUUUCUCCUCGACUUCCCUCAGGAUGAUGACCUCAUCUGCCACCAUGAGGUAACAAUGGCCAUGGCAAGUUUUAGUAUUUUGUUUGAACAGAACCAAAGAUUAAUUCAAUGUAAAAUCAUGGAAGCUAGGAAGAAAAUUAAACAUAAUAUAACUUGUUUUCCUUAAUUUGCUUUGUUGUUUGUAAAUCCAAUGGCUGACUUUUCCACUUUUGCUUCUAAUAUUCUGUAGCAUUCUUGGCCAUAGAAUUAAUGGUCUAGUGGGCAAUACAGAGGCAGCCAACAAGUCCUAUUGUCCUCAGUCUCUGGUUUUAGGCACAAACUUCUCUGUCAGGUUCGUCCCUUCUUGGACUGUUUUGCUGCAACUGUCUAUCUUCAUUUGGUUUUCUCCUGUUCUUGAUCUCUUGUGGCAAACAAAACAAAAUAGAAAAAGGAAAUGAUUAAUGGAGUUUUUGAAAAGAAAAUAUAAGAACUAGUUAUUGUAUGACAUUGCUGACAAUAACUCCUUAUUGCGCUGCUGCUGCUGCUGUUGCCGCAGAACUGUCCAGGAUUCCAUGCUGAUCAAUUCAUGAAAAAUAAAGUGUGUAUGCAUACAGUUUAAGAUUAGCUGCAAAAAGAGAAAUGUAGCAAACUAGAUCAUUACCGGAGCUUCAUACACCAAAUACAUUGCGAUGGGGGACUAAAACUCGAAAUCCAUGGCGGUGGAUAUGUGGAAAGCUUGUAAGAGCUUUGUUAUUCUUUGUAAAAUCAAAUGCCACCAGGAGUUCCCCCAAACACUUCAGUGGGAUAUAUAAUUGAUCAGAAUGAAUUAUUUCCCAAUGAAGUGGUCAAGAGAACUCUCGGUGACACCUGACAAUAUUUCCUCUUUUUUCAUCACAGCUUCUACAAUAAGUACAUUACCACGGAUAAGCCCUUUCGUUCUUUAUAAAAUCAAAUGCCACUAGGAGUUCCCCCAAACACUUCAGUAAGAUAUAUAAUUGAUCAGAAAGAAUUAUUUCCCAAUGAAGUGGUCAAGGGAACUCUCAGUGACACUUGACAAUUUUUCCUCUUUCUUCAUUAGAGCUUCUACAAUAAGUAUAUUGCCACGGAUAAGCCCUUUCAUAUUUUGUAAAAUCAAAUGCAACCAGGAGUUCCCCCAAACACUUCAGUAGGAUAUAUAAUUUAUCAAAAAUAAUUAUUUCCCAAUGAAGUGAGUAAGGGAACUCUCGGUGACACCUGACAACAUUCGUCCUUCUUUAUCAGAGCUGCUACAAUAAGUAUAUUGUGAUGGAUAAGCCCCUUCAUUAUUCUUUGUAAAAUCAAAUGCCACCUAGAGUUCCCCCAAACACUUCAGUAGAAUGUAUAGUCGAAAGAAGACUAUUUCCCAAUGAAGUGGUCAAGAGAACUCUAGGUGACACCUGACAAAGUUCCUACUUCUUUCUUUCUACUUCUUUCAAAGCUUGUUUUGGUUUGAUGGUUAUGAGUUGCAACUACCUCCUGCUAUAUAUAGUGUCUGGCCCUCUUUGCAUUUGGUUGUGUUUUGCAUGUUCCUUAUUUCCUUGUCCUUGUUCAAUAGGCAGAAAAUCGGAGGAGGAAAUCGAUCUUUUAAGUAAUGAACCUAGACGACAUUGGAGGCUAGAUGGAAGAAAGGAAUAAUAUUGAGGUGAUUGUCAUGUGCCAUUCUUAAUUACCUGGCCCACACUUAUUCUCAAGGAAAUCUAUUAGAUUGCCUCAAGGCUGAUCAGAACCUCAUAUGUGCUGUGGCUACUUGCUAAGAGCAACUCCACCCAUUUGCCCUUAGCCAUGGCAAGGGGGGAGCUAGGGCAGCCACUAUUCACGUGAAUAGUGGUUGCCCUUGCAAAUAGUAUUUUGAGUUUCCACCCAUUGCCAUGGCUAAGGGCAAUUACUAUUCAUUUUUUUGUUUUUUCACAACUUUUUUUUACUUAAAUAAUUAAUUUGGAUAAUAUUUUCGGAUAAGAUUUUUGGGUUCCUACGUGUCAAUACUAUUCAUAUCGGAUAAGAUUUUAUUUUAUUAGUUGUAUUGGUUGGUAUUCAUUAAAAAAAAAAAAUGAGGAUUUGGUGUUAAAAGUGAAGAGUAUUGGUUGGUAUUUAUAGACACGGGCGGACCCAUAAUUUUUUUAGCGGAGGUGCAAUAUUGGCUAAGUAUGAAAAAUGGUUUUUCGGAAUAAUUAUUUUCUCAAGAUAAUUUUUGGCGGCUUUUAUUCCUUACACAUCAAAUAAGAAAACUUGAUUUUAUGGGAUUUUAAUAUGAAGUAUAUAUUGACUUAAUGAGCCAUCAUUUUUAGCCUAAAUCGUAUUUUGCACUAAAACCGAUUUUUCAUAUUUUGAUUUGGUGGGAAUUUGAUUUUCUAGUAUUUUUAUUUGAAUCCAAAUGGGGGGUACUUCCUUAUUUACAUUGUAAACUUAAGUAAAUGGAGUAAUAUAAAAAUAAAUUAAAGUAAAAGGACAAAGACAUUUACUUAAAUGUUGAAAAUGGAAAUAAGGUAUAGAGGAAAAUGUUGAAUAAAGAGUGAAUAAUAGUAGAAGUAUAAUGAAAUGUAUGAGGAUUGGUGUUGAAAGUGAAGGGUAUUGAUAGGUAUUUAUAGAAAAAAAAUAUCAGAAUUUUUUAGAAUUUUUUAAAAAAAUUUACGAUUUUUUUUCAUAUUUUUAUUGCCCAAAAAAGCCUCAGCCGUUGGAUUAAUUUGGAGAAGCAGAUCGGAAGGCUGGGGAGGCGACACGUGGCAGCGCACUUUGGACCUGGCGCACUGACGUCAGCGUGACGCGAGGCUGACGUCAGCAACACGCGAGUUGGACCUCGGGCUGGUCUCGCCUUCGGGCUGGCCCGAGUUGGUGGGUCCCACACCACCCCCGGGCCUGGGCUGUACGCUGGAGCGACUUUUUUUUUUUUUCCUGCCCUCGCCUCGGGCUGGGCUCCCUCGCUGGAGCUGCUCUAAGACUUGCUUCAGGCUCAAUUAAUCAACCGCACUGAUAGCAUGUUAAAUUCAAAGAGACGGGCCAGCGGUCCAUCACUAAUAACACCGAUAUUGUUCCCAACUUAAUCACCUACAAAACCCAGUAAGUGUGGGGUUUUAUCACAAAAGGCCUCAGUGUUGUUAGUAGUAAAAUCAUUUAUUUAUUUUUAUAUUUUAUUUAGUCAAAUUUCCGAUGUGGGACUCAUAUUCUUCAACAGAAUGUAUGCUUUUGCAUCCAAGAAAAUGCUGAAAGGAACAAGUUGGGAUAUGAAAGAGAACAAAGGGUUGAGACUUGUGAGAGCUUAUGGCCACAGACCACUCACUUCACUUUUGUUCUCUCCAGUGACUGCAAUCCUGACCAGGUUCAAUUUUCAAAACUUCAACUCUGCCAUUUAUCUUUUCUCUACUGGUCCUCCCAUUCUGAUGAAGCCCACCGUUUUAUAAAUGAAGUCUAUAUCAAAUGAUAUAUAUGCCCUUCAUGAUCGAUCCCUUUGGCUAUAUAUAGUGGAUACUGAGUUGCUUUCAUUCCCUUAUGAAGAAAAAAGGAGAUAUAUUGUACCCCAUUAAUGAAGUGCUUGGGGGAACUCUGGUUGGCUAGACCAGCCAUUUUCUGCUGUUUUGGUGUUUGGUUCAUGAUGCUGCUCUUUGCAUUCUAUGUUUUCCAUAUAAGGUUUUGAACUUGUUCAGGGAAUUGGGAUUUUGAUCCUAUAUUGGCAUUUCCUCUUUAAUUCAGUGGAGUCUUACUAAACCCUGAUUUUUUUUCUUUUUUUGGUCAAAUUGGAUUAACCGAACUUCAUAUAAUAGGGGAGAACCCAAAAGAAAAGACUCCCAAAUUAUCAAACUGGCCAGCACAUGAUCACUGAGUACAGACAGCAAAACAAAGGAAACAAUAUUAAAAACACCUCACACAGCACAAGGACCGCGUCUAGAUAACCAAUUGCUAGGUGAGAGACAACAAGACAACCUUAAGCUCAGAGGAGUCAGAGCCGUCCACACCGGCACACAGCAUUAGGCACUUGUUGGCGGGCAAGGGAGACCAUCGUUGUUGAGAACAUGCACAAGUGAGGUGGUGGGUCUGGAUGUCCAGACUUCCGGGCUCAACCUCGAUAGUGCGACAGCUGCCAAAUGAUCUGCAGCUUGGUUUCCAGACCUGCGCGUCUGAGUCUAGGUGCAAUGGUUGAAGUUGUGAUGAUAAUCGCGAAUUCUAGUGAGAAUGGGAUACAUACACCAUCGUCCCCUUCGGAUGUUGCCAUUGAUGCUGUCCACGAGUUCCUUUGAGUCUGAUUCGAAGCAAACACAAGUAAGACCCAGCUCCAUUGCAAAGAGACAAUCCUCAAGAGCCGCAUUAGCUUUGAUCAUGAUUGCAGACUCAGCCGAGAAAGGAACGGCCUUGGCGCCCACAAACAUUUCUAUGCUUGUCACCCUAAUUAGGUAGGCAUAUCACCCCUAUUUGGACAAGAAUCAACUAGAAAAAGAUAAUGGACUAAAUUAAAUCUGGUACAGAAAGAUUUAAAACAGAACAAAAAGUUACUAGUUUCAGUACCAUGUUGAGCAUAAUGAGUUGAUUAGGCCACUUUCUUAGGAAAAAUAAAAGACAGAAGAUGAACAUGGAGAUCAGAGACAGGAGAAAGACAGAAGACAAUUAUUUUGCUAGCCAACUUUCCUGCCUGUGUUUUAGGUACUAUCUUAUAACCACUUACAAUCAGAGAAGCAGUAAGAACCAGCAUACUCUCAAUCACAAACCUCAUCAUAGACAUAAAAGAUAAACACUACAUUUGAUUACUUCCAAAGGCUAUACUAAUAUAACUCGUACGUGGAAAUCAUAUUGACCAUUCGAUCAAACAUGCAUUUGGCAUAUUGUAGUCUGGCAUCUGUGAUUAUUAAAAAGUACUGGUGGCUAAGAUAUUAGAUCUGCAGAUGAGAAUUGACCCAUGUCCCUGAUAUUAGCAAAUGGGAAGUUUGAUAAGCUACUUUACUUUUACCACUUGGCUCUGAGAUUGGGCAGAGGAUCUUCUUUCUUUGAGACGAGUUAACAUGAAUUUGAAUCAUUGUAAAUUCAACGGUUCUCUCACUUUUACAUUCCUUUUAAGAAACUUUUUUUGAACUAUUGGAUUAAUAUCCAACGGUGGGUGACCACAAUCUCUUGAACUCCUGUGGUUCAAGAGAUCGAAACUGUAUAUAUAUAUAUAUAUAUAUACACACACGCAUAUAUAUGGUGACUGCAAUUGAAGCACGUCGGGCCCUCAUUUGCCACAUGCUCUUCUGCAUCAACUUGAACAUAACUUUUCUUGUAGCAUAUCCACAUGACAUAAUUCAAAUUAUUGGUAUGUAGUGUAUCUAUCAAAGUAUAUAUAUCAAAUAAAAUUGAAAAUUACUGGCUGGACAGAGGAAUUUAUGGGUGAAAGAGUAGAAUUUGAUUUAUGAGCAGACUGGCUAGCAUGUGGCUACUCGAAGUCGAUAUUCCUUAGUUUUAGUGUUACCAACUUUUCCCAUGUAGCUAGCUCACACUUACGCCUUGGUUCACUCCAGAAUACAAUAAUUGUCUUUGAAUAGAAUGCAAAGGCAUGCACAGCAACUCUCUCUAUAAAUACUUGGGUGGGCUUGGGUGGGUUGCUUAGGAACCAUUCGAACCAAAACAGCAACCAAAGCUCAAGUUAAGUAAAGAUCGAUUAACAAAGCAUCAAAUGAGCCCUAGAGUUCCCUCAAACACUUCAUUGGAGAUUAUAUGCCCCUCUCUACUUUCUAUCUACUGAAGUGUUUUUGGGGACCCUUAGCUAGCUCACACUUCCUAGCUGCUUGCAUUCAUUGGACUCUUGCAGCAUGUGGUCCAUGGACUUUUUAUUCCGUAUCAUUUCAAUUUCAACCUACCGACUAAAUAAAUAAAACAUCAUGACAGUUGACAAAAUAGGAAGAUUCUUUAUCCGAGAAUCUCCUUAUGAAAUUCUAGAAGAGGCUCAUUCUAGGACCACUUCCAUCUUCAGUAAAAAUGUCCUCAGUUUUAACUUUCACCCAUUGUCAUAAAUCCUAGGGUUUCACCCAUUGGCAUGCAUGCUAGGGUGAGUGAGUUAGGGAAGCCACCUUUAUGUACUUUUCACUUUUUUCUUUUUCCUUUUUACAAGCAAUAAUAGGAGAGGGAAAACGAACACUAAAGACAUAGGUUGAACUACAAGGCACUUGGGCAUUUUACUCACUCGGAUUUUCUUUAGAUUUGGCAAAGUUUAUUGGUAGCGCCAUAAAUCAAGUAUUUUCACACAAACCUGAUUUGCUUUAAGAAGAUUCAUUAACAAGAAUUAACACCCAGCAGAUUAAAACUCAAAUUAAUGUGUUUAAGUAUAUAUCCAGUUGAUAAGGUUGCUUUACAAGGGCAUGAGGGGUGUGGGCCCUGGCUAACCCACAUCAUAUAAUUCUCAAAUAGCUGUAAUAUUGGCUGUACCAAUGUGCACUUCAAUGUCUGGCUAUACUAGUGCCUUAAAUAACUGUGUCUAAAAUCCAAAACCACACCAGAGACAGAGACACAGAGGUGGAAUUUGGCAAAGCACAAUUUGGGAAAAGAGUUUAGAGAUGUGGCAUUGAUGCUGUGGAUGAUGAGGAAUAAACAAGAUAUAGCUAGCUAGGAAGGUGACUUUAGUGUAUUAAACAAGAUAUAGCUAGCUAGGAAGUCACAAUAUAUAUAGUUAAUUAAGCUGGGUCUUAUUUAUGGUGAGAUGUUUGUUGAUGUUAUUAUCUCUCAAUUCAACAACCUGCAACUUUUAAUGCUAUAUCCUAUAUAUGUAUGUUGCGCUUGUAUCCAUGGUGAAUUUAUUUACUGGCUAAAAAGUUACCGCUUAUAUGAUCAGAACAACUUCAAAAUUAACCAAGGAACAACAAAUUAAGCCUGAAGAGUAAAAAACCAAAGCAAAGCACUGAACAAUAUUAAACCAAAAUGGGUCAUAUAUAUUUAUAUAAUGUAAUUCAAUUACAAGUUACAACAACAUUCAUCCAAUCCAAGGAGAUCUUAAAAGAAUGACCAACUUCAAAGGAACAUCGAACCAAUUAAGCAAAGGUUUUCAUCAAUCAGUCGGCACCUCAAAGCGGCAAACAGGACAGUAGUGACUUUGUCUGAGCCAGUUUACUAUGCACUCGCCAUGAAACACAUGAGAGCAUGGCAUGCAAGCGACAGUUGUUCCUCCCUCAAACUCAUCCAUACAAACACUGCAACUCUCACCUUCGCUCACACUAAUUCUCCUCCUCUUUCUCUUUCCACCCUCUUCCUCCUCCUUCACAUCAUCACUUACACUCAGAUAAUUUCUCCUUAUUGACUCUCCCCAUUGACCAACUAUAACCUUCUUUAGGACCUUCUUGAUGGAUGACUCACUCGCCGGCACCAUCUUGACCUCCGCCGCCGCCAGUGACUCCCUCAUAACGCUAGCCACCAAACACUGCUGGCACCGAUACAUGCGAUGGUCUUUAAGAAUGCAAACGUGCAGUCCAAAUAGCAUGCCAAGCCUGUUGGGAAACUUUUUGGGGCGAGCUUCGCGACCCUGCUUUACAAUCUCAUCCACUAUAUCCCGCACAACACGAUCCCUUGUGAUCCCGAAAGACAACAUGGCCUUAGAAAGAACAAGAUACGAAUCCUGGUAGUUCUCUAACAAACUUUGUUCAAGGUAGAUUGUUUUUUUAUGUUGUUCGAGGCAUUGAUAGAUAAAUUUUGGACGACUGGUUCCAAUAUCAUCUGGGGAACGAACAUCGUAGUAUAUGUGGUUGACUUCGUAGUCAAAGUUGACCCGAAGCCUUUCAUCUUCAUCGUCAUGGAAGCCUUUUAGUAAAUCUGGGGUAAGGGGUGAAGUUUUACAGCUGAAGUGCCUGUCCUCGUGAUGGACUUCAAUUGCUUCUUCGUCCAUGGCAAUUGAUUCAGUGAUGAGCAAUAGUUUCUUAAAGAGAAGAAGUAGCUAGGGUUUUAGAGUUGUGUAGAGUUAGGGAUGCGACUAACAAGUAUAUAUAGAGAUUGGGUGGUGGUGGUUUGUUUCCAAAUUGGUAUAGGAUUAUUAGCAAUUAAAUUACCCAACUCCGCUUUCUUCAGCGACAAGUUUCUUAAACACUCCCACUUGUUUUAGGAAAAAUUAGAAACAUUUUUUUUUAAUCUCAAGUAAAGUUGGUAAUUCAAACAAGCACCUGCAUUUUAAAUGGAGCCAGCCCGGUACACUAACUUGUGUUAGCGGGCUAUUGCUUGGAUAUAUAUCUUGAUUUCCUUUCAUAACUCUUUUUUAAUUGAAAUUUUAUUCUUAGAAUAAAUCAAGUGCUUGGGAUUGAAUUGGAUUGGAUAAGUCACAAAAUUCAAAAUUUUGUUGAAGCAAAGAAAUAAGAUAGAGUCGAAUGUUUUUUUUUUGUUGGGGGUAAAGAUUAAAAGGGAUAAAGUUGCUUAAUGACUCAUUCAUCUUUUACCUACUUACUUGAACAAAAUUAGAAGUUAGCCUUCUUCCUUCAACCUACAUUGAAUAGUGAGCUAUCCCAAUCCUAGGAUUUCAUAUGUUUUACUAUGUAUUAAUAUGAAGGGAAAAAUAUAUAUAUGUGUGUGUACAAAUAUAUAUAUAUAUAUGGAGGUUCUGGUAAUAUAUGUAUCAUAUAAUUGUUGUGUACGUUUUUACUUUUUUCUUGACCACUGAGUUAUCUCUUGGCUCGCUAGAUAUGAUUCCUCUUUUUCUUAUUUUUAUCAUAUUAGACUUUUUCUUCUCUCCUUCACUCCUUUUUUUUUUUUUAAUUAUUUUUAGUAUAGGCGAUUGGAGGAGGAGGUUUACACAAAUUAUUUUUCUAAAUGCUCGAAAAUGAAUCUUGAAAUCAAGGUAAGAUGAUAUGAUAUUUACCGAGCUUUUACAAAAUCGCUCUCAUCAAUCCUCUCCUCUCCUCUCUAGCCACAUUAUUCAAUCUUGCAAGAAGGAUGCCUACUUAUCAAGGAUGCUCGUUUCUAUUAUAAACUCAUGGUAUCAACGUGAAGGCUAUAUUAAGUCAAUGGCUAUAAACUCAUGGUAUAAACCCAGGGCAUUGAGAAUUGGGGCCGAGUGCCACCCAUGGCUGUACUCUUUCGUUUAUAAUGAAUCUGGCAGAUGCAGUAAUAGAAGCCGCAACACUGGAGCCAACCAUGUCAACCCCAAAGACUAGCUCAAAAUAAGUUGAUCACGACCUGUGAGAUAUGCCAUCAAAAUUUUAUUUGGUUCCUUUUUGGCGUUUAUUUUAUUUUUUUCACCAAAAAUGAUAAAGGCAUUUAGGAACCACCUGAUUUAAGGAAUAUACAAUAUUUUACUAGUCUUAACUUAGAUAUCUUCCUUCUAGUGUUGAUGGGUUAAUAAAUUCGAUCUUCUGAGUUUCAUCUCUCUUAUAACAAGGAAGCUAAAUAUAGAAAACAAAAUCAACUAAUUAGAUCAAGCCCAUAACCUAGACAUGGUAACCAUUAACAUGUAAAUCAUCAUCCUACAAUCUCACCAGCACAAAACCAGGCAAAGCAUUCCAACCCAAACAGGACAGCAAUCCCGGCAUCCUCCACCCUCAGCUCCUGCCUAUUCUUCCACAGUUGUUUGACAUAAUAAACCUCAGCGGCUUUGGUGGGUUAAGCAGCAAGUUUGGCAGCAAGGUGCGUUUGGUGUUUGUGAUCAAGUGUAUUAGGGUGUACCAUGGAUAUUUUUGGUAGUUAAAUAGGGUGUACUUAGUUAAUUUCACAUUUUGAUUAAAAUACUAGGGUGUACUUAGAUCAUAAGGUGUACUCAGUUAAUUUUAGGGUUCGUUUAGUAACACUCUAUUUCUAAAAGUAGGUCUUUUUCUUUCUUUCUUCCUUUUCUACUGAUUUUAGUUUUCUCUAAAUAAAAGUUAAAGAGUUAUUGUUGAUACUACGUAGCAUUUAUUAGAACUUGAUAACUCCAUAACUCUUUAUGUUUCAUUUGUUUGGUUAAGGAUUUGAGCAAAUAUAUAUAUGCAUACAUACACUAGUACAUGACAUUCCCAAUAACUUUGAUUUUGCCCAAGUUAUAAUUAUGAACAAACUGAGAAAUUACUAGCUAUUUAGCAACAUAUCAAUCAGUUGUGGUUUCAGCAAUUGCUAAGUAAAGGGUAAAUCUAUCCAUCCAUGUAAUCAUAUAUAUUGAGUUUUUGAAAUUUGAAUCUAGACAGAAACAUGGGGAAGAUUAAUAGUAGGGAAUAAAGUAGUUGUACAUCUAGUAAGUGAUAAAGCUCGACAAGCCCCCCAGAGCUUUCUCUAUCCCCCAGCAAAGCAUCUUGCAUUUCCGAGGCGCAUCUUCCUCUCGUCAAUCUUUUUGAUAGAGAUCAUAGAGAUGGUGUCAGGUCCUCACUUGCCACAUGCGUUCAUCAACUUGAACAACCUUUUUAACGCAGCAUCUACAUCACAACAAUAUAUAACAAAGGACACCCAUUUUAAUCAUUUUAAUUGUGAUUUGCAGCCAUUUAAGCAGAUCACUGGCAUGUGGCUACUCGAAGUCGAUAUUCCCAUGUAGCUAGUUCAUAGUUGCGUCUAGGUUCACUGACAAUUUUUCUGUGAUAUUUGAACACAGAGCAACAUAUUGAUCAGCUCAAUGCAAAGACAACAACGUUACUCUCUCUAUAAAUAGUUGGGUUGCUUAGGAACCAUUCGAAACCAAGGCAGCAGCCAAAGCUAUGAGUUAAGUAAAAAGGUCGAUGAACAAGGCAUCAGAUAGCCCCUAGAGUUCCCUCAAACACUUCAUUGGAGAUUAUUAUGGGCAUUAUCUUAAUUAUGCCUCUCUCUCUCUACUUUCUACUGAAGUGUUUGGGGGGACCCUUGGAGUCAUUUGAUCGAUAUGUAGCCUACCACAUGUGGAUAAGCUAUAGCUAGCUGCAAUAUUAAAGUAAGUGCUUUCUUGUUCUGCUUGAUUUAUUCAUUUGCUUGAUAACCAAUUAUGGUCAGUUAAAAAUUAAUUAACUAUUUUUUUUCCCAAUUCCUUUGCAGCGAGCUAGAUUACUUGUGGAAGGUCAUUACUUUAGCUCUGUUGAUUUUUUUUAUGGGAGUGGAAAAGUGGUUUAGUAUGUUAAACAAAAAUUAAAAGGAUCUCAUAAUUGAGUGUUGUUCAUGUUUGAAUUGUGUGUUGAAACUUUGAUUAUUUCUCAAUUUCACCUGCAAAUCUAAAAGUGCUAUAUGUAUAUUAGAUAUUGUUGAUGAAUGAUAUGACGAUGAAUUUAGGGCUAAAAGAAACUGCAUCACAAAUGAACAAAGCCAACAAAUACUAAACAACUAAACCUUAAUUAUAUAAUAAGAUCAUAUGUAAAUUAGUUACAAUAUUAAUAACAAUUCAUCCAUCCAAGGAAGCCUCAAAACAAUCAAAUUUAAAGGAACCACGGAACAACCAAUCGCGACUUUUUCUUAGUCAUCUCCAUACAAACACUGCAACUCUCACUUUCACUUCCACUACUUUUUCUCUUUGUACCCUCCUCCUUCACAUUAUCACUUACAACGCUUCUCCUUCUUUUUCUGUUUGUUGUACCCUCCUCCUCCUCCACAUCAUCAACUACACUUAUUCCCCUUGUUUUUCUCUCCCUACGCUCCUCCUUCACAUUAUCACUUCCGGUAAUUCUCCUUCCUUUUCUCUUUGUACCCUCCUCCUUCACAUCAACACGUGAUCCUAAUUUACCAUCUAUGACCUUCUUUAGCACCUUCUUGAUCGAUACCAUACCUUUAUAAUUGCUCGCCGCCAUUGAUUUCCUCCUAACCUUACCCUUCAAACACUCCUCACACCUAUACAUGGCAUGGUCUUUUCCAAUAUGAACAUACAACCCCCAUACCUCUGGACGCUCGUCGGAAAAAAUUUCCCGUCGAAUUUCGCGACCCCACUUUAUAAUCCCAUCCACUAUUUGAUCAUGCAACCUAGCAUUCUCAUCUGAACUUGCAAUUCCAAAGGACGACAACACCUGAGAAAGAAACUCGUACGACUCGCCGCACUUCCUCAACACAGGCUUCUCAAAUUCAAUUGUUUUUUCAUCUUUUUCUUGAAAUUGGUCGACGAGGGUUUCACGACGAGUUCCAAUAUCAUCUGAUGAACGAAUAUCGUAGUAUAUGUGGUUGACUUGGUAGUCAAACUUGACAAGAAACUGAGCCGGCGAUGAAGGUUCGUAGCUGCCUAGUAAGUGUGGGGCAAGGAGUAGCACGUAGAAGUCCAAGCUAUCCUUCUCGUGAUGGACUUCAAAAUCUUCGACUUCCAUGACUGAAAGAAGCAGAGGUUCGUAGCUGCCUAGUAAUUAUGGGCAAGGUUUUAGAUUUUAUAUUGUAGAGGUGGGUUGUUUCCAUGUUGGUGUAGGAUUAAGAAACUGUUAAAGAACCCAGUCAAGACUUGGGUUUCUUCGGUGGGAAGUUUCUUACCUUUUGGUUUCCGACUUCUUUUGGGAAAAUAUAUCUCAAGUUCUGAUUAAUUUUCCAACUAAUUAAUUGGUAAAAUUUACUUGGAAAUAAAGUUACAAAUUUUGGUAUAUGUAAGCACAAUUUUUGGUAAAUAAGCCAAUAAGGACAAACAUAGAAGAAUCUUUGGAAAGAGGGCUUGGAAAGUUUGGAAAUUAUAUAUUCCAAACUUUUACUAUCUCGUGGGACCCAUCUGUAGUGAAUAUCAGAGAUUUUCAAAUACUGAUGGUGAUCUAAUCCUAAUUGAAUUUUCUCAUGUAUUUAUCCCUAUUGUAUUUAUUCUUUAAUUAUCGUUUCAGUUUAGAUAGAAAGUCAUAUUAUAAAUGAAAAGAAAUGCAUAUUAUCAAAUGUAAAUAACACAGAAAUCAACAAAACAAUUGACAAAUUUUUAUUUAUUAAUAUGUAAUAUUUCAAUUACAAUAUACUUUCAUCCAAGAAGAUCUUAGAAUGAUGAACUUUAGAGUACAUCCAAAUUAAGCAAGAUUUUCCUCAAUCAGCAGUAGGCACUUCAAAUCGGCAAACCGGGCAGUAGUGACUUUGUCUGAGCCAUGUCCUUAUGCACUUGUCAUGAAACACAUGUGAGCAAGGCAUGCAAGCUACUUCUGAUCCUCCAUUAAACUCUUCCAUGCAAACAGUGCAACUAUCACUUUCACUUACACAAACUUUCCUUCUCUUUCUCUCUCGACCAUCCUCCUCACAACAUGAUGCUUCUUUGUCAUCUGGACCCAAUCGAACCCUCUUUAGUACCGUCUUGAUCGCUGAAUCACUCGCCGGCACCAUGCCCUCAUUAUUACUACUACUCAUUACUAUCUCCAGUAAUUGCGUACACGACUCACAGCGACUCUUGACUUGCUCUGUUCUCAUAUAUACGCACAACCCCAACACCUUACGACCCAUGCUGCUAAGCUUAUUGCCGAGUAUGAGACCCUGCACCAUAAUCUUAUCCACCAUAUAUUUGUUGGAUGCAUUAUCUCUACUGAUUCCAACUAGCGCCAGCAUGAUAGAAAGAAUCCCAUGCGCCUCGCGGAAAUUCUUUAACUUGUCCAUGUCGAAUUGGCAUUUUCUUUCCUUUCUUUCCACAUAUUCUCUGAUGGUGGUUUCAGUACGGUUCAAGGAACGGUUGACGUAUUUGUAAUGGGUAUCGUGCACAAUCUUGACAUGAAACUUAACCGGCUCCACUGAUGAACGGUUCCGGUUAUGAACACGAUUAGGGUUGUUUAGUUCUGCGGUAAUGUCGUUGAAGCUGAAGCUGAAGCGUAUACGCUUGUGAUGGAUGGAAUUGGCAAGGAAGUCUUCCAUGGAAAUUAGUCGCGGCUGGAAACUAGAGUUUGAGAAUUGCUUUGGUUGUUUGAAGAAGUGUAUUGUGGAGUGAGAGGACUAACAGAUAUAUAUACAGGGCGGUGGGUUUCCUUAUUCGUUGGGGAUUGGCCUACUAAGACUCGAGUUGCUUGAUCGAAACGUUUCCUUUUCUUUCCUUUUGGUAAUGGGAAACCGCCUUAAUUUCUUAAGAGAAAGUAACUAAUUAGGUUAAGCACAAAUAAUUAAUUUGUAUUAUUCUUCCUCCAAUAUAAAGAUGUGUGUCAUACAGAACAUAGGCAUCUUCCGCUUAAAAAAAUUAAUAAUUUUCUUUUCAAUAUUAUGAAGAAGAAAAGAGUUUGAAUUUUGAUUUAAAGAUUUAGCUAAUGGGAAAAAUAAAAAAUAUUUGUACAAAUAGGCUCAUUCUAACAUUACAUUUAUAAAAAAGCCCUUUAAGUCCAAUACUUUAGAAAAACUUCAUGUUGUACUUUCAAGUGAUAAAAUUGUAACACAUUAAUAAUCAAUUAGAAUAUGACAAGGGGCUAGUUGAGGGUUUUAUUUUCUCCAAACAAGCUCUCUAAGGAUUUUUGUAUAAAUUUCAUGCUAGAAUCCACCCUUUUUUUUUGGCCACUUGUUAAUCUAUAUAUAUAAAGUGAAAGGCAGAUAAUGGUAAAACAUUCAAAAUACCAGAAAAUGUCAUUGGUUAAUGCAAAUAUUAAGAAUUGAAACUAUUAAUUAAAUGAGGAUAAUAUGGUAAAUUCACACUUUUCCAUAUUAAAAAAAUUACAAGAAAAAUCAGAAAAUAAAUCCUAUUUUCAUGGAACACCACUACCCAUUAUUAUUUUUUAAUUCUAAAAUAAUUUUUUAAUUUUUUUUUAAUUUUUUUUUUUAAAAAAAACAUGUCGCAUGCGGAGAGGCUAGUUCUAAUAAUGGGAAAAUCUGUUCAAAUUUAAGAGAAUUUUAAGGUCUCUGGUUCAAGAUAUAUAAUUAUUCUUCGUAAACCUGUAUGUGUGGUUCAAGUCCACCUAUAUAUGAUUUCUCUCUCAAGUCUCAGUUUGUGUGCAUUGUUUGUAGCUUGUUUUAUCAUUUAUUAGGUACACCAAUUGAAAUAAGAAUCGUACGCUUGAAAAUUUUACCACCAUAAAUCCAUUCACUGAUAUGUUGUUGAAUUGAACAAUUCGAGUCAAUCAUUAGAACACAAUAUAAGUAUAUAUGUCUCUAGUUUCUUUUCUUUUCUUUUUUCUUUUUUUUUUUUUAAGAUAAAGGCUAUGUUGCAUUCAUAAUUUAUGCAUAAAGGCUGUCAACCACAAGAUCUACUGCAAAUAUACAUAAUCACAAAGGAUUGUUACAAAUAUGGAAGCACGGUAACCACAAAGGGUUAGUCCAAAUAUGGCCACACAUGACUAAAUAAAUUUUAUCAUAAAAGCCAGUAGCCUGAAAAACCACACACCAAAGUAAAUCUACAACUACAACCUUUACACUCUCACAAGUAGAGAGUAGACUACAAACAAGCAUCAAACUCACAAAGGGAUGAUGCAAUUAUUACAACUCAAGCAAGUUCAAACACAAAUAAAACCGCUCAGUCACUUUGUCUAUCUCCAAAUCACAAGUUGAAACAAACCACAGAGAUCUAAAGUAUAUCUAAAGUAAGAGCUCCAAAUCUGUAAAAAGAAGACAAACAAAACAACCAAGCCUAAAACAAACUAGCCAAAAUGGCAAAACAACAACAACAGACCAAAGGGGAAAGCAAGGGAAUGGGAGGAGUAGAGAGAGGGGAGGGGUGGAGAGAGAAGGGGAAGGGAAGGAACCCACCCCAAAAGGGGGUUGGCGGUUGAGGAUGCUUAGGUUUUCUCUUGCUCAAAGGUUUUCUAUUAUCGUUUUUCUUCUGCUUUCAGUACCUGAUGACUAAGUUUGAAACAUUCCAAAUUUUAUUGAACUAAGAAGUUGAAAUUUUUUACAGAAAGCAGUAUAAUGAUUCUUACAAAGUAGCUGGACCAAUUUCUUAUCAACUCAAAAUUGAAACCGAUCCACAAUUCCACAAUAAACAAUUAGGAAUUGAAUGGAAUUUAAAAUUUAUAAGCCAUUAAUUCACCAUAAAUCAAUUAUCACCGAACUUCAGGUCUCUUCCUUUAGUUCGGUGGUAAGGCGGCGAUAAGAAAUUAUGCUUCUUCUGUUGUUGCUUCAAUCUUAUCAAACCAAGGUUUAAACGAGAUGAAAUACAAACACAAAGCUGCAGUAAAAGUUUAUCUCCAGAAACUUUGCAGAGCCUCAUUAAGAAAAUAGGGCUGAAGUAGCCCAGCAGCAUAGUGUAAUUCAUCAAUCUGCAUUAUAUAUGUAUAUGCACAUUAAGAAAUCAACCCAAAAAAGUUAUGAGGAGAAAAACUAUACUGAAUUGCAGCGGAAGGGGAGCUCAGUGGACGAAAACUUCAACUUAAUCCCAAUUCAACAAUGUGCAAGAGAAGUAAUGUACGUAGUUAUAUAAGGAUCGUUUUAUAUCAUAUGCAACAUAUGAUUAGGCUGAUCAGAAGAUUACAUAUAUUUUUCUAGCAUCGAUCUGGUUGAUCCGUGUCAGAUGAUAUCCAUGAAGGAAGUUGAGGUUCCACCCCAAAAUCAAUUGGCAAUGGGGGGAGUAACCCAACUCCUUAUAAGCCAUUGCUAUGUUUUUCAACUUUCCAAUGUGGGACUCUUUACCUUUACAUUCUCACACGCCCCCGCACGUGUGGCGAAUUUUUAAGCCUAACACGUGGACAACACAUUUUGGAUGACGUGGAGCACGUGUGGCCGUUGGGCUUUCACACGUGGGCAACCCGCUCUGAUACCAUGAAGGAAGUUGAGGUUCCACCCCAAAACCAAUUGGCAAUGGGGGGAGUAACUCAACUCCUUAUAAGCCAUUGCUAUGUUUCUUCCACCCCAAAACCAAUUGGCAAUAGGGGGAGUAACCCAACUCCUUAUAAGCCAUUGCUAUGUUUCUCAACUUUCCAAUGUGGGACUCUUUACCUUCACAACCCAGAGUUCCCCCAAACACUUCAGUAGGAUAAAUUAGGGUACAUAUGAACUACCCUUAUAAUUUUCCCAAUGAAGUGUUCAAGGGAACUCCAGGAACAACUGACGAUCUCUUCUGAUUUCUUUCUGUUGUUGUGGUGUUCUUGUUUAGGGCAGCUACCUACAAUAUUUAUGGUAGCUAGCUAGCCUACUGCUCAUUCAUAAUAUCCGAAUUAAGAAGGCCUUGCUAGCCCUUCUCGUAUGUUCUACGUACUACGUAGGAGAACCAUUAGAUUAGAGACAUGAUAUCCUCAGACCUUUUAUGGUUGCCCAAUUACCUAAAUUGAUGAUGAACCUGGUCAGAAUUGUGGGGAACAUGAGAGGGUGGGAAUAUUGUUGAAGUGAGUGGUCACAAGUUCUCCCCAUGGACACAACUUUUCUACUUUCAGUACACAUCCUCUUCAAUCACUUUCAUUCCUAUAUUUAAGGUCUUACAUUUUCAAAAUUAUACUUAGCUUGCAUUGGAGCCCUAAGUCACAUUAUACUUAGCUAGUUAGCUUAAAGACAACUCUAAAGGAAAGUAGUUAACAAACAUCUUAGCUUAAUUUUGUGCUGUGCUUAUCAGAUUAAGCCAAGAUUCUAUGGAUGGAGAGUUGAACGAAUCGGCACGGGCCAGGUGGUUAUCUUGUUGAUGCUAUUGCUCAACUUGGAGAAACUUUCCGGUGCUUACCUGGUUUUCUAAUAAACAAGCACUUUUGUGUGAUGAUCACAUGCGCUCAGUAUAUAUGUACAAGAUUUUGGUAGAGAUAUCUGUGAAAAGGAAAGGCUGGACAAGUAGAUAGACACAGCUAGCUAAAGUAUCUCUAUCUAUCAAAAAAGGCAGAAUGGCGUAUGUGGCCUCUCACCACCACGGCCUCAAGAUUCUUUCCCAAAUUACUUACCUUCUAUUCAAUCUAACCCACACUUGUGUCUAGGUUCACUGCCGACCUAGUACUAGCUAGUUCUGUUGUGUCGUCGUCUUUAGUCUCUGCUUAAAGAUAUUUCAGAGGCACACAUAUCAUGUGGUGACCAAACGCAAAGUAAGCUAGAUGCAUGCGCACUACUAUAAAUAGAUAGCUAGCAUUCAUAUCUGGCUUCAUAAUUCCCAAGCAAUCAAAACUAGCUAGUCGUAAGCUAAUAGUACAUCUGGCAUCAGGUGUCCCCUAGAGUUUCCUCGAACACUUCAUUAGGAUGUCUAACUCUCUUAAUUAAACUAAUUAAGGGAUAAGUUAUACUUACAGUCUCUACUGAAGUGUUUGGGGGAACUCCGGGUGUCAUUUGAUGAUAUCUCAAGACUCUAAGUGCUACAUGAGAAGCAGCCUAGCAGGUUGGUUACCACAUGCAGGACGUAUGUAAUUGACUGGUGCAUGGGGGUUUGAGUUGAUUAUAAUUAGCUAGCCUUCUUGCAUAUUCAAAUACAGCUACAUAUCAUUUACUAUAAUUAACACACUUUAUUUCUCUUAUUCGAAAACAGGAUUUUCUUUUCCACAGCACCCCUUCCCUACACAUGCAGUUUUGCAUAAUUGAUCUUCUAAUUAGUAGCCCAAUAAAGAAAUGAAGCAUACAUAUACUUUUUGUUUUCCUGUGUUCAUAGGACGCCUGAGAAAUAUACUUGGGAGUUGGGAGAGGAUGACUAGAGCCAAUCCACGAAGAGCGAGCACGUACAAAUAUUAUAAUUUUCUUCUCUGCAGUAUUUUACUUCUUCAAUUACUAGUUACAAACAAACUUACAACUUUCGUCAGAAAAAACAAACAAACUUACAACUUGGGCGCUGUAUUUUAUCCUCAGUAUUUAUAUAUGUAUAUGUGGUUACACAGACUAAUUUAUAAAUUACAAUAUAUGAUUGAAUAAACAAUGGCAUAAGUACAUAUCAAGUCCAUAUAUAGAUGCACUUGAUAUCGUACGAGACCAAAAAAUCGAACUACACCUUCCUUAAUCCAUCACUUUAUUUUCAUUUCUUAAUUUUUAUAUUUUGUCUAGUUUUAGGGCUUACUAUAAUUUCUUAUUCUGCCUCAAAACCAAUCACCAAUGGCUCUUGCAAGCAGCGGCAGACCUAGGAAUUUUUCAGCAGAGGUGCAAUUCUUAAAAGCUAAAAGCUCAAAAAAAAAAAAAAAAGGACAACUAAAUAUCCUUAUAAUUUAAAUAAUACUAAUGUUUAAAUUCCAUGAGCAAGUUAUCAACCAAAAUACAAUUGCCUCUCUGCCUGGAUUGGACUAUUUUCCCUUUUACUAUUUUUUCUAUUUUUAUUGAUUUAAAGGAAGCCAUGACAACAAUUGGAACAAAAUCAAUGCAACCUCAAGGUCUUCAUUUUGUUCGAGGAGUUUUCGAGUUCAAUCCCAUAAUAAACAAGGCAAGACCUGUUUUUUUUUUGUUUUAGAAAAAAUCUCUUCGUUCAAACUAAACAUAAAAUCAUAUCCUAUCCAUCUAUGUAGAACCCCGCCUCUUCCCCCGCCCUCGAAAAAACAGGAAGAAAAAAAGAAAAAAAAGAAAAACAAAAACUUUUUGGUAGAUUGAAGUCAAAGCCACUUCCCUGAAGUCGUACAGGAUAUAUGACAAAUCAACUCGAUGAAUUAUCUCUUAGUUCGAAGAAGUGGUUCACCAGAAGCUCCUUGCAGCCUUGUGGAGGACAAAUCACAGCAGCGCUUCUGAUGCAGAAUGCCUAUUAUUAGUUUUCCUACUUCUAGUUGGAUUAGUUUUCCUCUUAUUAGUUUUCCUAUUAUUAGUUUUUCUAAUUCUUAAAGAUUCCUUCUUGUUAAAGGAUCUCUUAUUAGUUAAUUUGCUUUCCUAUUUCUUAAAGUUUACUUUUCCUUUUCCUAGACUAAAAAGGGUUUUGCCUCUAUAAAUAGAGUUGUUUGUAAUCUUUUAAGGCAGACUUGAUUAAUGAUAAAUUUUCUUACUUUAAACUCUCUGAUUCCUUCCCUUUCCCUUCGUCUUUUCGAUCUCUAAUUCUUCUCCUCGAUCCCUUAUUUCUUCUCUGUUCUAUUGCUCAAGCGUUUACUCUAAACUUACGGGCUGUUUACUCUAAACCUACGGGCUGUUCUACAUCAGCUUCACUUGCACAUUUCAUCAAACAGCUUCCGUGCAUGAGCAGAGGUGCAACUUCAGCAACUUCUAUGGAGUUUUCCGGCUACCGGAGGUACAAGUGCACCUCUUUGCGCCUACACAGGUCUGCCAAUGCUUGCAAGUGUAUUGCUAGCUUGGCCCUCAAUUCUCAAGUUCUUGCGAUGCAUUGUUAGACCACACAAAACCAUAACACGGUCCAAGUUCCAACCCAGACGCAUGUUCACUAUAUAUAUACUCCUAUGCGGUGCUCUUCUCUACUCUGCACAGACCAAAGAACUAUGUUUAGUCAUAGGAAGUUUUCUUUGGGCUGGCAGUUGCCUAGCCUGCCCUUGUAGAAACACCCAUGUUUAGUAGGUGUGGGGUUUUAUACAAAAAGUCUCGAUGUUAUUAGGAGUAGAACCAUUUAUUAUAUGGGACUUUCUAUUUUGUUAAGUUUCCCAUGUGGAACUCUAUGUAUUCUUCAACAGUUUCUUGCUGGGUUUGCCUUUUGCUUGGGUUGCAUUGGUUUUAUCUGUUCUUAGUGUUGUCAUCUGGGUUCCUGGGUGAGUUAAUUCAUACACAUUUUCCUUUAUUUUUUUAAAAUUAUUUAUUUUAAAAAACGAAAAUUAUUUACUAAAAAUCCAGAAAUACGACUUAUAGAUAUGUUUUUGGGAAUUAGAGUUUUUCGCUUACGUUUGAUUAGGGUUGAAUAUGGUGAGUAUGGUGUACUUAUUAAAAUUACAUUUGUUUCACAAUUCAAUAUAUCCUUUUUAGUUAUUUUAUAUUAUGCUAAAUUAGUAAUUCAAUAAAUAGUUUGAUAGUAUGGUGUAAUCGGUUAAUUUUAGAGUUCGUUUAAUAGCACCAUAUAUAUAUAUAUAUAUAUAUAUACAUAGGUUGAAAUCAUUAAUUACAAACGACCUUUUCUUCACAUAAACAACAUACCGCUUUAUAUUCCUAAUAUACGACACAUGAACUACCAGAUAUUUGUAUGUCCUUUACAAGUUUUUUUUUUUUUUUGGGUACAGAGGAGGGCUAAGCCCCAAACCAAAAAGAAACUAAACAUAAACUAAACGAGGUCUAACAGCACCUCGAACAUCUGCAGCUAACAUAUCACUAAGAAAAGCUGGGGCCUCCAGAAACACAUGAAGACCAGAGCAAAAUCAUAACUCUUCGCAGUGAGAGCAUCAGCAACACAAUUUUGUUCACGAAAAAUGUGCUUCACUAAGCAGCACCAAUCCUCAUGAAUCUUUAUUUUGCAGCAAUUGAUAAUACUAAAGAGAAGGUGUGUUGAUACAAUAGGACUUUUUAACAAAGCCACAACAGAGGUAGCAUCACACUCAAUCUCCACUGUGCGAAAACCAGCAUCCCAAGCCAUAUUAAGCCCCCAAAAAAUCCCCUAUAACUCAGCCUCAGUGAUGGAACCAUAGCCCAUAUUCACAGAGAAACCCUUGAUCCAACUCCCACAAGAGUCUCUUAACAAACCCCCAGCCCCAAUAAGACUAGAGGAAUUAAUUCUGCUACCAUCAGUGUUAACUUUACAAACACCAGGAAGAGGGGCCAUCCAAUGGAGAUGAACAACACUACGCUCAGGGAGAAAAGCCAUUGGAUUACAAGCUAAAAACCACUCCAAAGCACACUGAUCAAUCAUCAAAUGAGGUUCAACAGGCAAGAGAAAAUUCUGAUCAAAAACCACUUUACAUCUCCAUUUCCAAAUAAACAAGAGGAAGAUAGCAAAAACCAAAUACCAGGGCAGGCCAUGGACAACAAACCUCUUAGAUUUCAAGUUAUGCAGCAGCCAAUCAUCAUAAUCAUCCAUCAAUUGACCAGCUUCCACUCUCCCAAACCCAAGUCUAUUCCAAAUCGCAACAGAGGCAGUACAAUCCUUAAAGAGAUGAGCACAAGAUUCCAAAGGACAGUCACAUCUAGGACAACCAGCAACAUUAGUGAGCUUUCUCUUCAGUCUUUGAGCAUUCAUAAGUAACUUCUUAUGACACAGCAGCCAGAGGAAGGUCUUAACCUUUGGCGGAACAUGAAGCUUCCAAAUAAAGUCCCAUUUCCAAUUAGCACUACCCUUAUCCAGAUAAAAGGUGUUAUAGGCAGUUUUUACAGAAAAUUGGUCAUUAGAGAUAAGCUACCAAAUGCAUUUAUCCUCCUCACUACCAUUAUAGCCAACAUGAGUACUAAGGAUCAAGUUGACAAUAUUUAUAGGCAAGCAUUCCAUUAUGCAAUUGAAAUCCCAAACCCCAUCCUCCAAAAAAUCACUAACAUUUAAUUGAAGCAUGUCAUCAGAUAAAUCAAUCAAAGCAAACUGCUGUAAAGGACCACAACUAAGCCAUCUAUCAGUCCAUAACAAGAUAUCAUCACCAGACCCCACACGUCAUUUAACACCUGCAGAAAGAACUUGAGCACCAUAUAAGAUACCCUUCUAAACAUUGGAGCUACUCCGAAGCUGCAGAUCUUUAGCCGCAAGGAUAUCACCACGCCUUAAAUACUUAGCAUUAAACACUUGAGCCCAAAGACCUUGCUCACGUUGCAGUAAGCGCUAACCGGGGAGAGCUUGAUUCAUCCAAGCAGAAUUUUUAAUACCUAAUCCGCUAGAAGAUUUGGGCUUACAGACAGUGUCCCAAUUAACCAAGUGAACCUUUGCUUGAUCAGUAGAAUGCCCCAAUAAAAAAAUUUCUAUUUAACGAUCAAGUUUCAUACAGAUGGAAACUGGCAGUUUAGCUGAUUGCAUGGAAUAAAUAGGAAUAGCAUGGGUGAUUGAGAGGAACACCAAGAUACUUGCCAAGACAAGUAGUGAGAGGGGAACCACAUAUAGUUGCAAUAUCCUCAGCCAACUCAGAAGAAGUAUUUGGAGAAACAUAGAUCAUAUAUUUCUCAAAACUCACCUUCUGACCAGAGAGACUACAAAAAUCAUCUAAACAUUUCUUCAUAAUAAUAGCCUGAUUGAUAGAAGCUUUUCCAAAGAGAAACAAAUCAUCCGCAAAGAAGAGAUGAGAGAUAAAAGGACCGCUUUGGCAUAUCUGCACCAGCUUCCAAGCCUUGUCUUGAACAGCCUGCUGAAUAAUAUGCGAAAGCUUUCCCAUACACAGAACAAAGAGAUAAGGGAAAAGAGGGUCCCCUUUCUGAAUGCCACAUUUAGGAGAGAAAGUAUCAGUUAAGUCACCAUUGAGAAUCACCUUAUAACACACAGAAUUAAUACACUGCAUUAAAAGCUCAAGAAUUCUCCCAUGAAUCCCAACCUCCCAAAGCACUUCUCUAAUGAAAUCCCAAUUUAACCAAUCAUAAGCUUUGGAUAAGUCAAUUUUCCAAGCAAUGAAACCCUUCCUCCCUUUAGAACUUUUAAACUUAUGCAACAUUUCUUGAGCCACAACAAUAUUAUCAACAAUUUGUCUCCCUGGGACAAAGCUCACUUGAUUAGGACUGACCAAACUAGUAAUACAAGGCCAAAGUCGGGCAACAAGAAUCUUAGAAAUCAAUUUAUAGAGGGUGUUGCAAAGACUGAUGGGGCGAAGCUGAGACAUAGAGACAGGUCUCUCAACUUUAGGCACCAAAGCUAUCAACGUCUCAUUGAUAUUCUCAGGAAGAGAAGUAGUUAAAAAACAAUCCUUCACCAAAGCAAUAAUAUCAGCAGAACAAAUCCCCCAACAUUUCUGAUACAAAGAGGGCAGGAAAUCCAUCAGGUCCAGGAGUUUUUAAUCCCCCCAAGAGAAAACAGACUAUUUUUAACUUCAUCAUCAGUAACCUCACAACUUAAGCCCUCUAGAUCGGUAUCAGCCAACCUUGGAAAAAGAUGAGGGAGGUCCUUUACAAGUUUUUAACUUCUUCAAUGGUUCACAAACCCCAAACUCACGGGGCACAAAAUCCUUGCUUAUUUGAUUAAAAAAGGGAAAAUGAAAAAAGUUAAGCUGACUAGAGUUGACUGUACUAUAAUCUUCAUCCGAUUUUACUAAUAUUAGAAGAGUCGGGUUUUUGUCUUUACACCCACCAUCUUGACCCUCAGGUUGAGAAGCUGCGCCCAGACCACCUCUUCCAGCUGUAUUAACCAUUUAAUUAUUAAUCCAAUCCAACCACUAAUAUAAUAUUAAUUAGCAAGUCAAGAUGAAUAUCAAUCAUCAAUCUAAGCUGUUUUGAUAGAGACAUAGAGCAACCAUGUGCACAUUUCCAAAUGACAAAUUGUGACACUUGAUCACCUUGUAAUAAUCGGCAGCAGUGUUGCGUUGUCCUUAAUCAUCGAAAUAACUUCAAUCCCCGCACAUAGUUUACCCACCUAGCUCACAUCACCAGAUCAUCUUUAACUAGGUUGUAUUUAGUUUUAAUUAAUAAUAAUUGUGUUUAUCAUUCUACUGCACCUUGUUCCUCAUUAAUAUAAUUAACCAAACUCUCCCAUCUCUUUCCUCACAACCUUAAUUAAUGUCUUUCGGUUCUGCUUCUUCUACCACAAUUGUCAUCAACAACUGGGGUGAUGGGAAAUUGCUUGAGGAAAAAGAUUCAAGAGCCAGAGUCACCAGUUGCCAUUAUUCCAAGGCCUCCCACUGGUUUGUUUGCAUUCGUCUUAUGAUCAUUAUGAUCAGAAUAUUUUAGGCAUGAGUUUUUAACUUGAAAAUAUUUUCCUCUGUCAUUUGGUAAAGGGGACAUUGGGUUACAAGUUUUUCUUCCCGAGAAGAAGAUUAAUGGAACAGUUGAAGAGAGAGCUCCAACUGCUUCCCCAACUUUCUUACAAGGUCAAGGUACUUAAAACAAAUGUCGCAUUUUUUGUUGAAAAAAAUGUUUGUGUUUACUGCUUCUCUAAUGAAUAUAAAAUGGUUUGUGACAGAAAAGCGGAGUAUACGUGAAAGACGUAGAUUACCACUUCAAGAAAGGAAUUCAAUCGUCUGUUCAAACACAGAUAUAGGUACUCAUUGCAUCUAUUUUAAAGUCAUUUCUUUUCCUUUGCUAAUUAUUUUCUUCUUUCUAUUUGUGUGUAUGUAGGUGCAAAAAAGAUUGGUAAAAAUACUAGGCAUGGUUAUACAGCCACUCCAAGUCCAAAAAAUUGGACUUUGGAGACGCUGACUGGGAAGGAAGGAGGGUUCCGGGAUUACAAGCUUUACUGCUUUUGUUAUAGUUCCUUGAAAGCUGCCACACGCAAAUUUAGCAGUAAGAACUUAAUCGGACAAGGCGGAUUCGGAGAUGUCUACAAAGGGUAUGUCAGUUAUUGCAACAUGAACUCCGCUGCAAAACCAAGUGAAGGAUUUCCUAUUGCUAUCAAAAGGCUCAGGAAGACUGGAGCACAAGGCCAUGAACAAUGGGAGGUCAGCUGUUGUUAUUUCUUUCAACUCUCUCUGUUUCUCUCUGCGUCUCUGUCUGCUUGUGUGUGAGGUUUAUGUUAUGCCUGCAGAAUGAGAGGAAAUUUAUGAGCAAAAUAAGCCAUCCGAACAUAGUGAAGCUAAUAGGGUACUGCUGCGAAGGUGAGCACAGAAUGUUGGUCUAUGAGUAUAUGAGCGGAGGAAGCUUGGAGGCCCAACUCAUGACAGGUACAGCACUCAGAUAGAGAGAGAAGAAGAAAGUUCUGUGUUUUCUUUUUUACAUAUUAUGUUGGCUGCAUGUAAAUAUAGAGCCUAGAGUUAAGCUUAGAAGGAAGUUAUUGAGCUAAAGUUGAGUUGAUUGGCAUAAACAGAAAAUGCUACACAACUAGAUUGGAGCAGAAGAAUCAAAGUAGCACUUGGGGCUGCCAAGGCUCUGAAUUGUCUUCACACUCAUAAGACGCCUUUCAUUCAUCGCGAUCUAAAAGCUUCGAAUGUUCUGUUGGAUGAUGUGAGUUUCUGUCACUCAUGUUUCUUGACAUAUAAGAUAACAAGUAGAUUCUGAUGAGGGCACCAAGCUUUGUUCACCUUAUUUUUGUGGCUAUAUAUCAACCUGAUGAUUAUUAACCAACACUGCAGGACUGGAAUGCUAAGCUUUCAGACUUUGGCCUUGCUAAAUAUGGACCCCGAGAUGGCCAGGACCAUGUAAUGACAAGGAUUCUUGGCACCAAAGGCUACAUUGCACCUGAAUACAUAGGGACAGGUACUCAACCAGACACCAAAAUCUACGAGGGCAGAGGAGCCUGCAAUUAAUUAUAAGAAUCCUUACGUACAACCGUUGUAUACAGCAUCUCUCACAUUUUGUACUUCACGUGUUGGUUGCUUGACCAGUUAUUUUACGAGGACAUUGUACACAGCCGUUGUAUGUAUGUAUAUGCAUGCCGGAUAUUUCAUAGUCCUAAACAAGGUAAUGUGUUUUUCAUUUUUGCAGGGCAUGUGACACUCAAAACCGAUGUAUACAGCUUUGGUGUGGUGCUUUUGGAGAUUUUGUCAGGCUCCUGUGCCGUGAAGAAAUACUCGGAUGGGAUGGCGGGUGAUCUAACCAAGUGGGCUGAACCAUAUCUUAGCAACAGGCAGAAGCUGCAUCAUGUGAUUGACCAGAGACUUGGAAAUAACUUCCCUGUGGAAGAAGCUCACAAGUUUGCUGAGCUCAUCCUCCGGUGCCUUGAUUCAGACCCCAAGAGCAGACCAACAAUGGCUGAAGUUGUGGGUGAUUUGGAGCAGUUACAAGAAAACAGAAGCAGCAGCAGCAGCAAUCGGGUCUCAGUCCAUGUUACUACGCUCACCCCAUGCCCUCCUUACAGAAGCAUUUUCCCUGGACGAAAUGGAUGUCAGGCAUAGUAAGCUGAUUUCCUUGAUAAUGCUAUAUCCCACAAUGUCACGCUACAACAUUGUGUACGAAAACAGAGGAAAUAGUUUUUGCUUGAAUUGCUUUUGGUCAUAUGGUAAUGGCAGGCAUUAUAUACAAGAAGUAGAAUUGGGUCAUUGAGCUGCAAGUGAUGCUCUAUUGGUAACGCUAGCUGCCAUUCUUGUAUCAUGAUAAUUUUCAUGAACAAGUUUUCAUUGGGAAAAUAAGCCGUCAUCCAAUCUCAUAAUUUCAACAUCAAGGAAAUAUUAAAGUGAAUUUUUCUAUAAGAACCUGCUUCAAGAAGCUAGUUUCAGUUUUCAACAUCACCAUUUCCGGUGAUUAAGAGACCAUCCACAUACACAAGGAAAAAAGUUGAACCAGCAUGUUUGCCUAGAAAAAAUCUGGAUUUGUCAUGCCCAGCCUUCAUCAAAGAACCAAUGCUUUAGCAAACCCUACUACAGCAAGUAUAACGAUAUUUUACAAAGCAUAAAAUGUUUUAUAAGUAACGAGAGAGAGAGAGAGAGAGAGAGAGAGAGAGAGAGAGAGAGAGAGAAUAGCGUGUACUUGAACGGAUUAAAUUGGCAACAAGAUAAUUUGACACCAGCAGUUGUGACGGGAUAAUGAAUGUCUGUCACCCGGCAAAAUUAUAUAUACUGAUAGAUGGCUAACUUUAUACACUACAAACAUCAAGCAGAUUACCACUACAAAAUAGCUACACAGCUUCUGGAAUUACAGGUGGAAGUAACCUCGGAAUAACUCAAAAUUGUGUCAAAUUACACGCCCAAACUUGAUGCUACGUAAACAAAAUAUGGAGUCAAAUAAGUAAUUUACAUAAAGGAGACUCUCCAUCAACGCACACGUGGAGAUUGCCGGUGGGAUAGCAAUGGGGAUGCACUUGGUGUUAUAUUGAGAGGAGAAUGGUGUUGUCGCAUUGGUGACUUCCGGUGAGGAACAGAAAGCGUCUGCUGUUCUGAUUGAGAGUUUCUGGCUGCAGUUUUUGGGGCUUCAAGUUGUUCCAGCGUAGCUAAUACCACUGACAUUGUUGGCCUAAGUUUAGAUUCUGCGCAUAGGCAUUGUGAAGCAAGAGUAGCAGCUGUAAAGGCUGCUUUCUGGGGAUAUUGGCCCUCCAACUUGGUGUCCAUAAUCCGAAAUAGUUUUCUUCUGUCACCCAAAUAUGGUUUUGUCCAGUCUACAAGAUUCUGCUCGACACCAACUUUUGUUUUAUCGACAGCUCGCCGUCCAGACAAUAGUUCCAGUAAUACAACACCAAAACUAUACACAUCACUUUUAGCAGUCAAUCUACCUGUUAAAACAAUGAAAAUGGGUGUAAGCCAAGUAAAGAAGCAUUACUAUGUGAUGUGAACACAGUGAAUCCAAGUACUCAAGAUUCUUUGCAUUGUUUCCGCCACAACUAUGGCUUGCACAUAAAUGCAGAGCCCAUUUUUACAAAAGUUCCACCUUGAAGAAAUCUUAAUGUCAAAUAUUAAGAAUAAAUCAAAUUUCUACCAAUAAAUUAUUCCCAGAUACAACUCAAAAGCUUAACUUUUUUCUUUCUUGACUUUUGAAUCAAUAGAUGAGUAAAUUCCACCUGAACAGAAAGUUUGCAAAUGAUCACUUAUUAUAGUCAACUGGCACCAAGGUGACUCCUCUAAUCUAAGUGUUAGAGAUGACCAGUCCGGACUAUGGGAAAUUUGGUGAAAUGGCCAUAAAAAGAUGCCUCAAUGCAAACUUUGUUCAAAGGUGAAAUAGCAACAAUACUUAAUAUCGACAUUAAACAUACCUGUAGCAACAUAUUCAGGUGCUGCAUAGCCUUGAGUACCCAUGACUUGAGUAGAUACAUGAGUCCUGUCACCAGUGGGGCCCGCCUUAGCUAAGCCAAAAUCAGAAAGCUUCGCAUUGAAUUCCUGGACCCCCCCAUGCACCAUAAUGUCAGUGAUUUAUCCAAUUUAAUCAUAAGAUAUUUAGGCAUAACUGCUAAAGGGAUGAACUAGUGUCCUCUUUGUUCAACAUACUGAAUCUAGUAAGAUAUUGGAAGCCUUAAAGUCCCGAUAUAUGACUUGUGAUUCGGCCUCAUGAAGAAAACUGAGGCCCCUGGCAGCACCUAUGGCCACUUUCAUUCUUGUUGCCCAUGAAAGUGGUUGCGGCCCUCCUGUGAAACAAAUGUAAAAGUUCAACAUUACAUAGGUUUCAAGCCCAAACCAAGGAGUUUCUUCAAAAUUGCAAAUGCAACCUUGUUUGAGAUUUAAACCCUUGAAAGAAAAUGAGCAAAAAGUUUAACUUCAAGAUAAUUUAAACAAUUGUGAGAUGAUGGUGGGGGGAAAGUAUUAACAUCAGAGGAAUACAUCACUUACUUCUAAACAGAUGAUUCUCUAAGCUUCCUUUCGGCAUGAACUCAUACACUAAAAGACGGUUCUCACCCUCCAAGCAGUACCCGAUUAGCUUAACCAGAUUUGGAUGGUACAGUUGGCCAAGAUAAUUUACUUCUGUCUGAAAUUUAUUGGCUAUCAGUAAAUAAGCCAAACAUGAGAUUUUAUACACAACACACAUACAGAAAAUUGUUAUAGAAGAAACCUACCAACCACUCCUUGUGGCCUUGGAAACCUUCAGGUUUGAGCUUCUUGACAGCAACAACCAUUCCGGACCCUGGUUUUGCAGCUGUCAAUGUGUGUUCAUUAAUCCAUCCUUUGAAAACGUAACCAAAUCCUCCUUCACCGAGAAGACUGUCAGGGCGAAAGUUUCUGGUGGCAUUCUUUAGCUCAUUGAAUGAGAAGGCUUUCAAAUUUGGAGACGACAAUAUUUCACCUUCAGUUCUUGGGGUAGGAAGACUUGAACCAUUGCUCCUUUCACCAGAUGAUGGGAUGGUCAAGCUGGGGGAAGCUGAGGAAGGGCUGGUUUUGCUGGAAAUUUUGGAAACCCCUGAUCCUGACAGGAGAAGCAGUUGGUAAUCAACAAUCAAGUCGUGAAAAACAAAAGUAGCCCUACACCAAUUAGAUCGUUCCUCGAUAAAUGUCGUAUAUAGUAUGUUGCAAAUUAAUUCAAAAUUGAAAACAUUAAGAGUGUAUAAUAUUUUAUUGGAUUCUAAGAGGACAACUAUGUAAACUGGUAGAUCAACGUACAGAGUUUUAAGUUAUCAGGUGAUCUCAAAGAAGGCUACAAGCUAGACUGGCUCACAAAAACACCUUAAAUUAAGCAUCUUUUGAGGACCAUAAAAACACCUUUCUUUUGGCAUAAAGGACCUCCAUAAUUUUCCCAUCAGACCCCGAAUGUUACUAAAGUCGUUGCUUUUAGAGAGUUUAGCGUGCCAUUAAAGCUAAACCUUCACAUGAUCAUAGUAACGAAUUCAAAUAAUUGUCAAAAUUCACUCUCAUAGAUUGACCCCAUUUUUAGACAAAAGCAAACUGAGAAAAAUUAACAAUUAUGAGCCUAAAUGAGAUUACCAAAAGUGCAUUGAGCAUUACCAAAUAAUGACAAACUCUAUAAGGCUGUCUUCAACGUGUUCCUAUAUUCUCCUUAAACGGGAAAAAUAUCCUAUGGUUGAAACAGGAACGGCUAAAUAAAGAUUAAAAACUUAUAAAUGACUGUGAAAAAAAGGACGAUUCAUUGAGGAAAAAAAGUUCAUUAGAAAUUUAAAAAAAAGAGAGAGAGAGAUCUUCCAUUUACGAAUAUGCGCAGAAAAAAUGAAACCAGGAGCUAAACAAAGAAAGAGACUUCAUUUAAUACCAAGCAGAAGUUGCUCCAAAAAUGCUAAUGAUCUUAUUCAACCGAGCUACCCAGAAUUCACUCUCAUAGAUUGACCCCAUUUUUAGACAAAAGCAAACUGAGAAAAAUUAACAAUUAUGAGCCUAAAUGAGAUUACCAAAAGUGCAUUGAGCAUUACCAAAUAAUGACAAACUCUAUAAGGCUGUCUUCAACGUGUUCCUAUAUUCUCCUUAAACGGGAAAAAUAUCCUAUGGUUGAAACAGGAACGGCUAAAUAAAGAUUAAAAACUUAUAAAUGACUGUGAAAAAAAGGACGAUUCAUUGAGGAAAAAAAGUUCAUUAGAAAUUUAAAAACAAGAGAGAGAGAGAUCUUCCAUUUACGAAUAUGCGCAGAAAAAAUGAAACCAGGAGCUAAACAAAGAAAGAGACUUCAUUUAAUACCAAGCAGAAGUUGCUCCAAAAAUGCUAAUGAUCUUAUUCAACCGAGCUACCCAGAACCCAAGACGAACACAACUUUCUAUCCAGUGAAAAACAACCGAACCCGCUAAAAUUCCAUUACUGUAAACCAAAAAAGACUCUCAGAAGAACAUCAAACUAUACCCAUCAAGGAAACAACAAAAUAUAACCCAUCAAAAUACAAGACCAGUUCAUUCAGAAAAUAUGAACAAAUAAGGUAAUUUUCAUAGUAAAUCAUUUAUAAGUUACCCAAAGUACCAAAGGAGCUCUGUGCUGUGUCUACUUUAGCUGAAGAAUCUAAGCAGUUUCCCAUUUGCUACUCCAAAGCCCAAAGGCACUCUCUUUUUAGUCUCUUCACGACGUCUCACGAACACAAGGUUUUGUUGGUAAACAAUCAGCAAGUCAUUGCAAAGAGGGAAGAAGAAACUGUAGCUGACUUGUUCUGGGUUUUAUAUGAUUGUGCUACUUCCUAAGAAAAUAAAAAUAAUAUGAGGGGAGAAGAAGACGAAGAAGAAAGAGCGGUGAAGGUGCGGAAAUGGAAACAGAGAAGAAAUUUUGCAGACAGAAUGAGUCUGCCUCAGCUUCGCCUCGGUUAAGAGACACGACAAACGCGUGGGGGCUCGCUCACCAGUGACGUGCGCACUACUUUCACCUCGUGAAUUCUCUUUAAUAGCCCUCCCUCGUGUGGACUUGUAGUUUGUCAAUGAGCCAUCAUUUGUCAGAAUGACGAAAGUACCCUUCUCUAUUUCCAUUGACCCCACCUCUGCGAUGUCCAUAAUUCUUUUUGUUUUCUUUGGGGAUCAAAUUGAUUAAAUUAAAGAAGAUGCCAACAUCAGCUCUAAUAGUACAAUCGUCAUUAGUGCCUAAUUUAGAGUGGAUUAAUAACCCUUUUUGUGAUUUCAUUAGUAUCAAGUGGUGAUUAAUUGUCUAUGAUUUAGAAUAGUCGUUUAUGCGCAUAUGAACGACUGAUAUUUAAAAAUGAAUGUCAAUUUGUGAAAAGAAUAACUCGAAUUUUCCUAUAUUUUUUGUUAGAAUUAUGAGAUGAUUUUGAAUAUGUUACUACAUUUAUUUUUCUUUAUUAUUGUAACUAGGAUAUUAAAAUGUUUUGAAUAUUGCACGAGGCGAGACGGUUGAGUACAUAAAUAAUUAUAUUUAUAUAUAAUGGCUUACAAAUUGCAAUGAUGUGUAAGGGUUAAUUAAUUCAAAUCUCCAUUAGUCGAUCGACUUUGCAAGAGUCAAAGAAGCAAAAGAAUAAUCUUUUUUUCUUUUUUUUUUUAAUGUUGAUAGUGCAAGUAAAAUAAUAAUAUAGCAACACUCGAUUUAAAUAAAGGUAGGAGAAGAAUGCUUGGCUAUCACUCUUGCUUUGUAGAUGCUUUCCAGCCUUCGAUUCCGAUUUCACAAUACUAAUUCAAUUUACCAAGUAUUUGUGGGCACCCACACUACAGUAUUGGUUGACUGAGUAAAUGGCUCGUGACCAUCUUUUUUAUUCGGUCAAUAAUUUCAUCUUUGAGCUAGGAAUGAGUGAUUCCCUCCAACACUUUCUCGAAUAAUUGUCUUAAUCAUUAGAAUUUUUUUAAAAUUAAAAAUAAAAAUAUCUUAAGACUCUAUGCAAAAAGAAAGUCACACUAUCCCGAUCAACAAACCUAACCGUCUAAGUCACGUUUGGAAAAAAAAUUUAAGCUUAAUAUUGCAAACUGUUUGAGGGGUAUAUUUGGGAAUGGACAUAGUAGGUCAUGUUCGGAGCAAUUUGCUUAAGCGAAAACAAAUGGAAGAGAGAGAGAGAGAGAGAGAGGAGUUUGAUUUGAGGAAGCAUGUGGACAGCCUUGUACUAAUAAUAAUAUUGCGUAGAAAUUUGAUAUAUGCCUUGACUGGAAUUCUUUGCAUGCGCAAACCGUUUUCACACUUGACCCUACUGCUAUAUAUAUCUGAAUAAAGAAAUAAAUGCUGCAGGGGAAAGGGUUCCAUAAGAUAAUUCCGUGUUUUAUAGAUAAUGUUUCCUAAUUACGUUGGGGUUACAAAGUAUUAGUAACUUAAUAACGCUGGAAGAACAACUUCUGUUUUAGGAAAUUCUUCUACAAGAGAUGAGAUUGAAUAUUGAGAAUAAUUUUUAAUUACUGAGCUGAAUUUGUCAAUGGUGGAAGAAAAAAAAAAUGAUCAUCUGGUAAUAAUCUGGGGAUGAUGCCAGGUGAAAUUACUUAAUGAGUCGGUGGAGAAAUGUUGAGACUUGUCAAAAUGUCUUGAUCAGAAAAUGCUUCUGCAUACAACGAAAGACAAUUCUAUUUUAGUAGCGCCAGUGUUGGAUGCUUUAAAGUUGUGUUAUUACUCGUCGAUUAGAAAACUAUAUGACAAUUCUGUUUUUUGUUUGCUUUGACUUUUAGGCCAGCUUUGAGUAUGAUGGGUUAAAAUCCAUUUUCUUUUUUAUCAAUUUAUUUUACACCGGUAUUGAGAAUAAUAAACAUCAAACCAAUUAUCAUUUCGGUAUAUGAAUAACUGUUUUUAACUACUUUCGCGAUAGUGAGUCCCCUAGCUCUGUAAGGGCUUCAAGACUUAGUUUUGUACUCCUACUUAUAUUUAAGAAAGAAAAUUUGGAAAGAAAGGGAAUGUUAGUUGUCUUGUCUAGUAGUGAUGAUUGAUGCGGGAGGUGAAAAAAUCAUGCAAAGACAAUGAUAGGGUAAGGAGUGAACACCAAGGAAGAACGAAACUCGUACCCACCCCUCACCUACCAAAUGCCAACCGUUGAUUUCUUAUCAAGACGUGUGUAUGCCAAUGAUAGUAAGACACUAUGAUUAUACAUGCAUAACACUUAGUUAGUCAAUUCGUAUAUAAUGUGUGUAUUAUAUAUGUAUACGUAUGUAUUUAUAAAAUUUACCAAAUAAUAUAUGUAAGUAUUUUAUACGUAUGUGUCGUAUAUACCAUACCAUACCAUACCAACUAUGCAUAGGAGAAUUGAAAAACGUGGCGUUCCCACCACUAGCCAUAUCCACCUUAGCCACCUAUCACCUGUGUGAGUCUGGGUCCUCCACGUACUCCAUGCCUAUUGGCGAUUUCCCUUUUCUUUUUCUUUUAAUUUUUCUUUUCUUUUAUGGACAACGGCCGCCAAGAAAGCCCAACAAGAAACAGUGGGCUUGGGCUCCAAGUGUAAGGUAAUAUUCACUGGACAAGUUCAUUUGGGCUUUGAGUGUUAGGUGCCAAUAAAAAAACAACUGAAACCAAAAUAAAAGUCGAGAAAUUUAUGGGGAAGCUACUAUUGCAAACCUACAUAUGUUUUUUUAAACAAACUAUUUUUGAAAAUGGGGACUUGUAUUUAGAUUAUUUUCCCACUAAUUUGUAAUAGAAUUUCUGACCGUACGCCUAAUUACAAAUCCACAUUGUAAUUAUUUCAAAAGGUUCAUUUGUUUAAAUGCGAAUAUUAAAUUUUAUCAAACGUGACACGUGUUCAUUUGACGAAUUUUUUAACGAACAGCCUAACAACAGAAGCACAUUGAAAAGGUGCAUAUAUUUGAAUGUUAAAAUAAAAAAUACUGAUAAUUAAGCUGCCCUAUGAACUGGAGUUAAUGCUACCAGAAUAAAUAUAACCCUAAACUCAAAAAAAAAAAAAAAUGGCAAUAUUGUGCCAACUGCCAAGGAGAAGGGUCCGCGUUUCUGCAGCCAAUGAGAAACGCGAGGUAGAGUCAUCCAC
rnacentral:lncRNA from 1 species